rnacentral:lncRNA from 1 species
GAUUUUGUCGGUGAGUAUAACAAAAAAAAAAAAGAUACGAAACUAUGUAAACAAAGUUACAACAUCUCUGUGAUACCCUCUCACGAUCAACAUCCUCGGGACAUUCUCCACCAGCAAAUCCAUAUACUCCAUGUAGAAAUACGCCGGGUGGUUCAACGGAGGCGGCGGGAGACUAACCAGCACCACCGCGGCCAUCCUCGAGUAACUGAGUAUGGUCGAGUUCAGUUUCAGCAUCGUGUAUAGAAACUUCUCCACUUGCUGCUCAUUCACCACCAUCGCUUUCCCAUUCGCCAACCUUGGAGUCGAACCUUGACUCUUUAUCUCUCCCAAGUAAUCCGAGAUUCGUCUCUGCGCAGCAUCAAAAGCCUCCAACGAAUCUUCUUUGCUGUUUCCCUCUGAUCUUAUGUCCCACGACUUCAUCGUCACCACGAUGACUUCCGCUUGCAUUCUGAGGUCGUAGAGGAACUUCUUCACGUCGGCUUUUAGCGCUUCGGCGUCUGAAUCCUCUUCAGCUAUGCAGAAGAGUUGGAUCUUGCAGCUCUCGAAGCUUUCUUUCGUCAGAAGAAGCUGAGAGAGAAGAAGCAUGAGACCACCGUCUCUCACGAUCCAGUACAAGUCGAUUGUUCCGUACUGUCUUUGGUACUCGUUGGGCCAUUCCUCUAACCCUUUGAUGAUGACAACUCCUUUGUUUGCUGUGAUGCAGUCGUUGAUUAUCCCAACAAACGUGGAUGGGAUCUCUGUUAGAUUCUCCCGUCGCCAGAUCUCGGGGUACCGCAUCACGACGAUGUUGGGUUUGAGAUUUCCGAGUCCCAUCGUCUGGAUGAUCCCACGGAAGCCUUCGGUCAUGUUUGGAGCUACAACGAUUUCAGCUACGCCUUCGCAACGCUUGUACUCAAUGUAGGUGGCUAGUUGUUUGCAAGCUUCCUUUGCUUCUUCAGCGCAUUCAUAGUAGUCGCCGUCUAAUAUUGAUACAAAGAUCGACAUUCCACGACCUUUUUUCUUCAUACAGUUGGCAAAAUCAGCCAGCUUAGGGUGGCACGGAACAUUCUCUGGGAGCUGUCCCCAUGGUCUGCAGAAUACAAGGGGGAUUGGAUACCAGUUCUUAGGGUGCACUUGAUCCGCUGCAAUUUGGAGAAAAGAUAAGCUUAGAUUAAAUGGACCAUCUAAUAUUUGAACCUAUAAUAGUUAAGGCAGGUUCAGGUGUAACAACAGAUAGAUAAUGCAUAUUAUAUAACCAGUUUGGUGUGAUGACACUUAUGUGGCGUACCUCCGAGUGAUCUGAGACUACGAAGGGCCAAUUGAAAAUAUGCACUCUUGAAACCAUCUCCCCAGUCUCCGGCCUUUCCUUUUAGCCCAACGUAUUUGUAUAUAAGACUUGCAAGCGCAAUGGCAACCACAGUGAAUGACCAAGAAAUCAAGAACAUGAUCACUGCAACCGUAGAGAAAAAGGGAAAAUCAACAAGAGUCUUUCAUAAUAAAACAUCUCAGGCUUCAGGUGAGACAAGCUAGUUACAAUUUGUUUUAUAGGAUAAUAGGAAUCGACUACAAACAAAGACUAUACAACAUACAGUCUUCUCCAGCAAGUAUUUGAAAGUUCAUACCUAUGCAAAGUGAGGCUCCGACAAAGGAAAGGCUCCAGUGAUGGUAUUUCCACCGUGGACGCCAACUUGGAGCAUCAAGUAGAUCGAGCAGGAAACAAGACAAGUUUACUCCCGCGUAGCAUAAAAGAUAAAACAUAGUCACAGUCGGUGUAAUAAGAUCCAGAUUUCCGAUAACAACACAUCCGAUGCAGAUCAAUGCUGUGAAAAGCGUCGCUAUGUGAGGUUCACUAGUAUCUGCAACUUUAAAAUAAUUCAGGAUGGGGAGAAUAUCAUCAUUUGCUAUAGCCGCGAGCAACCUUGGGGCCCCUGUCAGACUCUGGAGAGCAGCCCCUAAGGUUGAGAGGAUGAUGCCAACGUGAACAAUGAGGGGGAGAGGCCAAGCAACUGUGGCAGUAAGAAGCCUGCAAUAGAGAAAAAUUACUCUCGUAUGAAAAGUUUUAAAAAAAUUCACGAGGUGUUGAAGCGCUAAAAGAACAGGUCUCUGCGACCACUAUCAGACAUGCUUAAUUUAUUCUGACAUAUAAACUAAGAAAGUGCUGCUUUCGUAGGCCCCUAGUAGUUUUGUUUAGUACAUUCAGAGCAUAAAGCCACUUUUACUAUCUUUCGAGUUUAUCCAUGCUAAACACACCAGAUCGGCUUUGAAACCAAAAUAAACAAAGAAGUCACACGAGUAACACCGUUACCUAUCAGUCAAAAGUUUGUCACGGGUAGCAACAGCUCCAAAAAACAGCACUGAGAUCACAUACAGUAAGGUGGUUGACAGAGUGGCAGCCAAUGUUCCAACAGGAAUUGAUCUUUGCGUGUCUUUCAGUGAAGCUGAUCUAUUUGAACCAGCCAUAAUUCCUGUUACAGCAGGGAAAAAUAGACCCACCAACUCACUGAAAAGUAACAAAGAGAACGGUAAAUAAACUGAACAAAUAAACUUUUUUUAAAAACUAGUUUUACUAUCAUAGGCAACAAAAUUUCUAGAUGUGACUCACUUGAAACUCCAGUAUGUGCCUCCAAGUGGAUCAGGAAUUCCCGCAUUAUUUGUCAUCUGAUAAGCAGAACUCCAGUUAUCUCUAAAACUUUUUAAUCGCAAGCCCGUGAUUCCAGCUGUUCAGAUCAUAACAAUGGAAAGGUUAACAGUUUGGGGAAAUAUAUCUCCAUGCCUAUAUCCAACAAUAUCCUGAAAUGGCUUACUGUCAGGAUCAUCUGUUUUUGCCAAAAACAUCCCAAUGAAUAUGCACAAGAUAGAGAGCAACACGGGUAGUAGGAAAGCAGGUGCAACCCGAUUAAUCAUCUUCACGCCGCCAAACACAAUGAAGCAUAGAAGUAUAGUCACAACAAUUCCAUAAAUCUGCAAGUCGUGUGAGCUUGGGCUUUGUACUGAUUCGGCAACUGCAGUUCCAUUAACCUUGGUGAUAGUUUCUGCCAUUAGAAAUGACACACAUAUAAGUGGCUAAAUGUGACUAAUAGGCUAAAGAUUUUGUCCUCAACAAGUAAAGGUUUUGUCAAAUAGAACUCAGAUUUUGGCAGUCAAUAAUAUAGUUCUUAAUCCUCGAUUGCAUAUAGGCGUUGCCAUUUCCAACAAUUGAUGAAACAAGUCUUUGACUUCAAGACUAGCAUGAAUAAAGUAGUGAUCGAAAAACUGAUAAAUUACUAAGAGUUGUUGGAUAUCCUAGUACCCCUUUGCUUUGGUUCACACAUCACAGGUUUCAAUUCUUACAAGUUCCACAGUAAUACCUCUAAAAAUCCCAGCAGCAGGGAACGCUUUUAAAAAAGUCUCCACAGCACCCAAAACGUACCUACAUUGAUAAGGAAGAAAGCAGAUAAAUUAGUCAUUCGAAGCACUCGGAGACCAUGUGAAACUGAACAGAGCACCAGCAACUUAAGAGUGUUGAGCUUAAGACUUUCUCUAAGAGAAUCUAUUUCAAAGGAUCCAAAAUAUACACUUACAGAGCUCCAGCAACUGCAUUGCCAAGGAAGAAGCAUAAACCUAUGCUAAUCCCAACCUCCGGACCAAGAGCACGACCAAUGAGGUAAUAUGGUCCUCCACCCUGGAAGUAAAGUAAUGCGAGUUAUUUUCGGAAUAAACUUGAUGUCCUACAUAUUGUUCUAUCACAAAGGAAAGAGAGAAGUAAUAGGGGUGCUAAGUAUGGACCAGAAACCCAACGAAUGGAUGGAUACAUUUUAACUAUGGUAAAAGAAAAUUUCGGGUGAUAUUACAGAAAAAUAAUUACCUUCAUUGCGCCAUUUGUCGCAAUAGCACUCAAAGAUAUUGUCGUCAAAAAUGUACAUAAUCCACACAGCAAUACCAAUACUAGGCUUUGUCCGAUACCAGCCAUGCCAACAAUCCUGAAAAUUAAACAGAUUAAGACACGCCAUGGUGACUUCGCAGAUUGUUGUGCAACAUCAAGGAUUUUGCAGUCUUACCAUGUGAAACGGAUAUAGUAUAUAAUUCCCAAAAUGUUUUGCAAGCAGGGAACGAAAACUCCCAUCAUUGUACCCAUCUUGAGAGCAGGCUGCAAGAACAUGCAGAUAUUAUAACAUCGUGGAAAAUCAUAAAUGCAGUGAUAGUCAGUAAAAAUGAGUGCUUAAUCAAAGCAGCCUGGCAGAAAAAUCAUCAAUUGUGUGAAUUAGAAGCUAAUGGAAAUAGGAAGAUACCUUUGGGUGCCCUUGCAUGAUGGAGAUAUCCUCCCCAUCUCUAGGGCUAGAUGGUGCUGGAAUUUGCUCUCCUGUCAUGCUGAAGGAAAUAUUCAUCACAUUACCACAUGUAACAUUAAGAAAAUAUGUGUUUGACAAACUGCUGACUGAAUAAGCAAUGCAUAGUUUACGGUGAAAGAUGCAUUUACACAUUGGGAAGAUGAAAGAGAGAUCCUCAUUUCGUUAUAUAGAAAGAAAAAAAUACAAGACACUUAUGAAUUCCUAAGAGCAACACAAGGCAAUAGAAAGCACAUCAGUUGUAUUAUAGAAUCACGAAUUUUAUAAAUAGUCAAGGGAAUCCAUAAAAACGAUUCAAAAAAAAAAAGCAAGAAACUUGUAUUCAGUGACUCCCUGUUUCAGCUCAGACCAAAAAGACCACCAUGAUUAAUGAAAGCAAGAUACCAUUUCCAGUAAAAUUCUAGCUACCACUUAAUGCAGUAAAUGAAGGCUGGUUCAUCAUUCUAAUGUGCAUUUCUACAUGAAAACAACAAUCAAGAUCGCAUGUACCUCUUCAAACCAAGAAUGUUCACAAGAGAAUCAAAACCAAAUAAUUCCAGCUUGGAUUCCUUCUGAUGGCCAUUGACUCCAUCUUCUGGUAUAGGACCCUCCCUUGCACCAGCUCCCAUCUCUCCCGGUGCAACUACUCUUAUGUUCCUGUCAAAAACCUACAAGCGUGAGACACUCACCAUGAAAAAAAAAAGUAAACAAUACUGAAUCAUUCAAGGUAGACUUUAGAAUAUUCCAAUCACACGAUUCUUAAACACUACAACCAUCACUGCUGAUUUAACCAAAUUUGCAUCCCGUUUCUACUAAUCAGUACAUGUAAUCGUUAAUCAUCAUCAUCAUCAUCACCAAAGAGAUGAUCAAUACACAUUCAAAACUGUGCUACAACACCACAAGGAACACAAUCAUACUUGAGGGUGGAAGAGGAGGAGGAAGAUCCAGGAUCGAUGGAUGACAUUUCGACAACCGCUCUAUCGUGCGCCCCCACCGGCCUGUAUUUUCCUCCGCCGAGUCGCGGGAAUUCCUCUUCGCCGGCGGCUUCUUCAAUGUCGCCCCUAUCCAUUUCUCUCCGCCGAAUCUGGACAGAUCCGUUGCUCCUUCUAUCGCAAAUGAGAAGGAUAUCUCGUCGGAGUUAGAGAUCGGCGAGUUUGAAUCUGACGAGAAAUGAGAUCGAUACUCAUACGCAUUAACGGAAGAAAUAAAUAAUAUUAAAAUGAGGAAAAAUUAUUAUAAACGGAUGAAAUUAUUACAAAGAAGUUAAAAUUAAAUUACAAUUUGGGUUUUUUAAUGAGAAAAAGACCAAAAUAGCACUAAAUGAUGUUUUUGUUCUCAAACUAGCACUCAAGGCCAAAAGUCACAAAAAUAGCACUCAAGAGGUGGGGUUUAGGGUUUAGAAUUUAGGGUUUAGGGUUUAGAGUUUAGGUUUUAGGGUUUAGAGUUGAGAAGUGAGGUUUUGGGGAUAAGAUUUCAAAUUUUGAAAAAUAAAAAAAUUUAAAUUUUUCAAAAGAUAAAAUGCUAUUUUGGUCAUUUUAGUUUUUUUUUUUUUUUUUUUGAGUGUUAUUUUUGUGAUAUAAACUUAGAAAGUUGCUAUUUUAGAGAUUUGCCCCUUUUUAAUUGGUAAAGCUGGCGGCUGAAAUGUCCUUUGAUUUCUUAACACAAGUCUGCAUAAUAGUCUUGGUCAGUUCAAUUCUUCUAGAUUUUUUUUCUUUUAAUUAACCACUUAUUUAACUCUAGUUUAAGCAAUCUUCACUUUAACAAACCAACUUAAGUUAACUACUUACGUUUACAUUAAUUAAAGGCUUCUUAACUUGCUUCCCCAACAAAGAUUAUUCAAAAAAAAAAAAAAUCUUAUGAGCUAUCUUCAUCAAUAAGAGAGGAAAAACACGUUUCAGACCAUUACUGUGAUUGUUCUUGUUUUGUAACUCUUAUUAUCGUCAAAGCAAUUACAGAUUGCUCUUGUUUUUUUGUUGUUAAUUUCCUUAACAAGUUCCAAUAAUGACAAUAAAAUAGUUCGGUCGUCAAUCGAAAAUAACAAUGUAAGCUCUUUCUUCUUCCUUAAAAGCUAAACCGUGGGAAAACUUUCCAUUGUUCACCUUUCAGAACUAAUACUCGAAGCCUUCUUAUGCUUUCCGCGACGUUCUUUCACAUCCUUAAGCUUCUCUAUCUUCACAUUCUCACUGUUAGACUUCGACACAGACCCUUCUUGAGCACUGCACAUUUGAUGCGACUUCAGCUUUAUACCAAACCCAAGUUUCUUAGAAACAUUCUCCCACGUUUUGCCACCACCACCAACCUUACUCGUCUUACCUAGUUUCUCAAUCUCCUGUCUCAUAUUCGAACACUCUUUCUCCAACUCGCAAACCCUCAUCCUCAUACUGUCCAUCCCAACUUUCAAGACUUGAUUCUCUCUUACUGCACUUGCCCAUCCUCCUCCUUCUGUUGAUCCUCCUGCAAACCCGCCGCUUCUUAACUGUCUUGACCCGCCAUCGAGGUUGUCUGAAACCAGGAAGCAUCCAGCUACAGAGGUUCUAAGCUGAAGCUGCUCAAAGAAGAGGACUUGGACUAUUACUCUUAGAGGUAAUCUCUCGUUCUGCGCCGCGUGUGUGCAAGCUUCUAAAGAGAGCUUCUGGCAGUCUAACAACCUGCAAAGAUUCUCUCUUUCUGCUUCUGCUAACCAUGGAUGAUGCUGCAAAUCAUCAUAUGAAGAAAAGAAACAACUUAAUAAGUCUUUGUUAAAUAAAACACUAGAGUUGGACAUUAGUUUUUUUGGGUUGGUUUAUUCGGUUUUGGAAAAAUACUGCCAAUGUAAACCGAACUAUAUUUUGGUUUUCUUUGGUUCGGGAUUCGGGUUAUUCGGAUAGGUUUUCGGUAUUAUUAUUUAUCCCGAACCAAAAUUUGUUUAACAUAUCGGUUCAUUCAGUUAAUUUGGUAAAAACAAAAACUCGGUUAUGUAAAUUUUAAUUUUCCGGGUUUAUUCAGUUUGUUUCGGAUUAUUUCAGUUUAUUCAGUUUAUUUGGUUAAUAAUAUGUUUCAAACUGAUCGGUUCUUGCUUGCCGAACCGAACCAAAAACCGAUUAAAAUUUUAAAAAUGGGCAGAUCAGUUUAUUGGUUCAACCAGAUGUUAAACCGAAAACCGAAAAUUUUGGUUCGUUCGGUUCGGUUUACUUCAGUUCAGCGCUAUAGGAAAAAACAAUUAUAGUAGAAGAUUGAUGGUUGGUUACCUUUAAGUAAAUGUCUAUUGCGCGAUAUAGUCCAUCAUCCAAGAGCCUAGCACACUCAGGAACAGAACCAGCCAGAGCUUGAAACUUCGGAAGCUUGAGAUUCACAUCAGGAGCCACUUCAGCAAGAUACCCAUCCACCAGCUUCGCAACCGCCGUCAUCGGCGUUAUCCUCUGCGGUGAGCCCAUCAAGUUCCCAUCAUCCACCGAAGAGCAAGGAGAGCCAACACCACCACCAACAGUCAUGACCUGAUCAGUACCAAGAAAAUGGUCCAAGAUCCUCUGCACAGAGUCAACAUCGUAUAGAGUCUCCAUCGUGUGAGUAAAGCUAGGCAUCACAAGAUCCUCCAACGCCGCUUGGUCGAGCUGCAUCCCUAUCCUCUUCUCCAAGUUGGCUAUGCAAGUGGGACUAGCCUUCAGAAUCUUGGCGACUCGGAGCAUGUCGACGAAGAACUUGGUCGGGACUAAACCUUUUUGCAUGCUGAGAAGGUCUUGGAUCUCUUCGAGCAAGUGCUUUUGCUCUUCUUCGGAGAGUACAUUCCCUGAGCUGCUGAAACGACCACUAGCUUCAGGUCCUCCACGGCGUCGUUUUAAGCCGGGUAAGUGUUUUCUUGUGUAGUAAGUUAACGAACCGGCUAUGAUGUCUUCUCUUGCGCCUCCUCUGGAGUCCAUGACUGUGAUGAGUCUUUUAAAAAGAGGAAAGCUAAGCGUGGAGGCGUCCUCGUACCACCAAUCUGAGCUAGUGUGUUUGAGUCUAGCCCCCGUGCUUAUCCCGUUCCAUAGCACGCUGCCACCUGGACUAUGCAUGGGGUCCACGACCGGCCAUCCGAGAAGGUUCGGGUCUGUUGUUGAUGCUCUCGCGGCUAGCGACUCGAUGCAUUUCUUGGUGAUGUUCAACUCCUCUGCGUAGUGGGAGACCUCGCUGCAGGUUUGGAGGGCUUUUAUUGAGUCUUUCCAGCUUUUGAGGACGACUUGGUUGAGGAAAGAUUCGGUUUGGGAGAUUAGGUUUCCUUCGGCGUGGUCCUCAGUCAUUUCGAGAUGCUCAGCUGCGCAUCUGAGGUGUACGACGUUGGAGGCGGUGAGUUCGAGUUUUACACCGUAGCAGAACUUGGCGAUAAGCUCGAAUGUUUUGUCUCCUCCGGGAAGAUCAGAGAUUUGAAUGAGACAUUUGUCAUCAUCAUCAUCCCCUUGUUGUGAUGCCUCUGCGAUGUUUCUUUCCAUGACUCCACUUCUAGAGAGCAAAGGAAACUGCACAUAGCGUAGAAUCAAAAGCCUAUAAGAUAUCUUUGAUACAUGAUAUUGUAGAAGACAAUAAUCAUUAUAGAUAAAGGCAGCUUAACAUUGUGUUACAAGAAGACUAGUGUUGUCUUUGUUUAAGGUAAUUAAAUUUACCUUGUGGAGAUGGAAAGACAUCUCUCCAACUUCAACGACAAUGUCACUUGGAAGUCCAGUUGUGCAAAACCUGCAAUAAUUGAGCAAAGAAGAAUAAGUCAGAGAAAGGAAUGCUGCAGAGCCAGUCAAACUAGGAGGAGAAUCAAGAAGAAGCAAAAACUAGGAACAGAGAUGCAAUAUAUAAAAAAAAAAAAGGAAGUAGUGAGAGAACAAGUGAAUAUACCAAGCCUGGCCUUGUCUCUGGAAAGCAUCAGAUUUGGAUCCCAGCUUCAUGCAAGCCAUAACUUUCUCUCAAAACAGAACUCAACAAAUAAACUACAAUAGCUAAGCCUCCAAAAAUCCUAACGUACAACAACCAAACCAAAAAAAAAAAACUGCUAAUUUUCUCAGAAAGAAAGAGACUUUAGAUCUAUCCCUUAAUACCCAGAUCAAUUUCACUCGGACAUUUGAACAAACACUUAAAAGCUGCCUCCUUUCUUCACACUCAGUAGCUCACAUUAAUCUUCCAGAAAUUAAAACCUAAAGGCCCAAAAGAAUCACACGGAAUGUGUAAUGAUAUAUAGAGAUCCCCUUGGCCAAAACCCCACUAAAAGAAACUCAGAAUCUUAAAUAAUCUUAUCUGUAACACCAAAUUCAAACCUUUUCCCCCAGCAAAGUAAUGAAAAGAAAGAAAGAAGCUGAACCCCCAAAAACCCAGCUAGACAAGAACAGCUAAGCAGAGAAGUAACUUACCAGUUCUUGUUGCUUUAUACGAGAAUAUACAUGUAAGGGGGACCAUAUAGCCAAUUGAUUGAUGUCUGGUAAUAAGGAAAAAGUAAAAUUAAAUUAAAUAUAGUUAAUAUUUUUGUGUUUUUGUAUUGGUUGCUUUAGAAUAUAGAAACUUUAUUUUAAUCCAUAGUGUAAUAAAAGGUGGACAUUUGAAAAUCUCGAAAUUUAUAUUAGAAGAUUUUUUUAAUUAUUAUUAUUAUGAGCACAUGCACUUGGAGGGUCCUUCACUCCUUUGUAUCUUCAAACAUACUCAUUGUGUUGAUUCUUGAAAUUAGCAAACAUUUUUGUUUGUAGCUAAAAUUACAUAAAGUGUGAAAGUUUGAUUAAUUACGUCCUAAUCUUUACUCAAAGAAUCCAAUCCUUCUCGCUGAUCUUUGGCGUGCGAGUAAGGUUAUAAUAUGCUCACUCUCCGUAGAGACCAUUUUAUAGAUACCAUACAAAGUAUAUGAUUAUGAAAGUCAUACAAUUUUUAUUUUGCAGUAAAUAUGGGAUUUUAAUAAUUUUUUGUUAAUAUAUAGUAAUUGUUUGUAAUGUUUUUGUUUGCUAAGAAAUUGUUUGUAAUGUUUAUUACAUUUUUGUCUUUGCUUUCUAAUUUUAAAUAGUUAUCCACAUUGUAACUUUAAAACUACCUUCAAUGUUAUCUUUUAUUUUAACUAUAAAAUAUAUGAAGAAAUUCUCCAGUAUAUUUUAUACAAAUAUAAAGAAAUGUUAUUAUUUUUUGAUAUAGGGAAAAUAGUAACCUUUAUGUUAAAGAAAAAAUGUAUUUAUAUAUAACAUCUAAAGUUAAAUGUAGAAUUGAGUUGAAAAUGCCCUAAAUAAUUUGAAGGGGAUUACUGUAGCUGGGAAUUCGCUUUGCUGAUCAAAAUUAAGGAUAAGUGCGGUCAGUCGUUAUAAACAUAACGCUAUACAUAUGUUUAUAUAAAAGAAAAAGACAAUGUAAUAUGCUUAAAUUUCGAAACCAAUAAUGCGAACUUGGCGAAGUUAGAAAGACAUUAUUGACAAAAAUAUUCCUCUAUUAUUAGUGACUGACUGAAUGUGAUUUUUGUCCGUACUAUCUAUCUAAGCAUGUGAUUGAAGCUUCCUUGUCCGACGAAAUUGGUUUUGGCUAUAACCAGCAUGGCCACGUGAAGAUUAAUUGAACCUAUCUCCAGCUUAUAUCGUUGGUUUUAAGUUUUGCAUUUCUCAACUCUCCACUAAAAACUGAACCAACAACUUCGAUAAAUAAUAAGUUAAUUACUAAUGAUUAUAUCAUGCUUUAAACUGUGCCCUGGCGACGAUUUUAAGUAAAACAUUUGAAAAUUUGAAGUUUUGUCCGGGCUUCUAGCCGUGCACUGACUCAAGAAUAAACCAUGUGUGGUAAUGAUGAAUCUAAAGAAUUCUAAUGAAACUCUUACGUGGCAACCAUUAGGGAGAGCCCUAUUCAAAUUCCAUACAUAUGAUUCAUAAGUAGGGGGGAAACAAAGGAUUUUAUAUAUUGUAAAGAUAAAGUAAAUUAUAUUGUGGCUAAUUUCAUUUUAGAAACAGGGCAAAAAAUAUCACAAAAAUUCGUUUCAAAAAUCAGCACUUUUACAUGAAUGGCAUGUAUAAUGCUUACAGUCUAUAUAUACGUUUACAUAGUUAUUACUUGCUGGCCUACACCAAUCUUUGUUUUAUUUACAAUCAAAAUUAAAUAAUGUAAGCUACUGGUUACUAAUUUUGUCAUCUUUGAGUUCAAUUUGGCUGCGCUGUUCCCGUGGAGGAUGAUGUAGAAGUAGUUGUCGAAGUUUCACUCUUAAUAGCAACCUCAACGAAUUGGGUUGUGACUUGUUCCCACUUGGUGAUUGUCGUCUUUAUCUCUGCUUGUUGUUCUGGUGUGCAUGUCAUUGCUCCUCCUUUCUUGCUUUGAUUUUGGGUUACAAUUUUAGCGUAGAUUGCAUUUAGCUCUUCCAUAUUCUUUAUCACUUCUGCUUGGUAAGUUUCCAUUGACUUCUUUACCUGUCGAUAUUACCAAGAAAAAAAAAGAAUAUAUGUAUAUAGACGUUUGGUUAUUAAUAUUCUAAAUGAAAUAUGCAUUUUGUAACGUACUUCUGCUGAUUUGUUUCCAAUUCUUGAACGAAUAAAUUGCAUGGCAUCACCUAUUUUCCCAACAGCACCUUUGAUCAUACCGAACAAGCCUCCUUUUUUCUUAGGAGAAGAAACCUUUGCGGAACCUGUCAUGGUACUCUUUAGCUUCUCGAAAAAUUGCUUGUAUUCCUCCUUCGGUGGACACUUCUUCUCUAGGUUCAUUAGGAAUGUCAUAACUUGUUCGGAAGUCUGAGUCUCGACUUCUGUCACUGUCACUUCCGUGGUCUGGCUAGUAGUUUCACUUCUACUUGAAGCAGUGUUCGUGUUACCUUGAGAUUGAUUGUUUGUAUCCGUAGAGGGAGUUCCAGCUCCAGGGUUUGAACCAGCUGAUGGCUUGUUUGAUGGACUUCCAGUAGCGCUUCCGGAGUUAGGACUCGAAGAGCCUCCAGUGGUACCUUGAGAUUGAUUGUUUUUAUCCGUAGAGGGAGUACCUUGAGAUUGAUUGUUUGUAUCAUCCGUAGAGGGAGUACCUUGAGAUUGAUUGUUUGUAUCCAUAGAGGGAGUUCCAGCUCCAGGAUUUGAACCAGCAGAGCCUUCAUUGUUUGUUGUGCUAACUACCAUAGUGUUUGUGAUCUUAACAAUCACAGUCUGCCACUUCAAGAUCCCAUCUUUGAUUUCUUUAAGCUGUUCAGGUGUUAGUGUCGUGGUUUCUUUCUCUUCUUUCUUGCGGCCACCGAGAAUUCUACCAGCCAAGGAUUUCAUAAACUUAAAGGUUUCGAUAGCUUCCUGUUUCUCCUCUUGAAUUUCACUCUUUAUCUAUUAUGCAUAAUAUGCAUGAUGAAGUAAAUAAAAAAUUGUUUAUUAGCCUCGGACCCUGAUCGCUUAGAGCAUCAUGAUUUUAUGUGAUAAUUUGUAUGUAAAAUAUUAUGAAAAACUUAUAUGUAAAAUAAAAACACAUAUAACUUCUGAGUGCGAAAAGAAAUAUUAAAAUGUCAGAAAGGCACUAAUUAUAAUAACCUCUUUCACUUACCCUUCCAAUAGCAAAAGAGGCUAUGGAUUUGAGGAUGCCUGCUUCUUUGGCCUUCAUGUCAGUAUCAUCUUUUUUGCCAAAUAUUUUUAGUGGGCAAACAUACUUGGCAAAUCCUCUAAGUUUGUCGAAGAACAUUUUGAAUUUGCUUGUUUUAGGACAUUCUUUCUCGAGGUCCCCCACAAAUACCAUCACUACGUUAACAGUGUAGCCUUCAACGUCACCCACCGUCUUCGGAUCUUCAAUCUGUGGUAAAGAUGGCUUCAGCUUCAGAAAAGCUGAAGUCACGUCUAAAAGGGUUACAGAUGCAAAUACAAGUGUGAAGCAUAACAAUAAAUGAACUCUUGCCAUUGUUCUUUAUCUUUUUCUUUUUGGUUUUCCUAAAUUUUCUAUAUCUUACGAGGAACAAAGUAUGAAUUGAAUGAUUUGAAUUGAAAUGGAAUGGAAUUAUUAUUUUUUGUUUUUAUAGGGUUGUUUAGUGUCCUAUGUUUAGAAUCGUUGAUCCUAUAACCAUUGAGAAUUUGGUGGACUAAGCAAAGAGUUUAAUGGUUCCUUACGUUUCAUAAAUCAUUGAUUUUAUACCACAGAAACAAAAAGACAUAAGUAACUCAUCUAAAAUAACAUUUAAUAAAUUUCAAUAAAUAUAAAUAACAUGUUUUAGUAGGAGAUUUAUAACAUGUUGAUUCCCAUUAUAUCAUGUUUUCCAGUGUUUUUUUUUCUAGUAAAAACAGAAAAGAAUAAUUUGCCCCGUAAGAUUAAUCAAAAUGUAUUACCAAUCAGAGCGUUGUUAUCUCAUUAAUUACUGUCGUCCGUCUGCCUUUAAUUUGUCUUCCUCCACUCAUCACAUAAUCUAAAGAUUCAUUUUCUCUUGCCAACAAUUCACAAUAUUCUUUUAACAAAGUUGAUUUAUAUCCUUCAAAACAUUACCACCCAGUCUUUUACUUAUUUAUCUAAAUUUUAGAAAAGUUAAAAUUUUAUUUAAAACUCCGUGUAAAUUUGUUUGGCAAAGUAUAUACACACAAUGAAAAUUAAUUAAGAAAUGAUGAAAAGUAAAGAAAAAUAUGCAUGCAAUGUUCUUUUUUUUUGGACAAAAUGCAACUAGUGAUCUUAUUUACACACAAAAAAAUAAUGUUCUUAGGGCAUCUCCAUCCCUACUCCAUUUUUUCCUCUAAAAUGGAGUAAAAGUGAAUAUGGAGUAAGGAAUGCUUCAACCCCACUCCAUAUCUCAUUCCAUAAUGAAAUUUACUCCAUAAAUGGAGUAAUCUAUUUUUUGUUUGUUCAUCACUUCAUUAUGGAGUGGGAAAUGGAGUAGGGUUGGAGCAAUUUUACUCCAUUUUCACUUUUAUUCCAUUUUGGAGUAAAAAAUGGUGUUUUACAUUGGAGAUGCAUCUCCAAAAGAAACUCUAUAACUUCAAAUAUAGAGUUUUUUGUUCUCCAAAAAUAAACUUCAAAACUUUAAAUUUAGAGUUUUAAGAAGUGAAACUUCAUAUUUAAAGUUUCACAACUCAAAACUCUAAAUUUAAAGUUUCAUCUUUUUAUUUGCAUAUUAUCUUAUAAUUAAUUAUACAUCAUUUAUGAUUAUUACGUAUUUUCUCAUUCAUAGUUUUAAUCUUUAAUUUUUUUAUAUUUUAAAUAUUUCAAAUUUAUUUUUAUAAAUUAAAAUUUUACACAUAAAAGUUCUUUAAAAAUCCAAAAUAAGAUUUAUAAUAUUUUAAAAGUAGAAUUAGACAACAAGAAUAUUACAAAACAAACUUAAUAAAAAAAUUUAAGAAGAUAUAUACAUAAAUACAUAAUUAAUACACAAAUUUAAAUAUUACAACAACACUAAUAGUCUAGUAAAUUUUUUUUGGAACUUCUAAAAUAUUGUCCAAACAAAUUUUGUACAACUGAAAAUGGAGCAUUAAUAAAAUAAUUUUAUGUAAUAAUGUGGUAUUUUUCUUGUAGUUAAUAUUUAAUUAUGUAUUUCAAUUUAUAAUUUUAUUUUUAGUAUAAGAGUUUAUUAAUUAAUAUUAAUAUAAUAUUUUUAUAUAUGUGCUAGUUAUCUGCAAAAGUUUUAUGGAUUUAUAUUAAUUAUGAAAAAUAUAAGGAUCAUAGUGUAAAUUAUAAAUAAUUUUGAAGUUAAAUUUGAAGUUUUGCUUUUGAAGAAGAUCAUUUUGAAACUUCAAAUAUAGAAUUUGCAAAACUCUAUACUAGAGACUCUUUUUGGAGACGCUGUUAUUCCAUAUUACCAGCAAAAAAAAAAACAGUGUUCUUAUUUCUUAGGAUUCUUGAAAUCUUUAAUUCAUGUGCUUCGAUAUUCAUUUGAUUUUUCAUUUCUUUAUGCUCAUUGUCCACACCAAAAAAGCUCGUUGGCUUUUACAUCAUGUUCCUGCUUUUUUUCGCUGUACACUCGCCCCCGCACAGCCACACACACAAGUCAACCCCAGUUUUUUUAAAUCCAAAUUCUUUGUCAACAAAAAGAAAAAUCUAUACUCUACUCUACCUUAGACAUAACUUUAAAUGUACGGAAAAGUUUAAGAUGUCUUAGAUGGAGUGAAAUCGGGAUUUUAAUUUGAACGUUUGUAGUUGUGUAUAAAUGUGAAGGCAUUACUACGUGUUCAAUUUAUUAUGAAUGUAAAAGUAAACUGCAUGAUGAUAAAUGACCUCGCGUUUCUAGACACAACAAAAGUUGUGAAAAAGAAACGAUUUACAAAGUCCGAACAAAAUCAUUAAUAGAUGUUGCAUACGUUUGCUUGCCUUUUAGACAAAGGCGUGAAAGUCCAUUAAGCCACACAUGGGAAACAAACUCACUACACGCCUCGGCUUUCGCAAGCGUCACGCUUUUUACGUCAAAUACUUUAAUUUUUGGCUAAAGCGAGGAGCCAAAGAUGAAGUAAAAACCAAUAAAUGAAAUAAACUUGCCACGUGAUAGCAAAAAAAUCUCCGUUGCCGGGACUCGAACCCGGGUCUCUCAGGUGAGAGCCGAGUAUCCUGACCAGCUAGACUACAACGGAUUCGUGAUUGUUAGCCUGAAUGAAACUUUAAUAGAAACAUCCUAAAGAAGUCACUUGUACAUAUUGAUAGCAAUUCUUGUGGACCUAAUAUUUAUUUGUAAUAUAUAGUCUCUGGUAAGUCACUUAAGGUUUCAGCAUCAGAUAACUCUCCCAACAUUGCCAAAACAAGUGAUGUCUUACCUUCUAUACUACCUACAAUGGCAACCAAGCUUCCACCUGUUAUCUCCAAAUUGAUAUUUGGCUUUAUUUUCUAAGAGAUAUAUAUUAGAGUUUAUAACAUAUAUAGACACUUGUUGAGUUUUUAUUACAAAGAAGAGCAGUUGUUGCUACUAGGACACUUUAUGUUGGUGAAAGUCUUCUUUGUCCUUCAAAAAGGCAAACCAGGUGUGGGCAUAUUUGUAAUAGAUCAUUUGUUUCUGGUUAUUCUGGUUCGUAGAUUUAAAAUUCAAAACCGAUGGAAAUUGAUUGGUGGAACCUUGGAGCAUAUUUUAAUUUAGUUAAUUUUCUGAGAUUGGGCCCGUAAAAAAGUAAAACUAUAAUAUUUUGUUUCAACUUUCCCAAAUCUGUAAACCUAAUUUUACUUUCCGGCGACGAGUGACGGAGCAGAGACGACGGUGUACAUCGACGGAGAACAAAAGGCUAUAACGAUCAAGCAUAAGCGGUGUGGCAAAGACACAGACGACAGUGAGUUCAUGUUUUUGCUAGAUUGAAGGUUACUUUUGUUCUUAACUGCAAAGCGAUUAACACAGUCUAAUGCGUUCAAUCGUUCCAGGGACGAUGAGAAAUAAGCGGACAUAAAUGGGGGGGAGACAAAGGUUAAAUCUUUUUCUCGUUUCGAAGGCGUUCGGGUUUAAGUUUCAGAUUAAGGUUUGGUCUGCGAAAGGACUCCAAUUUGGGAGUUAUCUAAGAUCGUUGAUGUGUUUUGUGAAUUCCGGGUUUUGUGCUUGAAUGUAGUGAAGAGAUGGAGACGAUGAGUUUCAGUUGUACCGGUGUGGCUUAGGCGUUUAGGGGGGACUUUUGAAGCUAUACCGGUGUGGCUUAGGCGUUUAGGGGGGACGACGAGCUGAAGCAGCUGAGUUAUGUCAAUGAGAAGCUCCCACAACACACAAGGUUGGCGGAGGUGCAAGAGGCUGAGCAUGAUCCUCAGGUAACUAUUUAUACACUUGUACAAACGUUUAAGGUUGUACACGUAACAUGUGAUGUACAUGUGUAUAACAAGAACAUAUGUCUACAUGUGUACUUUGCAUACUAUGCUUAUAUGGUUUGCGGUUGAGUUGUAUAUUGAUUUUACUUUGGUUCGCCGUGUUUUAAUGUUUGCUACUGACUGUGCAACCUAUGGUUGGUUUUGGCGGAGGUGUAAGAGGCUGAGCGUGAUCCACAGGUAACUAUUUGUACACAUGCAUGAACAUUUAAAGUGGUACACCUUACAUGCGAUGUACAUGUGUACAACAAGAAUAUAUGUGUACAUGUGUACUUUGCAUAAUGCUUAUAUGGUUUGCGGUUAAAGUGUGUAUUGAUUUUGCUUUGGUUUACCGUGUUUCUAUGUUUGCUGCUGACUGUGUAACCUAUGGUAGAGUGUAGGGAGGACAAGGAGGAUGGCUGGGGGGAAUUUGACAGUGAAUAUUUUGAUCAUAAAGUUGCCAACAUGGUUGAGCUUCUGAAGGAUGAGCACAAAUUCAGAAACACAUAAGUGAAGAGGCGGUGAUGCAUGUGUGUCUAUAUAGAUGUGUACAAGCAAGUGUGUGCAUGUGUACAAGCAAAUGUGUACAUGUGUACAAGUGUACAACACCGAGUGCUUACACGUGUACAAGCGAGUACAUGUACAAUUUAUGGCAUGUACAUAAGUAGUUUAUUUUUGACAUGUUUGUUGGUGUUUAAGGAUGAAUAUUUUUAGAUGCUUUGGGCAUAUAAUGUAAAGUAUCAAGAUGAUUGUUGAUUCUAAGUAAAACUUUUCGCAUUGAUAUGUAUUUUUGUAGUGUACAUAUAAGCUAAAAUUGUACAAAGUAAUGACUAAUGUAGAAAAAUUGUAAGAUCUCUCUUUAAUCAAAAACCAAAAAGUUCACAUGUACACAAGUUCAGUUAUACAAUGAUUUCUAUAUACACCGUAUAAUUUUUCUACAUUUACAAAUUUAAGUAUUUGUAAGGUCUAUAUUAUUAAAGUAUACACAUGUAUUUCAUUGUCCACAUAUACACCAGUUCAUCGGUACAUUUAUUUGAUUUUAACAUAUAAUUGCAAAUUUGAAUAUUUUAAGGACCAAUAUUAUCUAAUAUCAACUAAAACAGUCUAAUAUAAAGUAGUGUACAUAAUAUAUGGGUGAUUUUAAUGGUUUUCACAAACAUGUACAUGUACACUUAGAAUGUACACAUGUACACAUGUCUAUAUGUACGCUAUUUUUUAAUAAUUAAUUCAAUAAUGGCAUUAUCGUAAUUAUGUCAUCUUCUUCCCUAGUUCCUUAAGGUUACGAAUUUUGCAGAAAAAAUUUGGGGGUUCUUAGGUCAUUGGUAGGAACAAAAUGAAUGACAACCUCAAAUCAUUUGACUUGGUCUUAUGCUCUUGAUUUCAUGCUGAUUUGUUAGAUGCGUUUUUCGGUGGUAAAAUGAAACAAGAUGAAGAAGGAAAGGUACAUAACAGCACAGAAAGCUUCUCUGUGACCGGAGCUUGACGGUGACAACAAGUGCAGCGGCUUGGGUAAAGAAGCUCACCGUGGUUAGGGUUACCGCAUUCGAGCUCGUGUGCUCGUGACUCAAUCGUAUUCGCGACAUAGAAUUUUGACGAGGGCUCCGAUGGUUUUAACGGCGGCUGAGAUUCACAGAGGAAAAAGAGAGAGAACAGAUCUUGACCAUCCAGUAUGUAAAUAAAUCAAUGGCUUAUAACAAUUCACGUGACUUUAUUAAUUGAUACAAGUUUUUUGUUUAUUUAUAUCUACAUCUGCAAAUAAAUCUCAGCCGUUGCCAUAUAUAGGAGAUCGACGGCUAGGGUAAAAUCCCGCCAUAAUAGCCAAUGGGAAGAAGCUGUGUACUUGGGCUGUAACGAAAAGAGGGUAAUGUUAGUUAAGAAAGAAACUAGAUCAGACACAAGCUGUUAGGUAAAGUGUGUUUGUAUAAGAAAGUGUCCUAUGGUGUAAUUAAAGAUUGGAAAAGUGUCCUAGAGUGUAAAUGUUUCUAUAUAUUAACCUUACAGAAAGUUAUGUACUGUAGAUCUUAGAAACUUGACUAAAUUAAAUUGAUUUUUUUUUUGCUGUGUGUACAUAAUUGGAUUUAAAUGGAUAUAUUGUUCCGUGUACUACAAGAAACAAGGAAAAGACAAGUUCAUCAAAUGAGACCUUUAGGUCAAGUAAUGUAAAGCCUUUCUUCCUCUACAUCUCAACGUUGUCCCAGUCAAACGAUCUCCCCUCCAAGUUGUAAUCCUGGUGUUGCAUUCUGUUCUUCGCCAAUCUGCUCAUCACCGCAAGCCCUGAAAGUGUAUAAUACACACAUAAUCUUGGAUCAAGAAACUUCAAACAUUUCUAUAUCUAGUAGCAGAGAGAUCUUACACAACAACGUUACCUUCAAUCAUUUUGUAAACAGAUGGCCACCAACGCUCUCUAGACAUAUCAUUUUGAGUAAGAGACUCUUCAAUCUCUUUAUCAUGUUUCCCUUCGAGAACACCGCGUAGUGUAACUACAGCGUCUUUCGUUCUCUUCAAAAUACUGUCAUCAUCUUCGAUUUCAAGGCUUUGAAGGUCGUUGUGAGAUGAAGUGAGACUCACAGCCAAAGCAAACUGAGCAGCUGCAGCCCAACGAGAAGACGCUCGCCAUUUUCUCUGACCUUCUUCUAAAGGCUGCGAUGAAUCAUCACCAUUAGCAUCUCUGUUACGUUUGUUUUCAAGCACUAUACUACGCAAGUACUCAGCAUUCGCAGCUCCUGUGCUUUGAACCAUCUUAGAGAAUGAACUUUCUCCGUUUGAAAGAAGAUUCUCCGGUGUGCUGAACUCCUGAACUUUUCCAGAAUCAAGAACGAGGACUUUGUCACAGUCGAUGAUGGUAUUGAGACGAUGAGCGAUGAUAAGCAUUGUGCAUGACUUGAACUCUUCUCGGAUGGUCUUUUGGAUGAGAACAUCGGUUCUAACGUCAACAGCAGCAGUUGCUUCAUCAAGGACAAGUAUCUUAGAUCUUCGCAACAGUGCACGUGCAAGACUCAACAACUGUCUCUGUCCAACACUGAAGUUCUCUCCUGCCUCAGAUACCUGACCAAAUAGACUUUGAGUUACUCUAAUAAACACAAGAGACUUUCAAAAGAGUAAAACAUUAAAGCAAUAUUCUAAAAAUCGGUCUAGGUGGCAAAUCAGUUGUGAAAUGAUUUUCUUAAAUUCUGAUUUAUGCGAUUCAAAUCAACCGUUAUAAAUCGGCUAAAAUUGGUCUAAAUCUGUUUAAUCAAGUAAUAAUAAUGUUAAUGCAAAUCCAUAAAUUUAUCUAAUUGCUUUUUGAGAAAAAGACCAAAAUAGCACUAAAUCAAGUUUUUGUUCCCAAACUAGCACUCAAGGUCAAAAGUCACAAAAAUAGCACUCAAGAGAUGGGGUUUAGGGUUUAGAAUUUAGGGUUUAGAAUUUAGGGUUUAGGGUUUAGAGUUUAGGUUUUAGGGUUUAGAGUUGAGAAGUGAGGUUUUGGGGAUAAGAUUUCAAAUUUUGAAAAAUAAAAAAAUUUAAAUUUUUCAAAAGAUAAAAUGCUAUUUUAGUCAUUUUAGUUUUUGAGUGCUAUUUUUGUGAUAUAAACUUAGAAAGGUGCUAUUUUGGAGAUUUACCCUUGUUUUUUUGUAUAUCUAAUUUAUAUAAUUCAUCAAAAAAUUCAUAAUUAGACACAAAAAACUAAAAUAUCUAAUAAUAUAUCUAGGUGUCGCUGAGACCCCAAAUAAUCUGUGUAGUAGCUAGUUCUUUACAAAGAACCUAAUUACCGCCUAAAGUUUUAUUGAACGUUGUGUUAAACUAAGUACCUCAGCAUCAAGACCAAGAGGGUUCCUCCUGAUGGUAUCUUUCAGGUGAGCCCUCUCAAGAGAUUCCCAAAGAUCAGCGUCGUUGUGUUCACCAAACGGGUCAAGAUUGAACCUCACAGUACCUAGAUAACAAAAAGACACAUCAGUUAUUGACUUAUGAGAAAAAACAAGUACCAGAAGCAGUAUGAGACGUCACGUACCUGAGAAAAGAACAGGAGCUUGAGGUAUGAUUCCAAGAACUUUACGUAGAUCCAUCAAGCCAAACUUGCCAAUGUCGCAUUCAUCGAUCAAGAUCCUUCCCUUCUCCACCUCCACGAUCCUGAACAAGGCAUUCAAAAGGCUUGACUUCCCAGCUCCUGUCCUUCCAACGAUUCCCACUUUAUCCAUCGGAGAAAUGAAGAAUGAAACACCAUGAAGCACAGGAGGUAACUCAGGACGGUAACGAAGAACAACAUCUUCGAACUUUAUAGAACCAGAUGAUGGCCAUCCAGGAGGUGGACGGUUGCUCUCAACAACCAAUGGAGCCUCCGAUGGUAACUCUAUAUAGUUUCCAACACGCUCCACCGAGUUCAAACUGUUCUCAGCAAGACUCGCGAGUCUAAGCACAGCUGUUAACGAGCUGGUGAUACUCAAAGCGUAACUGAGUAGCAAACCCAUCGUAGAUGCAAACGCUUGUUGAUUCUCUGCUUUACCAUUCUGCAUGACGGCUAAUGAAGCAGUUAACCAUACCAUGAGACCUCCAAGAAAUUCCAAACGGAUUCCUAGCCACCGAUUUGCACCCAUGUUUACGAGAGUGAAUCUGAUGUUAUUAUCCAUUGAUCUUCCGUUUAUUUCAGCCAUCCGGUCGUAUGCUUUGUAAGCACGGAUACUUGAUAAACCAUUCAACGCCUCUCCAAAUUGAGCGUAAACAGGCGAUCUUGAAACGGAAUCCAUACGUUUAAUUUCACGAGAUGUGUUCUACAAUAAGGAAAGAAUGGUUUAGCACACACAACACUAAUCAGCAGUGUUCUAAAAAUCGGUCUAAGCGGCCUAGUGAUUUCUUGAACGUUGCUAAUAAGUAUUGCGCUUAAAAGGUAUGUUUACCUGGUAGUAGAGAUAAGCUCCAUAAAACACGACCAAGAGAGGCAUGAUGGCCCAAAGGGAUAGUGUGCUGACAAUGCCGAUUAAGAUAACAGUUGAAAGAAGCUGUGCGAUUGAACCCAUGAACAUGUUAACAAAGACUGCAACCGUUCUAUCAAUAUCACCCGUAUCUUUUGCAAAUCGAUUGAUUAUACGUCCUAAAGGAUUGGUUUGAAAGAAGACCAUUGGAGCCCUUAGUAUGGAACCAAGCAUAGCAUCAUGCAUCUUCUUAGCUGCAUAAAGACUGACCAUAAUCAACCAAUAUGAAUUGGUCAACGUCACAAAGACCUGAAACCAAGAAAAAUAAGUAUGUCUUUAAUGGUCAGUAAUACUCUCUCUUCUUCAAAAAGAUGUUUGAUUAUAAUCCAUUUUUUGUGUUUAACUGCUAAUAACUUUUAUCCCAUCAAAAUUCAAUAAAAACAAUUAAUUUCUACAAAAUUUACAAUUUAUUAUAGUAUAAUCUAAUAAAAAUGCAUUGAAAAUAUAAAAAAUGAAUAUUUUUGAAACAUUUUUUUCUAAAACAUGAAUAAGUUUGAAACAGAGGGAAUAUAUUAGGACUCAAUUUUUAACAAAUAUUUACCAAAAGCAACUCAUACCUGUCCAAAGGAAAGAACCGCAUAGAUAAUAUUGUAGAAGAGGGGUCCAUGACUCUUUGGAGUUCCUGCAUCAGUCCACUCACUCAACCAAGUGCUGCUUGACACUCGAAACACUUGAGUCAAGACGUAGCAUACAAGGAGCAUCAUCACCACCCAUCCACCUCCAAGUGCAUCUCGGUACCUGGAACAUGGUAGUAACACCUCAAUAGUCAUUACAAUGACCUUCAAAAACACUCAAAAAAAAAAAAAAAUUCUUACCUCUUCAGGACUUUCCAACUCACAACUCCAGUUUCACGUUCUUCUCGCUUAACUAGCACAGAGGUUCCUUCUUUGGAUUUCUUUGUCUCGAUUCCAUCCUUCUGCAGAUUAUUAGUGUUGCCGUUCUCAACUGGUUUUACAGACGUUUGAUCUGCUUCAGCUUCUGAAUUUGCUUCAGAAUAUUCUUCAACUUUUCCAGCAUUUUCCAUUAAUCUUUGGAAUAAUGGGCCACUGUGGGAUAGUUCUUCGUAUGUUCCUUCCUCUUUUACUGUUCCCUCAUGGACAAGUAGAAUUUUAUCCACUUGUGAGAGGAAGUGGAGCUGGUUUGUAACAAGAACUCUCGUUUUGUUCCCUAGUUCUCGUUUUAUGCAUUUCUCAAAAACCUAUAACAGAAAGUUUCAAAGAUCAGAUAACAAUGUUUUCUCAAAGCAGUUAUAAGGAAGAACAAAACGUUAGAGUCCAAGAACCAAUGGCUAGUUUACCUGUUGACCAACAUGCGCAUCAAGGGCACUUAAUGGGUCAUCUAAUAUGCACACAUCUGAAUUUGAGUAGACAGCUCUAGCCAUAGAGACCCUCUGCUUUUGUCCCCCACUUAUGUUAACACCCCUUUCUCCAAUCUCCGUGAGAUCACCACCCUAUCAAUCAAGAGAAAGAAGAGGAAACAAACUUAGAUAACUGAGAACUAGAAAAGAGAAGUCCAUGCUACCAACAUAAUCGAUGCAGUUAAUGUCUGUUAACGGAACUUACAGGCAGUAACUCAAGGUCAUGCCUCAGUGCAGUCACAUCAAUCACCCUUUCAUAUUUUUCUUGGUCAAAAGGAGCCCCAAACAGUAUAUUGUCACGCACCUACACAAUGUAAAAACCAUUCAUCAGCUCAGAUUGCUUAAAAUUAAAUACUGGUGAAACUAAUCAGAAUCUGCAUGCAAACAUAUCUUAAAGCACAUAAGAACAUACUGUUGCGUUAAAGAUCCACGAAACUUGAGGAACAUAAGCGACUGAUCCUCUAAGAGUAACUGUCGCAUCAGAUAAAGCUGGAAGUUCUCCAAGCAUAGCAGAUAUCAGGGAGGUUUUUCCUUCUCCUGUACUGCCGACUACUGCAACUAGGCUACCAAUAGGUACAUCCAAGUUGAUGUUUGACAAGGUUGACCUAUCCGCCUGCAUAUGUAUAUUGGUUGCUCACUUUUUGGUAUUUAAAUGAAAAUAUGUAAUAUAAAUAAAGUGAAAGAGGAAAGGAACACGGGAUCAAGUAGACAAAUGAGACCUUUGAAUCCCAGGAGAAGCAUCCGUUCCUUAUUGAGAUAGCUGGCUGUCCAGGUUCAAUGGGAGGAUUUGGUAAGAGAACUCUCUCUUCCGUCGAUAACACCUCUUCCAAACGUUUUAAGGAUACAUUAGCAUUUACUAUCUACAAAAGUCAAAUAAAAAGAGCAAUUAGGAGCAAUUAUUACAAAUGAUGUCACACUAUUGAGCACCAGAAAUGAAAACAUGAGGAAAUAACCUGAGUUAUAAUGUUUGGAAGCAUGAAUAAAGGGAAGCGAAGCACAGAGAAUAGUGAAAGGGAUGUAAACGCUCUUGCAGGUGUGAGCUCUCCUCCAAGCAAUGAGAACACACCAAAUGAAACAACAGUCACCAGAACAGGAAUGCUGUUUAGUAUGAACAUAUUGAACUGCAGACAAAUGGAAGACGACCAAGAAUGAGUCAGAAAUGUACCACGAAAGAAAGAGGAAACUGAAAUAUAACAGUCUUAAGACAUACCGCUGACAGAAGUUGUGCUUUCCGGAACCAAGAGAGUUCAUCAUCACGAACAGUUUGAACCUUAGACUGAAAACUGUUUUCCCAAGCGUAGCACCUACAGUCAUUUGGUUUAGUGAGUAAGCAUUGCUUCAAACUUCCAACAAUGCAAAAAAAAAAAUAAUAUCAGGUUUCAGUUUUUCAAAGUAUAUCUUACUUCACUGUAUCCAUUGCGGCUAAAAUCUCAUUCAUUAGGCCAAUUCUCUUGUCAGUACGCUGCAACCCUUCUUUUGUUAACUUCUGCGUUUUGCUUAUAAUAACAGUCUGUUUCAACAAAAAAAUAAAGAAAACUAAUCAUUGCCAUUGAACAGAAAGAACCCUUGAGAAGAGAGAACACAAGGAUACAGAUAGGAAAUAAGCAUUAGUAGUAGAAAAGCUUUUAAAGAACCUGUAUAGGGAACAUAAGGACCAGAAACAAUGCGCCAAUGAGGGAGGCGACACCUAAUUGUUGAUAGAGGAGAACCAGUGCUACAAUAAUACGAAAUGGCGCCGACCACAUGGUAUGAAGUGAUUGGCAAAUUUGCUGUCACAGACAGAAGAAACAUUAGUAAAUAACAGUCUAUAUGCUAGUACUAACUUCAACCAAAGCUUAAAUAAAAACCAUUGUCCAAAAGUAACUCUUUCUACAAAUUGAUAUAGAGAAACAGACAGAAUUAAAGAGGUAAAAGGUAACAAAGAUGUAUCACCUGAAGAGACUCAGCAUCAGUAGUCAUUAAGUUUGUUAUUUUUCCUGUUUGAAACUUCUUCCGGCCCUCAUUAGUUAGCCUCAGCGACUUUCGGAACACAGCAGCAAUCUAUCAAGCGAACAAGUCAUCAGCAGAAAGAAACAUUGUACACAAUAAGAGAAGCAGAACAAAGAACACAAUGUAGCAAAAGAAAUAUAACGUGAAACUUCAGCUUACCAGGGCAGACCUUAGCCGGUAACCAACACGCAUCACAUUUUGGAAAUAUUGAGCUUCGCAUAGAACCCCAAACAUCUGAAAAUAUCAACAUCAACAUCAAGCGCUCGAGGAAUCCCUUGGUGAAAGUCUUACCCUAUACUAUCUUAAAUAAAACACCUUCAACAUGCAAAAGUAAUAAAUAUACAAAAGACAACAAACUCCAAGAUUAGCAUCAGCUUCUAAUAAACUCAAAUCAGACGGAAGAUUAAACCCAGUAAAACUGGUGCUACAAUCUGUAGCAUCUACUCUGGCGAAAGUUACAUGAAGUCCUUGAACGAGAGGAGAGACCAAGAAAACUAGAGACUCUGUUUCAUGUCACUUUUAACGAAGAUUGAGAGAAUGAAACAUACAUAUCCUCUAAACUCCAUGCAAGAGAUUGAAAUAGGCAGAGGGGAAAAGGAAUUUUGUUGCAUACCACUCCAACAAAGAUUGAGAUUGCAUAGAUGUAACCUAUCCAGGCUGGUUCAUUAAGUUGCAUUGACUGCAGAAAGUUUUAAGACCACAGUGUGAGAUAUUGUCAGAAAAUAAUAUCCAAAGAAUUAUAUGAUUUUAAAUGUAACCAAGAACGUUAAACACUAAUUUUUGGGCAUAUGAAUAUGGAUCCAUCUCAGCAAAUCCAUGUGAAUGAAAGAAAUAUACCUUUAAGAGCUCAUUCAGUAGAAGAGGCCCCACGAAUUGUGAACAGUCAUUCCCAAUCUGUGAUACAAUUUAGAUCAAAACACAUGAUUAAGAAGCUCCAAACACACCAUUUAGGAAAAUAUAAGACUUCUGAAGCCACAAAUAUUAUCAAAUAAAGAAGAUUACCUUCCAAAACCCACCCCACCAAAACCUACAAAAUUCAGAAGCAUGCUUCCGUAAGGACGAAAAAUAAAUACAUAGUCCUAAAUGAUUAGCACACAAGACUACAAAGAUGAAUCUACUUUACCUUCCUCCAAGGCUGUUGUUUAGUGCUCUCAAGAGCCACGGUUUGGGCUUUUCUAGCUCCUUUUCCCAUGACCUCUGGAAGCUAAAAAAAGGAGAUAAAAAUAUAUAUCAACAACCACACCAGUCGUAGACAGUAGGAGAACAAUUAUUAUUUAUCAAAGAUAAAGAAAAUACCUCCUCAUGAGAGUUUCAGUACGAUCCCAAGUGUCCAGAUGCCACACAUCCUUCUCCGUAAGAGGCCGUUUCGAUCCCAGUGUCAUCAAUGGAUUCAACCAUGAGAAGAAGAUUCCUAUUGGUAAGAAGGUACUUAAUAGUCAAAGUUCAACACAUGUUGAAGAAACUACUAUACAAAAUGUUGCCAGCUUGGUCAAAGCGAUGAUCACUAAGCAAAUAUUUUCAUCUUACAGUCACAACCCAGUUUAUUUCCAGGGAGAACAGGAGGAUAAGGCAAAAAAAAAAGAAAUUGAAUAGACUAUCGAACAACUCAUUAUGUUAAGUGUGGAAACAAUAUUGUUGACUACCAACUCAGCUAGGUAGCAAGUACAGAUAAGAGAUCAGAGAUGUUGUUGUGGUGAUUCUCAUAAUAAAAGAGAGAAGAAUAUACAUAACCAAAUCCACAGGACUGAAAUGAGAAGUACGUAGAGUGACCUACUGUCAAAUAAACUUGCAUGCCUCUCAGGACAUAUCUGUUCUCCUCCGGGAAGCUCUUCAUACUCAUAAUCCUCUAAAGUUUCAGUCCGCAAUGGUGUGUAACCAGGGUAUGGAUCCAGAUUAGGAAAAUACACAAACAAGAGAGUUCCAAAUGCAACCUGGAUUCAAAAGCCACCAAAGACAAUUGUAUAAUCUACAAUCUAAUUUAGAUACAGCACAUGGUAAAGAGAAGUUUGGAGAAUGCAAAAAGGAGUUUCAAUAUGCAAACCUGAACUGCCACCUCGCUUAUGUAAAUAUACAAUUUGAAACUGCAAACAAGAUAAAACAAAAAAAAAAAAGUUAAGCACAUAAGUUCAUCCUGCAAGACCAGGGCAUUAAACUUGCAUAAGACCAUAUAACCAACCUGCCAUAGUACUCCUUGACAGAGAGAACAAGAUUUAACAACACCAUGUCUCCCACAAGAGCAUAAACGACAGCAAAUCUGACAUACCAACGAAGUUCAUGGAUAUACGUUUUAGUUUCAAAAACAGUCAUGACCAAAGCAGAACCCCAAGCAAAAGCUUCAAGAACCAACAUGAACGCCUGCCAAAGAAACCACACACAAAAAAAAAAAAAAAAAUCUUUCAGUAAAAAAACAUAAUGAAGCAAAGCGUAGUGAUGAAGACACACCUCAUAGGGAGGAAACCCAGCUCCAUCCAAAUCCAAGAUUGAGAUCCUCAUGACCAAUCUAAACAAAGGCUCGGCAGUACUAUAAGCAGCCAACAGAGCCAGCAAAUAGCUAUACCAUUUCGAUCUCAAGCAGAACCUAUCCACUUUGUUGUCCUUUGCAGUGAGCCAAACACGGUAAAGGCAGAGAAUCAACAGCACAAGAUGAGAGGUGCCAAGCACGAAAGAAUCAAUAGCACAAGGCGUGUAUGCACCAAAGGCAUAAUCCACCAUCUUCGACCACACACCAUUAGGCAAAGGCUUGCAGUACCAAUCCAACAGCUCAAAACCCAUCUUCUCCCUCCUAAAAGAUCCUCCUCUGCUUCCAAAGCUGUAUCAAACUCAGAUAGUACACAUGACAAGUUACUAACGAUCUCCUAUAAAAAUCUGCAAGAGAAAACAAAGAAAGAGAGUGAUGUUGACAGUUGAUAAAGUGGACUUUUAAUUAUGUGAUUGUGUACUCAAUGAGGAACAUAAAAAACAAAACAAGAAGAUGUGGAUGAUAGUUUAUACACAAAUAUUAGCCACAAAAAAAAAAGCUUUUUAAUCAUUUUAGUGGAGGAGGGAUUCAACUUUUUAUCCCCUUCCUCUGAAUCAUCAUCAAACAGAGACGGGCACCAUAAAGUAAGCUCCUUUCCACUAAAAAAAAAGAUUCUCAAACGUAAGAUAAGAAACAAGAUAUCAUCAAACAGAAGAUGAUAACCUCAAAGUUUCUAACCCCAGAAAAGAAAAAGAAAUACUUUCUAUGUGGCUCUCUGCCAAUGAUAUGAAGAGCAUUGAGCAUUAUAAGUAAACGCAGAGAAAAAAGGAAACCUCGGUAUUAGAAGAGACGAGGGAGAAGAGCUUUUGCUGGUGAUUUGGAGGAAGCCUAAUCUUAUAAACUCGAGAGAGAGAGAGAGAGAUUUUGAGGAAGCAAAACGCUGCGUCACUGCUUACAACUUGCUACGCUAUGAAUAUUCAUAAUUUAUACAUAUAAAGAGUCAAAACUAUUUUCAUAUUAAUCAUUUCAUUUUUAGCUAACAACAAUCACUACCUUUUCUAUCACUUAUUUAAUUUUUUUAAGAGAAACAAAUCGGGUAAAUUAGCUAAAUGUAAUUAUAUCUUAAAAUUUAAUUAAAUAAAUAUGAUCUCUUCUUUUUUGAGCAAAUAUGGAAAAUUCUAUUUAAAAAUUUAUUUGUUGUUCAAUGACAAUAUCAUCAUUUUUUUUGUCGACUAUCUAUUUUCUUAGACUAAGGGUAUGACUGGUUUUCCCGCUACCACCCGCAAACGCAGCUUUUGCGGUUAGUAGCGGUUGCUGGCGUUUUGCAACAAUCGCUCAAACCGCUCUAAACCGCUCCAAAUCGCUCCAAAUCGCUUUGAACCUCAUAAAUUCAAAAGCUGGUUCCAGCUAGCGUUUGCGGUUGCGGGCGUUUGCGGGAGGAUAAAUUUUUUUUUUUUUUUCCAAAACAAUAUAAAUACAAAAAUAAAAAAAUUCAAUAAAAAAAUUAAAGUGAAAUUAUAAAAAUGCUAAAAUAUAUCAAUUAAAUUUUAAUUAAUAUUAUAAAACUUUAAAAUAAAAAUAUUUUCUAUAUUUUUAAAAAAUUUAAACUAUAACUUUCUAAAUAUAAAUUUUAUAUUUAUUAUAAUAUUAUUAUUUUUGAUAUUUUUAUAAUUGUAUAAAAUGUAAAUAUUAUUAAUUUAUUAUUUAACAGCUGCUGCAUUUGGUAGUUAACCAGUCAUAAGUAUCCCGCAAACGCACAAAUUUCUAACCGCAGAACCAGUCGUACAAAUCUCUUAAAACCGCUAGAAACCGCAACCACCCGCAUCCGCAAACUCCCGCAACCGCACCCGCAACCGCUGCGGUUAAACCAGUCAGGCCCUAAGUGUUGGUCAGGCGAGAUGUUCCUCCGAAUAAUGUUUCUAUCUGAUCGUGCUUGAUUUAUAUGGGAGAAAAUAAUAUUUUUGUUUCGAGCCUCUUUCGCUAGUUGGUCCGUCCAACCAUUUUCAUUGCAGGAAAUAUAAAGUAGUCUCGCUUUUUCGAAGUUUUCUUGUAAGCUUUGGAAAGUAUCAAUCUCCGAAGUAAAAGCUGGCCAAUCCAUCGAAUUGGUAAUCAUAUUCAAUAUAUCUGAACGGUCUGUUAGAAGUGAAUUGAGGGGAUCUUCAUGUACAUAAUAGCAGUGGUGUAACAAAGUGAUAUCGUCAGAGCUGAUGAUGUUUUGUGGGUCGAAGUAAACGUUCAAAAAAUCACUUUACGUGUACAUCUCAUUUAGUCAUUUUGGUCGGUUGAUUAAGAGAAGAGAAUUACAUAAAAUGAUUUGAUUAUGCGCUUAUUGUAUCACGAUUAUAACGCAGACCGAGGAUGAUUAAACGCUAAUAAGUGUUUUUGAUGGGGGUGGGCAAAAAAACCAAACCGAACCGAGUCAAACCGAACCAACCAAACCGAACCGAGUCAAACCGAACCAUCCGAACCGAAACUGAUUCAAACCAAACCAAUGUCUAUUUCAAACCAUUCGGUUGAAGAUUUUUCUAACCCGAAUGGUUCGGUAUAAAACCGAACCGAGAAACCGAUGUGUUUUUGUAAUUAUUUAAAUUAAAAAUAUUAGUAAUACCAAUAUACUAAAUUCUAAUACUAGCUAGACGACAUAUUUUCCAUUAUUCAUUAACAUGUAUUCUUCUAACUUAAUAUGUAAUCAUCAAAAUAUUUGAUUUAAAAUAUUUCAUUCAUUGCAUGCUUUUUAAUUUUAAUGAUGACACAUUAUUAAUGAUUUUCUUUUUUACUUUAGUUAAAUUUCAUUUGUUUUAAUUUUUAUAUAUACUUUUGUGACUUUUAAAUGUUUUUGUUUUAGUUUUAUAUUGAAUUUAGUUCACACAGUUUAUGUUUUUAUAAUUUAUGUUGUAAAACAUAAUUUAUCUAAAAAAAUUAAACUAAGAAAAAUCUAAUUAAACCGAUCCAAAAAACAAAUCGAACCGAAUACAAACCAAACCAAAUUAGCUAUAGUUUACUUCAGUUGGAAAAAUACUAGAACCGAACUAAUCAAACCGAACCAAGCCGAGAAAAAAACCGAAAUGCCCACUAAUUUAAUUCACUUUAGUUUAUCAUUUCUUUUAUCUUUAUUAAAUAAUUAAAUUAAAAACAAAACUAGAAAAACCCACGUCUUGCAGAUAGCUAAAGUCAAGGGUCACAGAUUUACUGAAUAUACGUUUAAGGGAAAAAUAUUUUUUUAGAGCGAAAAAAUGAUAACUAUGUCUUUUUAAACUAAUAUCUAUUUUGUGUCAUUUUUGCCCAUAACAUCUUUUAAUAUUUUUAAAAAUAAAUUUAAUAAAUAAUUUUACAAACAAAACAAAUUUGAAAAAAUAGUAACUUUUGAUAAAAUACCAAUAUGAACUUAGUGGUAUUUUUUUCAGUUCAAAAAAUAGUUAAAUCAUAAAUUUAAGAUUAUGUUCUAAAUAAAGUAGAAAUGAUAUUCUACGAAGUAGAAAAUAAAAUUCAUUUUUUCAUUGAAUCUACAACGUUUAGAAUACGUGAUCUAUGUAAAUAAGAAUAUUCUAAAAAUAUUUAGAAUACACAUUUCGCGCUUAACCUACUGAUCUAAAAUAUUUAGAAAUCAAAAUCUACACUUUAAUAUAAAUCUACAACACGUAGAAACCGACUUCUACAGAUUUACUGUAAAUCUAAAACAUGUAGAAAUCAAAUCUACAUAUUACUAUAAUUCUAAAAACCUGUAGAAAUCGAUUUCUACAGAUUAGAUGUAUUCUACGGAUAAGAAAUCAGUUCCUAAAAAUAUGGAAACAAAAUAUUUAGGAAUAUUCACUUUCAUAUUUUGAAAAAAAACGAUUUUUUUUUAUAAAAAAAAAACAAAAAAUUACAACUUUAAGGGCAUUAUUACCAUUUUAAAAAUAAUUAACCUAAUGAGACAUAGAGUAUAUGAGAUUAGUCUAAAGGGACAUUGUUAUCAUUUUUUUGCUCUAAAAAAACAAUUUUCUCUACGUUUAAAAAGGAUCAUCUAUUAAUCCAACAGACCAACAACGCACUUUUGCCACACUGACUGUACUAAGACAAUCUUUAAUCCUAGCACUUCUAAUGGGUUGCUUAAUCAAUUUUUUACUAAUAAAUGAUUAAGUACUCCUCAAGCCCGACUUCUUCGACAACUUAAUUAAACACCUUUCAAGCAGCACUUCUUAUUUUAUUUAGUUUUUUUUUUAUUAAAUCUAAAAAUUAUUAAUUAUCCCGCUUAAACACUCCGGUUAAUGGUGCUCUAAGCUACUGUGGUGGGUGAUCAUGUUGGGAUACUUUUCAUUUUAAAUAAGGAAAGAAAUACCAAAAUAAUCUAUAAUUUUUUUCCAAAUUAUGGCAGAACAAUAUCAGCUUCCGUGUAACGUACUAAGAGCACCCGCAAUGGUGUUAUCCAAAUGGAAUCCUUAGAAAAAAUGUAUUUUGAUUUUUUAAGUAUUAUUAUUUUUUUCUUUUUUAGAUUAGAAAUAAAAAAAAUAUCAACCAAUCGUGAGUCGUCACAUGUUGUAAGGACCCGCAAAUAAUGCAAGGAUUCAUUAAAAAAUAGUCCUUAUUUAGAAAUUUUAAAGAUUGAAUUCUUAACUUUUGGUGGGGUCUACUGAUUAUUUAAUUAUUUUUUUCUUAAGGAUUCCCCUUUAAGGAUUUUCAUUGCGGAUGUUCUAAUGCGGAUACUUUACCUGUUAUGUGGUUUCAGUUUCAAACCUUUCAUUAAGAAGAUGACGGAAGGAUCCGAUAAACUACAAUGUUAUGACACAAGUAACAUUGUUCACAGAAACUACAAAGUUUCUUUUUAACUUCUACGCUUUUUUCUUUUUGGCAAUUCCUGUGUUCUAUUUUAAUGCUCUCUGCUCAGGGAAAUUUUGUUUUUUUAUACAUUUUGAUAGUUGACUUAUUUUCUAGGUUCAAAUUUCAGUUAUGUAUUCAGUUGUAAUCGGAUCAGUUACAAAAAUUAUUACAUACUGGCCAAAAGUUUUGAUUCCUCGUUAAGAUCUUAGAAACGCCUCAACGCUAGAUCCGCUUUUGAAUCCAGAUGUCUGCACAUGCACUUUAAGUUGUAACUAACUAAACUAAAAAAAAAUGAUACUAUGAAAUAGUACUCUCAUUGAUACGAUAGAUUCUCUCAUUACAUGGGUCGAAUAUAUGCAGAAGUCUUUUUCCCAAUGAAAAAUUGUUUGUUCUACUAUAAACCCAUGCUGAUGACAAAAAAAAAAAAAAAAAAAAACCCAUGCUUAUCUCGUAUUGCUAAACCAUUCAGCUACAAGCCUACAAUUUUCCAAAUUUUAUUUUUCGUAUCUGUAUUUGUUCUAGAUAUAAGCCUAUAAAACAAGUUUCGUCUUAGAGUUAUACAACAAGAUUCGCACAUUAUUCAAGAAAAGACUUUACAAAGGAGAUUCGCUUCAAGUCUGUGUGUUAUUCUCUCUUGCUAUAUCAUUUUUACCCGUAUAGUUCAUGUCUAAUUCGAUGAGCCGCCCAAUGCAUGUUAGGUAUUUAUGAACGAAAAUGCUACUUAUCUGCCUAGGACAAAUGUUAGGUGUUUUCUAUCAAGGGAACAAUGCUUUUGGUUCACAUACUUGAAGAUGCGGUCGUUCUAAUUGUUUUAAUGAAAAAUAUAAUACGAGUCAAACAUUAUAAACAUAAAAACUUGAAACAUUGACUAGAUCUCCCCUCAGGUUCUUGAGAAUUUUGUUUUAAAAAUCUACAAGUUUAAAUAGCACCAAUGUUUUUGAGACCAAGGACAACUCCAACUCCGAUGAUGUGACCAACGGUACCACAAGCCAAAGUGUCGGCGAGAGUGAACCCGGCUGGGUCACCCGUUUGUAGACCCGAGUCACGUGCCUCUAGCUUAAGUCCAGCUGUUGCCUUCCUAUUGGCUGAUGGUGCUAGUCCGAAUCUCCCAGCGAACAGCAUCAGAGUCGUCGACGUUACCAUUAUCUAAUUAGAGAGUAUAAUCUAUUAUUGCUUAUACUUAAAUAACGUUUGCUUCAUAUUUGUUUUAGUUACCAGAUUUGUUGAUGAACCAAUGAAGUCACAUUUUGCACCCAAAGCUCCAUUUCCCUUGCGUCUCAUGGGCACAACAGUUGCCUGAGAGCAUUUUAAAAAUAUAACAUUAACUAAAACUUGGGAAUUUUAAACUAAAAUUAUCGUUGUAAUGUAAUAACAACUUCAUACUAUAUUACAAAGUCUCUUGUCAAAUAUGAUCAAUUAAACACAUAAAAAUCAAGUUCAAGGACGAAAUUGAACCCCUAAAAUUUCUAUAUAUUUUUAAUGUUUGUAAGUUUCGUAAGUGUAUAGAAAAUAUCAAAUCACAUUUCAAAAGACAGAAAAAAUGAAAAUUACAAACCAGGCCUUGAACUGGAGCUGCAGAGAUCUUGCUGGCUCGAAGACCAUUGAACUGAGGCAGUGUAGUCAUCACAGUGCUCGCCAUUUUCUUCGAGUCUUACGUGAAAGAUAAACUUUUAAUUUCUAGUGCAAUCUGUUUCUGAUUUGAUUUUCGCAGUUCUUUCUUCUUAUUUUGUAUUUAAAAUUUAGCCAAGGCUCAUCUUGUGGCUUUGGCUACCACAGAAAUGGAUUCGGUUUUGGCUACUCUUUGCUGACGCGUCGAGUGGCUAUUGGCGCAGCAUCUUAACUCUGGAUAAGGCUGUUGUGUCUUGUCACACCGGCAGAUUUUGUUUCUGAACCUUUUCUUGUUUAGGCUUCAUUUGUGGCCCAUUUAAUACUUUUUGGGUAUUUCUUGGGCUUCCAACUUGAGUCCCAUUUGUACGUCAUUUAAAGGAUAUAAUAGACCUUCACAGUUUGCUUGGACAAAGAGCGGCAGCAACUGAUUCAAGGAUCAACAAAACUAACAGAGAGAAGAGAACCAAAACAGAAAAACUGUGGUUAGAACUCAUGUGUUAUGAUAUUGCUUAAGAGAUGUUUCUUCAUUCUUUUUCUGUUUCUUAAGUUUUUUCACUGGUGAAAUGCAAAGACACAUGGUUUUGAGUAAAAAAAAAGUUAUAUUUUUCUUGGAUCCUCGUACUCGUUACAGGCAUCAAACACAUGAAAACAUUUAACAUAUUGACGAACACUGAUAAGUUGAUAAUUAAUAGGGUAGCUUACAUGGUUACGAGUUACAACAACCAAACAACACAUACAAACGAAAAAAUCCUAAACAAACUCUAGAAUCACACACAAUAAUUAAAAAAAAAAAAAAGCUUCUAGAAAAAAACAAACAAAACAAAUCUGUGGGAGAGGAUUCAAAUCUUAAGCAGCUGAUAUAGCAGCAUAGUCUUGGUAACGAGACAUUGCUCCUUUGAACUGGUGAUCAUCUCCUUUGUGAGUGCUCAAGCUAUGCGGAAUGUACGCUCUGAAAACCUCCUCGAGGUCCGGUCUCUGCUUCAGCCCCCGGCAAGCCACCUCUAGAGCCGUGUGUUCGAACCCUUUGUAGAAUUUCUGACGGCACACGUAACCGAAGAUGAGAGAGAUGAAUAUGAGAGGAACCAAAAGAGUCGCCCAAACGAAUAGCUUGGCUCCCAAGUAACCAAACAUAACCAGUUGAAACAGAAACAACGCCGCUAGUAUGCGGGUGUGAAUAUGCGGCCACAUCCUCCCGUAGCUCUCGUACGAUGGAACAUACACUUUCAACGCCUGUCAUAACAGAUCAAAACCAUGUUAUUACAGAUCAAGAUCAGCUGAAAACGUGCUUAAACCUAAUAGGGUUUUAUGAGAAAGUCUUACCUGGUUCCUUAGGAUGAGCCAACCUAAACCAAAGUAGAUAACACCGAACACGAGGAUCAAAGGAGCGAUUACGGAGUAGCAGAAGGUGAUUGUGAGGAUGAGCAUGUCGCUAGGAACCCUAGUCGCGUAGCUCAAGUCUCCUGGAUACCAAGCUUCUUUGACCUCGGCUUCAGUUUUGCAUAGAUACUUCUUUUUCAAAUGGAAUAUUAUCAACGGUAUGAUCCUAGACAGCUCAAGACCAUAACCAACAAAGAACCUGAAAGUUACAAAGAAGAGUUAGAGAACAAGCGCUUGUGUAUAUGUUAUUAAGACAAGAGGAAGGAGGAGAACUCACUUGAGAGCAACGUAUGUCAAGAAGAAAGUAGCGUUCUUAGGGAGACUAGUAGCCAAAACGGUAACGAUGGAGUUUGGUUUCGUCUCAAGAGCCUUCAAGUUAUCAAACAAAGACCCUGCAAGUGUCACACCGAUGAAGACAUUCAACACCGAGAAGUAAAAGUACUUCCCGGAGGCAGCUCUAAUAGCAUGACUCUGCGAAGGAAUCCCUUCUGACUUGGAUAAGAACAUGAGGAACUUAGGAAGCAUCGCCAAGAAGACAAUGAGCGCAAUCUGAGGAAGGUAAGACUGCAAGAUGGUUCUUAUAAAAGCAAUCUCCACGAUCGGUUUAAUGAAGGGAAGAGCCUUCUGGAGAUUCCCAAGAGUGGUGAUCGCAGAGACAAACGCUAUAGGGAUCAUGUAGAACAAUAUAGUUAUCGCAACGAGGAAGUAGAUCAAGUACUGUCUGACUAUUCUGCUGAAGAACUUGAUCUUGAGAUUCUCCCAGAUGAGCUGGCGAGGCUCGGGAGCUUCGGUCACCGUCCAUUUAUCAACCAUCUGGCAGUGUAGUGACUGAGCAGCUAGAGCUGCAGUGACACGGUCCGUGAAGAACACAACCGCUGCGGUUUGCUGCUUCUCGGCGAGAACCGUUCUUUGUUCUGCUUCUAGUUUGGCUACAGACUCGUUGAUCAGCUUUGUGUAAUAGUCAAUGCUGUCUACUCGCUCUCCCACUAGCCCGAGCAAGCCGGUUUUGUUCAUUGGCCGGUUACUGGUGGCUGCAAAGACCGCUUCUGCGCGCGCGAGCUUCUUCUUGUAGCCUUCCAAGUUUUCCCAUAUCUUAUUAAUCUACAAAACAUGAGCCAACACAAUGUUCAAAAAAUCAUUAGGCAAUGUUCAAGAAAUCGUUAGGCUGUAACUAGGCACUAAGGAUUAGUGACUAGUGAGAUACCAAAUUAUUGAUUUAUUUUACACUCCUUCUGUUCCUUAAAGAUCCAUUUUUUAGAAAAAAAAAUUGUUUCAAAAAGAUACAUUUUUUGUAUUUUCAAUACAUUAAUUAAUGAAAAAUUGUACUUUUCAAAAAAUACAAUUGUGUUUAGUAAAAUUUUAUUGGUUAAAAGUUAUUGGAAAUAGUUAAUUAAGAAAAACAAUGUAUUGGAAAAUACAAUUUUAAAUGUUUUUUUAAUAAGUGUGAAAAAACUAUAACAUGAAUCUUUUAGGAACGGAGAGAUAUAUAUUUUACAUUUAUAUAAGAUAUUUUAGGUUUAAUUAUAAAUUUAAUUUUAAUUAUCAUAAUUACAUAUACAAAAAAAAAUUAGAAAAAUUUAUAGAUUUGUACUAACAUUAUUACUUAUUUUACGGAUUUAAACCGAUUUAGAAGGAUUUAAACCGGUUUAAAUCAUAAAAAUUGAAUUUUAUGAAAAUCCGAUUCGGCUAGGACGAUUUGCUGCCUAGGCGGGGUCUAGGUAACCACAUGAGCCAGUGAGUAAGAAAGAUUAAGACUUUAAAGGGCAGAACAAAGCAGGUAGAUAGAUAGAUUACCUUGCUGUUUUCUGUUACGACAAGGGAUCUGUAGAAUGUCUCUGGGUAGAUUUCUCUGAAGUAAGAGUCUACGAACUCUUUCUGCGUCUCUCCGUUAGGUGGGGAAGGUAUGUCCCUAACGAGAAUAGCGUAUUGCUCUGGUAAUACUUCUUCACUAGACAUCAGAGCUUCAGCUCUCAGUGCAGCGACGUGCUUGUAAGCUUUCCAUAACAUAAAAUAUGUGACUACGGAUACCCAGUAAACCGCUCCUAGGAACGCCCACAGCCUUGAACUCCUUCUCUGUUAAAACAGAAUGAAUUAACCUUUAAGCUCAACAACAAUUAUAAAAAAAAAAAUGAAUGAAGUGUUUACUUACAGUGAUGUUAGCCAUAGAUAGAUUAUCAAGUUGGCUAAAGGUUCCGUUACUUGUGGUGUCAGUGACGUUCCUUGAGGUCUUUAAGCUGUUGUCAGUAGCGGAUAAAGGGAGUAGAGUCGGCAAGAGAAGAAGAGCCGACAAAGCAAAUAUCCCAAGAACUGUUUCAUAACAAAAAAAAAAAAACCAUCAGGAACACUCUUAUGUCAAUCUUAUUUAGAGCAACGAUUAAGACACUGAAGAACACAUUCAGAACAAAGAAACUUGUGUCUACUGGGUUCUAAUUUCAAUCCCAAAUGUCUACAAGUAAAGAUCUUUUAAAGACCAAAACUCAAAAGGUACUUUAUUUUAAGCAAAUAUGGACAAAGUAAAACAGAACAUAGCAAACAAGACAGAGUCAGAGACAACAAUAUACAACCAAAAUAAAAAAAGGAAACGUUUUUUUCCCCAAUUGUCUCCAAAGAUGGAAACUUUAUAAGGUAAAAUUAGAAACCCAGAUCAGAAGAGGCGAACCAGUGCUCAAGAAGACGAAGUAGACGGCGGUAUCGACGCCGGACAGCUUAACGACGUCUUGUUCGGUGGAAGUGAAAGCUUCGCGGAUCCAGGCAAAUGGGUUUCGGGUCAAGGAGCUGCCUUCCCAUGGAUCCAUUCCUUUCAGGAUCCGGUUCGGGUAAUAAACCGAAACGUUACCGGGUCUACGAGAGAGCCAGGUGAAGAGGAGCAUGAGCACGACGAAGAUGACUGCUGACGUCCCUAAGGACACUAGAAACGAUUCAAACUCCAUCUACCAAUCUCUGGGGGAAGGGUUCAGAUUUGAAGUCACCGUUUUAAAAAAGGAAAGUAACCGUUUGAUUGCAGGUGAGAGAGAGGAAAGGUUUCUCCUUUUUCUACUUUUGUUGUAUUUAACAGGAAGAAGAAAGGAAAAUAAAUAAAUAAUAAGAAAAUUGAAAAGAGUAUUGAUUGUCUUGUUGUGGAGUUGGCUUUGUGUGUUUGAUGGAGAGAAAUGAUUAAAUGGGAGAGAGAGGGAGAGGUGUGAGAAGAGAGUAGAGAGCGUGUUUAAGUGAGAAGGCCGACAGGUGUUGACGAAAGAGACACCAUUGGACAAGGAUGUGUUAACCCUACUUCAGCGACCUCUCUUUUCUUCUUUUCCUUUUCUUUUCUUUUCUUUUCUCUUCUCUUUUCUGUUACGAAAAUAAAUUCUUAUUUUUGUCAACAUAUAUUAUAAAUAGGACUUAUUUGUCAAAUAACCAAAAAAGAAGGUUAUUUAGCAAUUACUCAAAUUUAAAGUUGAAAACUAAAAUAGUUAAAUGAAGUCAACUAGAACUUGCUUUCAAAGAUUCAUUAGAGCUUUUUUUUUUAAAGAUUCAUUAAUUAGAGCUUACCAGAUGGAUUUCUUAAUAUAUGUAUGUAUAUUGUAAUCUUUAGCAAAUAACGGCAAGCUAUAUCGCUAAUUAAACUUAUAUAGUACUUGAAGACUUGGAGUUUUAAGUUUUAACUGUUAUUAGUGAUUUGGGCCAGUAUUGUGUUUGUAAUUUAAUGAAACACAUCAGUCCAGUCAUUAUUGAGGAAAAGCUUGGAAAACAUUGAAUUGUUAGGGUAAUUGUGGACUAAAAGGAGCAAGAGCUAAAGUCGCAGAUAAGAAAAUUUGUUUGGCUAAAUAUAAAAUAAUUGUCUGGAAUUCACAUGUGGCCGCAAAACUAAAAUUAGUAAAUGGCAGUUUUUUUAGGAAUUACUUGGCAGAAAAUUAUGAAAGACUCAAUGAAGUCGGACAUGGUUAACUUGGUCAAUUAGCUUGAAACGGCACGCUUACAGUUUUAUCAUACAGAAAAUGAGUGGAGAAGCUCAUUUAGCUGAAAUAGCAAGCUUAAAGUAAGUAUGGAAAAACAUGUUCAGAAUGGUACAAUGUUGGAGAGAAUUUGUUUUUUUUUUUGUCUACAUAAUGUUGGAGAGAUCCAAAAUACAAAAGUGCGAUGGUCAAUGCAUAUUUUCAGUCGUUUUUAUAUAAUAUUAUUGGUUUUCUUCUAAGUGAAAUCGUUGAAUUUAUAAAUUGUAGGCUAGCUAUAUGUGUAGUUUGUAUAUUGUGACUUCAAAUUUUUGAACGUGAAAAACUGAGAUCAUAUAGAACAAAAUCGGGAAUGGUGAAUAUAUGAUAUAAAAAUAUAUGUUGGCAAAAAAAACUGGUCAUGUAAUCAAAAACUCAAAGUAUACCUCUAAUUAAAAAGAAACAUAAAAUUGCUCACAGCUUUUUUUUUUUUUUUUUUUUUAAAUUGCUCACAGCUGAAGUUGAACAUUUGUAAACUUUAUAUUCAAACUUAAGUCGAUGCUGGAUUUUUAUCCCGUUAUUGUUCUUAUUCAUCUACAUUUUGCAUUUUAUCCCUCUAUAUAAUACUAUAUACUUCUAUAUUUCUGUUAAACGUUAGACAAAUAGAUCAAAUCUCUCUUGUAAUGCACGUGUAUGGUUUUAUGUGUACAUGACGUGUAAUAUAUACGCGUGUAUAUAGUAAAUCGUCGAUACAAUUUCAAGAAGUCAAGAAAACGAAAAUCGAAAGACGUCGGCGACAUGCUUGAAGUUCAAGAUAAGAGUGAAUGUGACAAUGAUCUGCCGCUAUAAAAUUAGCUCCUAAUUUAAAUUGCUGAUUUGUUUGUUGUAUUUUUUUUUAAGUGACCAAUACUAUUUGGUCCCAAUAUCACUUGGGUCCAUUGUAGACCAAGUAAAUUAAUGCUAAUAAAAUAGCUUUUGGCAUCCAACUGAAUCAAAUUGAUGGCUCAUUAGUCAUUUAUUAGACAAAUCAGUGGAUAAUUUACUAACAAAUCAUCAAUUUGGUGGAAUCAAAAUUUAAAUAAAAAAGAUAUGCGAAUUUGAUAAAGUUGAGUCCUUCACAAGGCACAAAACAAAAAGCCGUUGUCCACUUGUUGCAACGUCGACAUGAACUUCAUUGCCGACACAGAAAAAAACUUAGUGUGGGUUCCAUACCUUUGUCUUUAUUUUAUUAUUGAAAUUCGAAAGGCUUAUCUACAAUAUUUCAGUUAUUUGUUAUUUUCAAAGUAACGCUGUUCACAGAUUCGGUAGGUUUGUUGAUCUGGUCCAAAGUCUUACUGUAGAUUUCCUUUUUCGCAUAAAUGUUUUAUGUUCACGUCGACAUAUACAUAAACAACCCCACCACGUCAUCAAGUUGCUACUUCUUUUUGUUCUAACGAGUCUGCUGAGUGCUGAUGGGUAUGUUCAGUUAAACGGUUUGCUUUGCAUUUACGGAUCGAGAUGACUAAAGUAUACUCCCUCCGUUCCUAUAAAAUGUAUAUUCUGGAAAAAAAAUUGUUUUAAAAAGAUACAUUUUUUACUUUUUCAAUGUAUGAUUUUAUGAAAAAUUGCAAGUUUCAAAAAUUUAAUGGUGUUUAUUGAAUUUCUAUUGGCUAAAAAUUAUGAAAAAUUGUUAUUCACAAAAAACAAUACAUAUUUAAUGAGUUUUCUUAAUAUAUGUGAAAAGUUUAGAAUAUGUAAUUUUUAAAAACGGAGGGAGUAUUUCAGAUACAAAUGAAAGGAGUGAAUUUUUCAAUACGUGGUAUCAGCAAAAAAAGAACAAUAUAAUUAUUUUCUGAAGCCUGAUCCAAUAUCUUAACUAAAGUUUAGCAAACAUAUGAUCACUACUUUUUCAUAAACAAACAAAAAUAUUAUCUAGUCACUGAGUUCAAAAGACAUCACUAGUAAAACUUUUAGUUCAGAAUGUGUGUAAAAAGUCUGGUUAAUAUUAAAAUAGUUAAUUAUAUAGAUAAAUGAGAAUUCUGGAUAAACAUAAUAUAAUCUAUUUAUUGAGAUAAUUUAGAAGGAAAAAUAUUUCAAUAAGAAAGUAAUGGAGUCAAUAUUGUGAAAUGUGUAACCAUUGAAAUUGAUAUCAACGAUUCAAUGCCCCCAUCAAUAUGGAUACAAGCGAAGGAUCCAAUCGAGUUUCAAUAGUUUAAGAGAAUUCAGAUAGAAGAAGAGAAGUAGGUCACGAUUUCAUGGGGAACGGUCUAGCGUUCUUCUAUUUCUGAAUUAUCUAGAUAUAAGCUUGCGACUUGCGUCAUGAGGCAGAGUGUAAUUUUCCAAGCGGUUCUAGAAAACAUGUGAAUUUACAAUCUAUUUUAACCCAUUGCAUAGUCUAUAUUUUAAUAAUUUCAAAAAUCAUUAGAAAAUCAUAAGAAAAUCAUAGGAGUAAACGAACAAUUUUCCUCCCUAACACAAAGUUAAGAAAUCAUCAUGAAUUCCCAACAACUAAGAGUUACAAUCUAUCAUCUGAACUUUCAAUUGAUAUCCAAAAUAAUUUUUAACUUUGUGUGGACACAAUGUUAUAUGAUAAUUCUUCCAAAUUCAAAAAUAUUUGAUCCAACUUUUUAAGAAAAAUAUAUAAAACUCAUAAUUCUGAAGUCACUAAAAUCUUACAUACAGUUAGAAUCUAAUAACAGCACAUUUCACUUUGUAAGCUUCGCGGCUCUAUCAAAGUAAUCUUUUUUUGUAAUCUUACACGAUUAGAGUAUGCCGUUCGAAUAUGUUACAUUUACCCAUAAACUUGUGUUUGCUUGAAAAAAGAGUGCAAAAGUAAUUAGUAAAAUAAUGACUCUUCUAUGACUAAAACUCUUAAAGGUAUAAACGGUAUGGAACUCCAAUCUUCCUCAAAAUAUUCCAACUAAUUAAUUUAGGCUUUAUAAGAACGGCAUACUCUAAUCGUGUGGUUUGUGGAUUAUACAAAUAUAAUCAAACAUAAAGAUCUCUAAACUAUACUAUUCCCACAAUCAUUGUAGUGGAGACGUGACUCCUACUAGUAAACUUUUUUCGUUUGAAUUAUUUGGCAUGACUUGAAAUCAAAGGCAAUAUUUAAUCACACGAAAUCAAGUAUCGUUAUUAUUCCAAGAUUAUACUUAUAUCAUUUCUAUCUCCAUGCUACCAUAACUUAUUCUAUGAGAAUACUAUUAUGAUUAUCGAACUUCGUCGUAGCUAUCUUUAUGAUUCAUCUGGUGAUUCUGGUCAAACAUAUUAAACUCACCUGAUUUAUAGGUUUCAAAGUUUAGCUCGCGAAUGCCUGACCCAAGCAAUUUAUUUUGCGAGACUCGAAAGACAAAAAAUGGGAACGUUUUAUAAUCAAAAUGAUAUUUUUCAGUGCCAGUUUUGAAAGUUAGUGAAACUUAGGCCGUGAUUAGAAAUAGAAGUCUGGAUUAAUCUUCAAUGAUAUGCUUUGCUAGAAAAUAUUAGCUAACGUCUAAUCCCACAACCUGAGAGUUUGCUAGGCAAAUUAUGUUGUGGAAGUAUUGCCAUUCAAGGGAGUUUCUACACCAGAACUACAUCUUCUCAUGGGUUGAAAGAAAUUCUGGCACGACCUUUGAUUUCGUACAAGACAUUUGGAGAACCUAUAGGAUCAGCAACAGAAGAGUCAAUAGGGCUAAGAACAGAUGAUCUCUGCAUCAACAUAAUGAGACAGAAAAGAUCAAGAUGAUAAUACCACAUGAUGAUAGAGACAUCAUGAGCAUAAAACCAAGCAACAUAGGAGGAGCACCAGACAAGGGGAAUAUGUUGUUUGUGAAAUUUGGGAACUAUAGACAAUUUCUUAUGAAUUUUAAUAAAAGUUUGCUUUAGUAAUUUUAAAGUUAUAUAUCAAAGUGUAUUACUUUAAAAAUGUGCAUGAAUUUUAUGUUAAUAUCUGACUUGAGUGACACCAUAUUCUAAAAGAAAAUUUAAACUUUUCUGUUAUCACGGUAGAUGUCUCACAAAAAAGAAGAAAUAAAUCUGUUAUGUGAUCCUGACACGAAGUGAAUAAAAAAAGAAAAAAAAAAAAAGAAAAAACAUGACAUGCACUUAUCAGGCCUUGCAAAACAGAAGCUUGGACGGUAAAGUGUUGCAUCUCAUGGUAAAGGUCCAUUUAGCAAUAAAUGUUUUCUGGGUUUUAUGGGCCUUAUAAUGUACUUCUUCAGAGUUCGGCACGUUAAUUAGUUUAAAGGCUAUUUUUCUUUCGUUUAUAAUACACACAUUUCAAUCUCUCUUUAGUACUACGAUUUUACUCAUUCGAAAAAUACAUAUCGUAACCUUUUCGGAGGAUUUUAUUUUCUGUAAAUUUAUCCAAAGGAAACAGUAUCUCCCGAUAGGAAAGCAUGUUGGAAGACAUUGAACUGAAUAAUUAUUUCUAGAUUUAUUCACAUAGUUUUAUAUUAAUCUGUAAUAUUUCCCUUUUUACGUGUGUUAAAAGAUGUACCAAAAAGUAAAGGCAUAUAUAUAAUCAACAUUCGAAUGAACUUUUUCUUUUGCAAAAAGUUAUAAAAUUAUCAGAAUUCGUAUUUCUAAAGUAAACUGUAUACAAACCUAUUAGUAAGAGGUUUAUAAUUUCGAAGGACCUUAAUUAGUUAUAUAGAAAGGAUCACUUAUUAUUUACGAUAAGAGUAAUUGCUUAGGAUACAAUAAGACAUUCUCCAAACCGUAUCAAUAAUUAGUAUAAAUUAGUACUCUUUCCGUUUCUAUAUAAGUGUUACUUUGACAUUUUCCCACAUAUUAAUAAAGUAACGGAAACAUAUGUAAAUUGUUGUUAAUUAUACCUUUUGACCAAUAGUAUUUGAGAUAAUUUUAAUUAUUUAUAAAAUCGAUACUCUUUUCAAUUAAUUUUCAAGUAAAAGUAAGUAUAAUUUGCAUUGGAAUUGUAAAGCAACACUUUUUAAUAACAAAAAAAUGGUUAAAAUGACACUUAUUAUGAAACAAAGAGAGUAUUACUUUGAUAAACCGUAUUUAUUUAUCUAAGUACUUAAGUCUACAUUAUUAUUACAUAUUUGUUACAUACUAUAAAGUUAGCUAGUUUCAAAAAAAAAAAGUUAGCUUGGUUAUCUGAACUUUGUGAAUUUUAAUGAUUAUAUACAAGGAAUGUUUUAAAUUUAUUGGAAAGAAGCUGCAGGCGUGUAACAAUAUCUUCGUAGAAUUAUAGUAUACUUCCUCCAUUUCUUAAAUAAAAUAAUUUUAACGUUUUAAUUUUAUUUUAUAAAAAGUUUCGCUUUAUAUUUUAAAUGCAAAUUUAUGAAUAAUAUUUUAUUUUUCUUCUUAUAAUCUAAUAUAUUAAUUGAAAAGUGAUUUUUUGUUAAAGUAUUAAUGAUGGAUAAAAAUAAUUUUUUAUCAAGUUAUUUAAUCCAUGUAAAAAAGUCAAAUUGAUAUUUUUUAAGAAACACAUAUAUAGGGAAUACGUAUUAUGCAUGAUAACAACGAAUUGAGCGGUGUAGAACAAACGGUACAAGUGUGAUAUAGUUCUGAUAGUAAUAAAAAUGUAUAAAUAUAUAAUGUAUGUAAAAAAAAUUUGUUACUAUUAAUUGUAGUGCGGUGCGGGGUGGAACGAACAUUCAACGCCUUCAAUAUAUUCCUAGGGUUAUUUUCUUAAGAAAAAAUAAAUGUAUGAAAUUUAAUCAUAUACCCCACCAAGUAUAAUAUACUUUAAAUAGUUUGGAAUUGAUUAUAACACUGCACAAAUACGAACCAGAUAUUAAACGUUUAAUUAUUCUUUUGUGGCCUACAUCAUUGAUAUGAUUCCACUACUAGAUCUCAAAAGUGCAUGCUCAUGUUUAUUUAUUGUAAAACUAAAUUAUGUAUCACUUUGUUAUCUCAAUUCUACGCAUUCACACACACACAACCUAUCAUUUCUUAGAUUCAUAACCUUUCUAACAAAUUCUCGCAAUAUUGUACGAAUAUUAGGCACUAACGGCCUGCUUUAAAUUUCGGAUUUUCACCGUUUAGUGCAUCCCGUUAUUUCUACAGCGUUUUCCAGUUACAAUAUAUUAGGAUUCCGAGUACGUGUGUGUUAUAAAACUAAUCUUGAAGUAAUAUCAAGGGAAUGUAUACUAUUUUUUUAUAACUAUGGUGUGAUCUCAAAGGUUUUUUAGAUUCAAUGACUAAUUACCACAAGAUCUACAGGAUCCGCGUUUUCUUACCAUUAGACUAAGACCACUUGGUUAAGAGAAUAUAUAGUACUUGUUAAAAAAUAGUACUUGUUUAAAACAUCUCCAAAAAACACUAAAAAAAAAAUUAAAAUUUCAUAUCUGAAAUUUAAAAGUAUUCUUCUCCAAAACCAAAACUUCAAACUUAACUUCAAAACUAUUUAUAUUUAUACUAUAGUCUUUGUAUUUGUCAUACUUAAUUUAAAUUCAUAAAUUUUUUAUAAAUAACUAGCACAUAUAUACCAAAACUUCAAACUUAACUUCAAAACUAUUUAUAUUUAUACUAUGGUUUUUGUAUUUGUCAUACUUAAUUUAAAUUCAUAAAACUUUUAUAAAUAACUAGCACAUAUAUAAAAUAUAAAAACUUAAAACUUAAAUUUAGAGUUUUGAGUACUCAAAACUCUAAAUUUGAAGUUUCAUCUUUUUAUUUGAAUCUUGGUCUUUAUAAUUAAUUAUACUUCAUAUUUAUGAUUCUUAAAUAUUUUCUCAUUCAUCGUUUUAAUCUUUAAAACUUUUGUAUAUUUUAAAUAUUUCAAAUUUAUGUUUAUAAAUUUAGUUUUUACAGAUAAAUUUUUAAAAAAAAAUAAAGUAAGAUUUAUAAUAUUUUAAAACUGGAAUUAGACAACAAGAAUAUUACAAAGAAUGAAUAUGAUGUUACAUAUAGUUUCGAGAAAAUAUGAUGUUACAUAUUCAUGUUAUUGCUAGUACGUAAACUACUGAAACAAGGAAAAACUGCAUUAUAAAUAUAGAACUAAAGUAAAUAUUGCAUUUUCUCUUAAUUCAUUUUAAAAUAACUCAAAACUGGGAUCCAAUCCGCGUUAAAACUAACGCAAAUAAUAUUUUGCUAUUAUGUUUAUUUUAUUAAAUCAAGACAACCAUUGUAUGUUUUUAUCUUAUGUUGAAAUUGGUUCAAAAAUUUAAUUGAAUAUAAUAUUUGUCUUUUUAGUGCUGGCCCUGUGCCCAAGCAGAUGAAGCAUGGCUUCCGCACAAAAAUAACUAUUUAAUCGGUCAUAAAAUUUCCAAAUGUGACUUUAGCGUAACGGUUCUGAGAAAAAUUUCUAUUGUGUGAGGAGUUGGAUUUGUCCCCACCUUGACGCAUAUAUAUUAUUCCGGCCUUUAUUUGAUUUUUGAUAGGACCGGCUCUGUGUCUUUUAUGUUUAUUUUAUUAAACCAAGAUAAUGAUUGUAUGUGUUUUAUCUUUAAGUGAAACAAAAUCGGGUUGUUAAUGUAUUAUGAUUCAACUAAAUUAGAUGAUAAGUAAAUGUUGAUCGUAUAUAGUCUAACAUUAAUUUUAUAUCGGUUUGUUUAAAUUUAAUUUAAUCGAUUUGGUUCUAUUAUGAUGUCGAGUUGGUUAACUAUUGUUAGGAUAUGUGAUAUAUGUCAAUUUAAAAAAAAAAGUGAGAAUAAAGAUAUCAUAAUUCAGAUUGCAUUUGACUAGUAUUCCCUGCGUUUUUAAUAUAAGUCGUCUUACAGCUAUGCACAUAGAUUAAGAAAAACCUUUUAAUCGAUUUGGUUCUAUUAUGAUGUCGAGUUGCUUAACUAUUGUUAGGAUAUGUGAUAUAUGUCAUUUUAAAAAGUGAGAAUAAAGAUAUCAUAAUUCAGAUUGCAUUUGUGUAUAGCUGUAAUUUUUCAAACACAAAGCUUUUAAUUUUUGUUUGUGUGUGGGACGGCUCAAAUAGUGAAAAGAACCUUAUUUAAAGUUUUUAAUUGCCUAUAAUUAAGCACGACGACUAUCCUUAAUUAGCAUUAAUCGCAAGGCUUCGAAUAUCACUAGACAGAGGUCAGAGGUUAUCACUGUCUUCAAAACACUCAACAUGUCUUUAUUUGUUGUUUUGGUUUCUUUUUAAUUAGAAUUAAUCAUUAUUAACGUCUCCCUUGUAUAUUCUUAAGUACACCUUUUGACUUCUUUUUUUUUAAAUUUGUCAAAUUGUUUCGCUUACUAAGGGAGUGAGGGGCCCAUUUUAUUAUUAAAAAACAAUCUAAUUAACAUUUAGCUUCACAUUCUUGUCUCUUGUCAUGAUCUAAUGCUCUUACGAGGUUACAAAGAAAAUCUUUGUUGGUGUGUGUUUGUUUAAUGUUGUCUCUACAAGCUUAUAGCUUGUCUGAAUAAACAAAGAAAAGGGGAAGGUUAUAACUUGACUUAACGUGUGUCUGAACUACUUUUCACAUGAAUUAAAUAUUAUAGAAUUAAUGAUAAUAAAAUAUAAUUUUCUUCAAAUCCACAAUAGCGGCCAAUUCCCAAUUACUAAUUUAAUCCGUGUUUACCAAAAAAAAAAUAUGUUACAUCAUUUCUAACUCAUUGAUAUUUUCACAUCUAUAAUAAUAUCUAAUAUCUAGAAAUAAAAUUGUUCCAAUCCAUUUAUAUUUCUUCUUUUAUAAUAAAGAUUACAUGCAUUUUUCUAGUUUCUUCUAUAUUUAGAAAUUGUUAUUUACAAUAAUACAUUAGGACAGAACUCUUUUUUUUUAUAUAGAUUUUUCUAUUUUAAAAGAGAAAGAGGAGAAAAUAGCAAAAUAUAUCGAAAAUAUUCUUAGUAGAAGUCAAAAUAAUUAAACACAUUCUCUUCUCAAUGUUGACUGUAUUAUCGCCUUAUCGGGAGUAGUUGUAGGCUCUAAAGUUUCUGUUAUAUAUAUUCCAUUAGAAUAUAUUUUUGCUAGUUAUAUGACUACCAAUUCCAGACUAGUUCUCUAUCACGAAUUUUCAUGCUGAAAACUAAGUGGAAAUUGAAUUUUCAAACUUUUGAAAUCGUUGCUUGCCUAAGUUUCUUUUAAAUAAUAUAACUGGCCGGUCAACCAGACCAUGUUAGGUAAGCUUAUUAUAUCGCAAUGUUUGAUAUCUACCAAGCUGUUCUCCUUGCUAAUCUUAGGGGCACGUGCUCCACAUCAAAUUUAAUUUUAUUAUGUAAUUUUUCUAACCCUAUAAUUAGCAUUAUAUAGGAUUAUAUGUGACAUGUCCCGCGUCUAAAUAUAAACCUACAUGCGCUCUUGGAAUCUCAUAGUUUGAUAUUGGUUUAAGCAUGUGUGAUCAUAAUAAACAAUACUCCUUCCAUUUUUAAUACUUGACAUUUUAUUGUCAUUUUAAAAGAAUGUAAAAUUAAUCAAUUUUAGGUUAUAUGAAUUUUUAUUAUUCUGCAGUUUAUUUUUAAUAGAUGAAUUAUAAUUAAGUAGAUAUUUAAUGACAUUUUUGUUAAGAAAAUAUAUAAAAAUAAAUAUUUUAAUUUAUGUGUAUAAAACAUCAUCUAAAAAUGAAAGAAAUAUCAUCUGUCAAGAAAGUACGUAGCAUAGUAUAGAUACAAUAUAUAGUUAGUUAACUAUAGCUCUCGUUUGGAAAUAUUAAAGAAAAGUUGGCUAUUUCUGUUUUAUAUUUUCAUAUCAACAGAAAAAAAAAUAUUUUCAUAUCAACAAAACAAAAGCAAGUUAAACUAUAGUAUGGACUCUUCAGAAAAUUAAACUCUUCAAAAUCCAUACCUUAGCAAAAGUUGGAUGCUCAUGAGUCACGAGGUAUACGAUCUUUAGACCAAAUUGCAUUCGAUUAUAAUUUAAAACUAGAUUAAAUCUGCGUCUUACGGAGGAUAAGCAUUAUAUAUAUAUAUAUUAUUUUAUGUAUUAUAUGAUUUAUAUAUUAUGAAAUAAUAAAUACAUAUUGAAUAAUUAAAAGUUAGUAACUAUCACAUAUACAAUUAAAUUAGUGCGAACAUAUAAAUCAAUUUUAAUAAUUCAAACAAUAAUUUUUUUCUAUUUGAUAGGAUAUAUAAUUAAAUUUAAAUGAUAUUAACAUAUAUACAUAAUAUAUUUUUAAUAUUAAUGUAUAUUAAAUGAUGCUUUCUACUAAUAUAGUUUUUUUUAUCAUUUAUACCAAAAACAUUAAAUUACUAAUAACAAAAAGUUUUAUUGUAGGAUUAAUAGUUUUAGUAAUUUAUAAUUUUUUUAAAAAUUAAGUUGUCAAUGUUUGUUCAAAGCUUUUAUCGAAAAAAAUAUAAUUCAAAGUAAAUUUUAAAAUUAAAAUAUUUAUGUAUUUAUAUGGUAUAUAGUUUAAUUUAAAACGAUAUAUAUAUAUAUAUAUAUAUAUAUAUAUCUUUUAAUCUUAAUAAUUAGUUAAAUUAUAUUUUUUAUUUAGAUGAUUUUUUUAAUCAUUUUUAUUUUGUCAUAACAAAAAUUUUAAACCAUGGAUUACAAAAUUUGAAUGUGAGAUUUUUAACAGUUUUAGUAAUUUAUAAUUGUUUUUAAAAUUCAAAAUAUAACAUAUACAAAAAAAUCUAAAUUUUAUUUUAUGGUUAAUGUGAUUGUUAAAUUUAUUUUAAUAAUUUAAAAUUAAACAAAUAUGAUAGAAGAUACCCUAAUUUUUAUUAAAUCUUUUAGAUUCAAAACCAUUAAUUGUCAUAUAUAUUUUAGCCACAUUAGACAAUUCUGUAACUUUUAUUUAAGAAAAUAAUAAAUAAUAUUAAUAAUGAAUUUAUGGAAAGUUUAUAAAAAAUUUAUUAUAUACCAACCUAUUUUCUAAUGAUUUUAAGAAUCAUCUUAUUGAUGAUACGUGGCUACAAAAAAAGUUGUAAUGUUUCUCAAUUAUAUGAAUGUGUUCUUACAUAGUAUAUAUGGGUUACAAGUUGAUGAGAAUUGUUGGCUAAAAAACUGUUCUUUUCCAAAAAAAAAAAAAAUUCAAUUUCAUUUAGCAUAAAAGAGGGGUCGAUGUGUUCUAAUUAAAGAAGACAUCCUUAAAAGAGAACAGUAUUUCAUUUAAGGUAUCUUCCUUUUCCAGAAAUCACCUGAAAAAUAACUCCAUGAAUAUCUAAAGCAAUUUGUAGAUAUUAGUUUUUUUUUUGACAUCUUGUAGAUAUUAUAGUUUAAUUAUGUAUCCAUUAAUCCAUAGUAAUCAUUUUCUUGUGGACGAUCCUUAGCAUGUUUGCUUUAGAUAUAACGACGAUGUAUCUUAAUAAUAAAUUUAAAAAGAAGGGAAUAAUUUUCCCGAAGAAAGGAUGUAUCAAUUCAAGCAGACAUAAUGCAUGUACGAUGUAUAUAUAUAUAUGUAUAUGUAUAUAUGUAUAUAUAUAUAUAUAUGUAUAUGUAUAUAUGUAUUUUUAACUAAAUUUCUUUUGAUCCUUUUUCGAUUGGUGUGUGUUAAGAAUAGUGCUGGGAAUAUGAAUCAUUAUCCGCGGGCUCCGUUCCAUUUGAUUCGUUGCAGGGCGGGUGCGGAUCGAGUAAUUUGAAAAUUUUGGUUCGCGGAUGUGGGUGCGGGUUGAGUGAUUUUUAUGCGGGGCGAAUGCGGAUCAGCCAAAAUUUAGUGCGGGUACCCGCCAACCCGCAAAAACUAAAAAAAGAUUUUUUUUUAAAAAUAUUAUUUUAAAAUAGAAUUUUUUUAAAAAAUUAUUUAAUUUUAAUGAUAAAUAGAUUAAUAUUUAUUAUUUUUAAUAAAAUUUAUUUAAAAUAAUAUAUUUUAUUGUUAUUUAUAAUAAAAAAUACUUAAAAUAUUAAAUUUUAUUGUUAUUUUUAAUAAAAAUAUUUAAAUUAAUAAUUUUUAUUAUUAAUAAUAUUAUCCGCGGAUCUAGCGGAUCACCGGCGGAUUUAAGCGGAACGGGUGCGGAUUUUAUAUUUUCUUCUAGCGGGUCAAGCAGGUCAAAUUUUUUGAAUAAAAAAAUCAGUUCAUCCGCGAGUUGGCGGGUCAAGCGGAGCGGGUUUGACCCGCAACCCAGCUCUAAUUAAGAACCAUGCUAAUUUUUCUCUAUAGUUCUAGUUUUUUCAGAAGUCCUCAGAAAAUAUAUAUAUAUAUAUAUAUAUAUAUAUAUACAUAUUUUAUUUUAGAAAAUAUGAUAACAACUAAAUGAUAGUGGAGGACUGGUUCCACUUUGAUUAGAUUUUGUUUUUUCGUUACACAUUAGGAAAUUACCUCUGAAAUUAAAUUUUUUUUAUCAUUUUAUAUCUGUAAACGUUUUAAGUGAUAAAAAAUUGAUUUUUAAAUUUUAAAUCUGAAUUUUGUGAAUCAUACUAAAGUUUCAGCAUGAAUAUACAGAGGCGUACCUUAAGCGCUCCAAUUUGUAUAACAUAUUUUAGGGGUUCCAUUUUUAUCUUUUUUUUCAAUUGGUUAUAUAUAUAUAAACUUCUUUUAUUUUCGGACUAAAAAAUAAUUUAUUUAUGCUAUUUAGAUUUAUUUCAUGUUAUUAGACUUCUAGAUUUAAUAUAUCAUCUAUUUUCAUAAAACUAUUAUUUUCUUUAUUUAAUUUUUAGACUUUGAAUUAUAACUUCUUUUAGCUUGUAUGAGUUUAUUUUUAUAAGCUUACCAUUCAGCAUAUCUAAAUAAGCACAUAUUUAAUAAAUAAUUAUAAAAUUUUCAUAGAAAAUUUCAAAUCUUGUAUUUUUGGUUUAAUAAACUAUGUAGUUUGUAUUCUUAUAAGAAAUAAUAUGUUCAAUUUUUCAUAUGAAUUUAUAAAUAUUAAAUACAUAAUUGUUUGUAAGGUUUUAUGUAAUAGAUAUUUAUUACUAAUAAUGGAAACGUUUUUACUCUAGCCUUUGUUUUACACUGGAUUUUAUUAUUAAGCUUUUUUGGCAAAAAAUUCUAAGCAAUAAGAACUAACAAAACAAAUAUAGAAAAUGGAUACAUCAUUAGGGAUCCAAAGUAAACUAAAACACAUCUAUUUUUCAUAUCGAUAAUUAAAUAUUUUUCAUAUAAAAGUUCUAUAUAUAUUUACUCUAGCCUUAGGCCUCAAACAUCUAGGCACGGCACUGUAAAUAUACAUCCAUAGUUAUAAAACCGAAAUAAAAUAAACUAUUAGGUUUUCUUGUACAAAACUAAAAGCCUGUAUAGUAUAAGUGUAUAAGAUUGACUUAAUUUGAAACAAUAUUUUUUCUAGUUUGCACGGCUACUUUAUAUUAACGAUAUGGUCUAAACUACGAUAUAACCAAAAAAUGUUCAUUGCCUAAGAUAUAGAUUAAUGGGUUAGCUUGUUAUCUCCCAAUGUUUGAUUUUAUUAAUAUUUUAAUACUAUUAAUUAACAAGUCUGAAUAAUAUUAUGUUUUAUAUUUGUUUAAAUAAUUCUAACAAUGAUUAUAGACCUCCCAUUAAUCGGUGCUAAAAACUAAACCACUCUUAAGUAUCGAAAACAUAUUUUGGUUAUCAAAUUUUGUUUUUAUAGGAUUUUUAUAAAUUAGGUAAGAUAUAUAUAUAUAUGCUAUUUUUACAACUAUAUAUUAUAUAAAAUCUAAAAGAAUUUAUUUUACUCAAAAAAUUAUUUUACGCGAUAAGAAAAUUAUUUAUUUAAGACAUCAAUAAUUUUAAGAAUAAUUUGAAUUGUAACAAAAUAACCCAGGCUUUUAUCUUUCAAGCUACAUGAGAUUUUUCAAACACAAUACCAAAAUGAAUUGGUUAAUAAAUAUGAAUUUGAAUUGGGUAACAAAUAAAAAAAUAUUUUCAAAUACCAAUAAAAUAAAUUAUCAUUUUAAAAAUAAUACGCAAGAAUGAAAAUCACAAAUUAACAUUUGCCAAAAUAUAUAAAUAAUAUAUCAUUACUUAUAAUAUUAUUAAUCAAAAUAUUAAAACAAAAUUUGAUUAGUGAAAAAUUUGAAGGAAAAAAAAUCGAUUUAUAGUUUAGUGUUUGGUAUUAAUAGUAAUUUCGUAUUUUUCUAUUUCAUAAAUUCUAUCUUUAUAUAUAAAAAAUUUAGUGUUAUUAAUAAGAUUUUCAGGUAAAUAUUAAUUUAUAUGUUUAAAUACAAAUGUGCUUGAGCAUGUAAAACAAGAAGUUUUUGGUUUAUUCACGCAACACCUAUUUUUUUUUUAUGUGGCUUGCAACCCAUUAAUCUAUAUCCAGUGGCGGAUGUAGAACUACUAUUAAUCGGGGGCACAAAAUUCUAAUCAACUCAUUUAAAAUAAAAAAAAAUGUUUCAUUACUAAAAACAAUUCCUUACAAAAUUAUCUUAGGAUAUUUCAUAUUUUGGAUAUCCAUUUAUUAUUUUUCUAUUUCCAGGAUCACUAGAUAAAUUUUUUAAAUCAUUUCUAGAGUUUUUUUUUUUUGAGAUGACAAAUCAUCUUUAGAGUUUUCAGACGUAAAUGCAAAAAAAAAAAAAUUUAGGCUUGAAAUAUUUUCCAUUAAAAUUUUCUAUGAAAAAAAAUUUAGUACAUUACUAUAGUUUCUACGUUCUCAUAAUUUCUUAUUACUUAAAUCACAUAAAUCAAAAUUUCAUUUAGUUUUACGGUUAAACUUUUACCUUUUAGUUUCUCUCUUGAACUCGUUAAUCUUUUUGUCUGCGGUGUUUAAAUUUUUGUGAUUAGGGAGAAGAUAUAGAAAAACGUGGGUGUAGUUAGUUCUGGGUGUAGUGUAAUUAAGUAGAUUUCAACUUCAUUAUUAUUUCCUUUAGCUUUUGAUUGAACUUUUUAAAACUGAACUUAUAUUUAUUUUGGGCUACAAUAGAUUUAUGUCAUAUAAUAAUGUGUUAUAGAUUGUUUAAGCUGAAAAUAUAAAGCUUUGUUUCUUAACCAAUUAUUACAUAACUAUAUUUAAUUAAUAUACAUAUAAUUAUUUUUUUUAAAUAGUGGGGGGCACGUGCCCCCGUAGUCACCUAUGUACAUCCGCCCCUGUCUAUAUCUUAUGCAAUGAACAAGUGACGUGAAAUUAUAUUUUUCAAGUCUAGAUCAAAUCCCACAGUUUCAAAUGAAUAUUUAUUGUCUACGAAGAAAAAUGUAACUUUGAUAACAUGGACGUGUUCAAAUAAAAAAAAAAGAUAACGGGGAGUCAGGGGACUAUACGUAGGUACAAUUUCACCCUCUGCAUUUCUUAUUGGUACAAGAUGGAGAAAAUAAAGACUCCUAAACGUUUAACUAUCAAAAAUUAUAAUGAAUUUAAGAUCGCGGGAGAUUUUUUGUCGACGAACAUGCUAACUCCAAAGUCCAAACUCACUUGAUCUUGUUAACCAAAAGAUCAAUUAACCUUGCUUUCUUUUGCUAAAAUUUUGUGAACAUCAAUUAGUCUUUGCCAUACGAAACAAAAACAAAAUUUCUCAUUAUUUUUUUAUCAUAGAUGAUUAAAACGAUUAUGUGAGGUCGUUCUCUUUAGAGUAAUUGACAACUACUUGAGAAAAGCGAUGGCUUAAAUUUUGGAAAAAUACGAAACCAGUUAACCAGGACCUGCACAAAAAAGGUAGGACCAAACUUCAUUUCAAUUUCUUUAAUUAUUAAUUAUUUUUAGUAUCUUCUUGAAACAGAUUCGAAAAAGAAAGCCAAAUAUAAAUAAAUAUUUGUUCAGCAAGUGAUUAAGACUUCAUAGUGCAUAUGAAUUAUCAGAAACGUCGUAGUGAUUUCUAAAUAAGCAAAUUCUUUAUCAAAGAACUUUAUGCAAGUUUUACUUUAAAUAAAUUAGUGGGCGUAAAGACCUAGUAGUUUGAACUAAAUUUUUUACAUCGUCUGAAAAAUAUUUUUUGAAUAUCUAUAUAUAUAUAUAUAUAUGUGUGUGUGUGUGUGUGUGUGUGUGUGUGUGUGAAAACAAAUUUUGAAAUGGAUAAAUUAAUUUUAUGAACUUUUUAUUUUAAAACUAGUUGAUGAUAAAUAAAUUAUUUAUAUUUUACAUAUAGUUCAAAAUCAUAUCUUAUUCUGUGUGGGGAAUGUUCUUCACUACAAAUAUUUCUAAAUUUAUAAAUUCAAUGAACAUUUUCCAGUUACAUUUCACAUUACCGGUAUUUAAUAGUGAUAAUAUAUUUUGUAUUAGAAGGAAGAUAAAUUUGAACAGCAUUAGAAAAUACAAAUAAAACUAUUUAUUUAAUUUUAAGUUAAAACAAUUUAAUAUGAUAUAACAAUCAAAACAAGUGAGUUCAUCCGAUCUGAAGAUUCAAUUCGAAACUUGUUUGAUCAAUCUUACUUGGUAUGUAUUAGACAAUGGAAUUAAUCUGACUUAUGUAAUAAGAAUUCAGUUGAUAUUAAUUAGUAUUUCGAAAGAAUUACUAUAUUAUAAGUCGGUGAAAAAUAUCUAACAUGGGAAGUAAAAUGAAAUAUUAGUGACAUAUAAGAUAGAUAAGCAAAUUUAUUCAUUACAAAUUAUAUUUGGAUACAAAUAUUAUAAAACUUAAGUUACAAAAAGAUCAUAAAACUUAACAAAUAAUGAAAAUAUAAUUAUUAUUUCCUGACUAAGAUAAAAUAUAAUAACUUAAUAAGUAGAUAUAAUAAAAAGAAAGAUGUAUAUAUGUAAGCAUCAUCUUAUAAAUGCGAAUAGAAAGGUCUGCGGCGGAUGGAAAUAUAUUAAAAUUUUUAUGAAAAUUGACAUUACUUCAUCUCCAUCCCACUUUUUGCUCACCGUCUUCUUUCGGAACAUACAUUUGGUGUUUCAUUUUCACCCAUAUGAUGUUUACUUUCGCCACCUUUGCUUCUUGAUUUCCAUCUCUUAUUUAUUUCCAGGCAGCUUCGUAACUUCCAUCAUGUAUUCGAUUUUGUUUUCCAAAAGCUUUAGCCAGAAAGAUAAUGAUUAAUAAAGUUAAGGAGAAGGAAAUAAUAGUGGAAGAUAUAAAAUCAAAUACGAUGUCAAAAGAGGUGGGACGGGGAAAUCUUCAUCGAUGAAUGGUGGGUCUCCCAAAUCUUACACUUGACUUGUUGCUUUUUUAAUUUUGAUUUCCUCACAAAUCUCUCUCUUCGGAGGAUUAUUCAUGAGCAGUAUCUGUGAAGAAUAUGCAUAACCACAACAUUAAAUGAUUUAUUUAACCGUCAACAUAUAUAUGCUACUUUCUAACAUAACACAACGUAGUAUUUUUCCUAGUAUGAUACUUUAGUAUUUUACUUGGGUUAUGACAAUGCGAUCGACUUAUAGCAAACACGAUUUGUAUUGCCAGUAUAGUACGUAAUAAACAGUCAAAUUAAACUGUUAGGUAUUGACUACUAUGACACAGGAAAGGUUUCUAAAAAUUUGUUUGUAAUAAAUAAAAUUAGAGAGAUUUGUUAAAUUUCAUAUCUCAGUAAUAUUAGAUUUUAACGAAAAUAUUAUAAAAUCAAUGAUUAGUUAGCAUUUUUUAGAGACAAGAAAUUUGGAUGCAGUUACAAUAUUAAAUCCAUAACACAGAAGUUCAAUAAAAAUACAAAAAAAAAUUUACAAACAAGGAUGUAACGCUAAAAUCAAGUCGACAAACAUACAUAUAACUCUUGAUCAUAUAUGUUUUGAGUUAAUAAGUAACAUAAAGAAUUCAAAUAGAAAUAUGGAGUAUUAUAUAAAAAACAUCAUCACUUCAAACAUUAAUAACUACAAUUUUCCGUAUUUAAAAAUCAUAUUUUAGACCUGUUUUGUGAUUAAAAAUUAAGUUUUAAAUUUUAUUAAUGUAUUUUAUUUUAAAAUAUAAAUAUAUUUUAAAAUGUAAAAAUAUGAAUUUUAAAAUAGUUAUAAAAAGUAAAUCAACAAAUAAAUAUAAAUUGAUAAUUUUGAAAAUAUGUUUAAUUUAUUUAGCUUUUUAACAAUACGAGUAAAUAGGAUAUGCCGGCAUUUAAUGUAUUGUUUUGAUUGAGUUCUUCGUUACAUGAAAGUGUGUUGGUUAUGAAAAUGUAUGAGAAAUUUUUGGCAAUGACGUUGACAAGUUUGCCAGAGAAUUCGGUGUUUUAAAUAGGGAUUGUUUUUUGGUGUUAAAUGAUUAUUUAAACGUCAGAUACAAAAUAAUUUUAUCUUUUUACUUCUGUUCAUAAAAUCCAAAGACGAUGUAACUUAUACAGUUAUACUCAAUAAGACAGGUUUCACGUGUAGUGCCCAUAGACCACAACUCAAAUACAUUUUUUUCGUGUUAUACUAAUAUAUCACCGAUCAGAAGAAAAAAAAAACUUAAUUAAUACGGAAACUGGAAAAUUCUAGUACAAUUAUUGAUCAACAUUUUAUAAUGAUGAAGAGAAUGCGUCGUUGAACUGACCUAGUAAUGUGAAAGAUGGAAUUGAAUCAACAUUAUUAUAUUGGUAAUGAUAUGCUCCACAAUUAUAAAUAUGCGAUAUUAGCACCAACCAUUUGGAUAAGCCAUACGCCAAAUUUGCAUGAGACCGAAACACUUGGAAUUUGUAAACCAAAGCUAAGAAUGAUAGAUGCUGAUUGAAAAGGUAUCUCAUCUUCUAAAAUGAUCCAAUAUAUUUUAAAAAACAAAUAAAAUUAAUUUUCUUAUAAAUAAAAUAACACAAGUACCCAUCACAGGUGUUUUUUUUUUUGAGAAAAAGAGAAAAAAGAGAGAGACGGCAUGUGAGAUGGGCCAGACGCUCUGAUCCGACUGGCAUGAAUGGCCUUUCGUGCGUGCGUUCUUAUCUCUUCAACUUUUUUUGUUAUGUUCAUACUGUUACUAACGAAAGAUUCAUAACUGUUGUAAUUCUUGUAAAAAAAAAAACUGAAUUUGAACCCCUUUUUUCUACAUCAACUGAUUUUGAACUUCAAGUAAAGCAAAAGUAAAUUGAAUAUUAUUCUCGUAUAGCAGCUAAAAAAGAUGUCAAGUGAUGUUGAUCAUAGACUCCUAGUAGUUGAGUUAGAGUGGUUAAAUUUUUGAAAUCUUAGCCGAAGUUAAGAGUUUGAAUUAUUUUGGAAAAGGAGUUUAAAACUCACGACUUAUAAAUCUGCAUUAUUAAUUUUUUUCACCAUAUAGAAAAUUUUAAAUAGCAAAAUAUCUACAUAUUUUGAAGGUUGGUGUGGAUUUCGUCCCAUGAUCUAGCAUGGUUAUAAGCUACUAUUAAACCAAAAAAAAUGGUUAUAAGCUACUAAAACUAUAAUGAUCAAUAUAAACUAUCUCAUUUGACUAGAUAAAUAUUUAGCUCUUCGUUCCAUACAAUCCAGUGAAACUCGCGAUAGGCUCCUAUCACCUUAUUAGUUAAACUCUUGACGAUUGUGUUAUGACUCGAGUCUUCAAGAAUCUUCAGUAAAUAUUGCACUAGUAUCUCAAGUAAAGUCAACUUCGUCCUGCAGAAGAUAAUAUACUAUUGAUUUUAAGAGCCUGCAAGCCCUGUAUGCUUAAAUGCCUGAUAUGUGGGAGAUAAAAUAUCUUAUGGAUUUACGUGUACAUGUAUAUAUACACAGUGACGCACGUGUGUGGGCGGGAGCAAAUGGUGAAUGCGUGUAGCGAUGGAACACCGCAAGUACUCUGAAAGCGACCAAUAGAAAAGCACCACUGUUUUAGUAUAUAAUGUCAUGUCCCAUCUCCAUCCAACUCAUGUAUAUACGUUUGAUCUAACGGCUGUAAUUGGUACCUUGAUUUCAUAACCUAUCAUCGUACACCGCUCCCUUCCUCUUAACUUUUCUUUCUACCUAGGGACAACCCUACACUGUGCUCUUUUUUUUCCCCUCCCCUAUCUCUAAUCCCGUUUUCCAUUUUUUAAUAGAAUUUAAAAUCUUUUUCAAUCUCCUUUUUAUUUCAAUAAUGUAGUAAAAACAUAAUUUUGCCCUCUCCAUAUGCUAUUCAUACAACUAAUACCAUCUCCCACGGUUUACUCAAAUUUUCACUCUAAAAUAAAAUAACUAUAGUAAUAGAGUUUGAGCUUGAUCUAAUAAUAUUCUAUUUUAAAGUAAAAGAUAGAGUGAUAAACAAAAAAAAAAUUAUUUUAUAUUUGAAAUAAACAUAUUUUCACUUUAUUAUAGAGUGAGAAAUAUAGUAUCAUUAGAACAUUUUAACUCUAAACUUUAUUUUAAAGUGAAAAUAGAGUAAAAUUGGAAAUAUCCUAAUACAUAUAUCAUUGAAGGAAAAAUGUAGAAAAGGAAACCCUAAAAGCGCGUCCUGCCAUUUUUAUCAGGUGAUUUCUCUGUCAACCUUACGUAUUGCUAUUCUUUCAUAUAUAAAUAAAUAUAUAUAUUCAUAACUCGCACACUUCCAUUUCACAUCACACAAUCAAAUAAUGAGGCAAAAGAAUACACCCAAUGAAAUGAAGGAGCACUUAAUUUAUGACGUACUCGCGCGCGCCACAACUAAUAACUAAUGAUAAUAACUAAGAUCUUCUUUUUUUUUUUGGAAAGGGUUUAAUAACUAAGAUCUUAGUUUAUAUUAUACACAAAUAUAAGCUUACCUAUAGAUGUUGGCAAAACAAUUUAUAUGUGGUCAUAUAGAACACUGAAACAUAUUGCUCUUUACACAGUUACAUUAUAUCUAUAUAUUUUAUUUUCUAUGUAAGUAACUAUGGCUGUUUUCUUUUCUUUUUCACUUCUUAAAAAAAACUUUUUAAUUUUUACUAAUGUCCAAGCCAAAGAAUACGGGAAAAGAGUACGUAUGUACUCCCUCUGUUCCCGAAAGAAGGAUUUUCUAGAGUAUUCGCGCAUAUAAAGAAAAUAAUUAAUUUUUUACAAUUGAAUUUAUUAUUUAUUUUACUAUACAUUUUCCAAUAAAUAUCAAACAAUAGUAUUCAACCAAUUCAAAUAUUUUCAAUUAAUGUUACUUAAAAGUAUACAACUUUUCAACAUUAACUACUAAAAGUACCUUAAACUCUUAGAAAAUCUAUUAUUUUGGAACAAAAAAUAAAUCUAAAAAAUCAUACUUUCAAGAAUCUUCUAAAUAAGCUUUAAAUGCCUUUAAUAUGGAUAUGAAAUAUAUACAUGUAUUAGUAGAGUGCUCAACAACAUGCUAUUAUGGAUUUCUAUCCUCCUCAUUUUCAUAUUUUCUUUCUGCCCAUGUCUAUUUAUAGAAGAAAAAAUGAUGAGAAAGUCGUGGAUCAAGUUUUUAGUAGUUGGAUAGAAUCAAUCUUAAAUCUACGAUCAUAAGUGACAAAAAAAAGUGACGAACCACGACAUGUUUUCAGGGAAUGUGAUGUGGUAUAUAUUUAUCAGUUAGCUUUGGCGUCGCUAGAUAAAUUUUUCUUGGUUACAGAGUUUAGAUCCGUCGCAAGAUCGUCAACGUUCUACAAAAUAAUUUGAUCAAUAAAUUAUUUUCCUAAUACAGUUUUGCUGACACCCGAAAAAUGAUUUUUUAAUAACCGAAAUAAUCAUCAAAGAACACAUUAUAUGAUAGAAAUAAUAAUCGUGACGUGAGGAAUUAACACUAAAUAUAUCUAAUCUAAUAUAAGAUACAGGAUCAUGUAUGUGUACUUAAAAUAUGCGACUGUAGUACAACGUAGUUGAUCAAUUAUCAUACACAGAGACGAGGUUGGAUGUAAGCUUAUGAUUAAAAAAAUUAAGAAAAUGAAAGUACAAUACUAGUAUAAUAUAGUUCUCAAGAAAGAAAAAAAAUACUAGAAUGUAGUUUAGGUACAUGGACGAUGCAACGAAGUUUCGAAGUCGGGAGGACACGAGCCCCCAACUGUAAUAAAAUCAGAAGUAAGGGGUAAAGUAGUAAUAUUCGUGUCCUUUGAGAAGAACAAGUUGCUUUAAAAAUGUUAAGCAAGAGCAUAAAAGACCCGCUCCGUCCGGGUACGGGUCAAAACAGCCAUUGUCGUUCUUCCUUACUUCUCAUUCAAAUAAGAGAGAGAGAGAGGAGAGAAGUUGCUUUUGAGCAGAGAAUAUAAUAAUAAUAGCAGAAGAAAGCUCCGCCACGUCGCCGCCACUUUUCUUUACCGGAGAAACCUUCCUAAACAAAAUUAAAAACAAAAAAAAAACAGUCUCUUUCUUUCUUUCUUUGUCUGAUUAUUAUUCCUUGUGUACACAUGUUGUGUAACAGUUGAGCAGUUGCAUGCCCAUCACUUUCUUUCUCAUUUCCUGAUCACAGUCCUGGGAUCUCGAUUUCUCGUAAGCUUAUAACGAAACCAAAAGCACAGCUUAAAAGAAGAAGAUCUAUUUGUACAAGGCUGAAACGACACCUUCUCCUGUCGUUUUAUUGAUAGCUCGAGAUCUGUGUUUCUUUCUUGGCUUCUGAGCUUUUGGCGGUGGUGGGUUUUCUAAGAAAAAAAAAAAAUCAAGUUGGGGGUCUUUUAUUUAUAGACACUAUUCUAAUGGGAGUUAACAGUGGGGUUACUGGAUAAAUUAACAAGUAAUGAAGGAGUUGAAGAUUCAGAGAAGCGGCUUUGAAGUCGGCCAGCUUAUUUGGCUAGAAAAAUCAAGACUUGGUUGAUGUGUGUUCUGUUCUGUCAGGAUAAGAAGGAGAAGAACUCUGUUUUUUUUUUGUCUAAGUGUUUUUGGAUUUGUGAAAAAAGAUUUGGUUGGUGAAUGAGUGGGGAGGUGGAGGGAAACAGUUAAAGAAAGUUAAUACUUUUUUGGUCUCUCCUAAGUCAUAAUUACAUUUUGGCAUCUUGGAUCUUUGAAGAAACAAAGUUUGAAAAAUUUGUUUUUAUUGUUUGCUUUUUAAGUUAUAUAUAAAAAUAAGAAGAUGAGAUUGUCUUCAGCUGGGUUUAAUCCUCAUCCUCAUCCUCAUGAAGGUAUUAUUACUUUCUCUCUCUAUUGCUUAAUACUUGCAAAUGUAGAAACUUUGUUUUUUUUUGUGUGGGAGAUUUUAACUAACUUGUGUGUGUGUUUUGUUGAAAAUAAAGUUACAGGAGAGAAGAGAGUUCUUAAUUCUGAGCUCUGGCAUGCUUGUGCUGGUCCUCUUGUCUCACUACCUCCUCUUGGAAGCAGAGUUGUUUAUUUCCCUCAAGGUCACAGUGAACAGGUUUGUGUCUCCUUCCCUUAUGCUGUUUUGGUUAUAGAUUACUCAAACAUCUACAAAUAUUUUGUGUACUUUCAGGUCGCUGCUUCAACCAAUAAAGAAGUGGAUGCCCAUACACCAAACUAUCCCAGCUUGCAACCACAGCUUAUCUGUCAGCUUCACAAUGUCACAAUGCAUGUGAGAAAUAUUCUUUUAUGAGAAUAGUGUGUUUAUUCUGUUAUGUGACUUAGUUCAGGACUUUUUUUUUCUUAAAAUUUCAGGCAGAUGUUGAAACUGAUGAAGUCUAUGCACAGAUGACUUUACAGCCGUUGAAUGCGGUAUGAGACUUCUUACAUGUAAUCCACACUUUUUACUUUUUAUGAGGAUUUUGUCGGUGUUAUGAACAGUUUUUCUUGUUUGAAUGCCAGCAAGAGCAAAAAGAUUCUUACCUUGCGGCGGAGUUAGGUGUCCCGAGUAGACAACCUACAAACUAUUUCUGUAAAACUCUGACUGCUAGUGAUACCAGCACUCAUGGAGGUUUCUCUGUGCCUCGCCGAGCUGCUGAGAAAGUUUUCCCUCCCUUGGUAAUUUUCAUUCUACUUACUCUGAAGUUUCUUUUCUUUCGAACUUAGCUAAUGAUUUUUUUUUUUUGUGUUCUUCAGGAUUACACACAGCAGCCUCCAGCUCAAGAGUUGAUGGCAAGAGAUCUGCAUGACAAUGAAUGGAAGUUCAGACAUAUUUUCCGAGGUUAGAUUUCACCCAAUUAAAGUUCAGUUUCCUUAAUUAUAAGUUUAUAACCAAUGUUGAAAAAAAUUGGUCUGAUUUUGUUAAAUCCGAUUUAUGCAACUCAAAUUGGUUUAGGCGGCAAAUCAGUCAUAGCCAAAACGAGUUCUUAAAUUCGAUUGAUUUAUGAAACUCAAAUCGGUUCAAACCGUCAUAAAUUGGUUUAAAUGGAUCUAAAUUAGUUUGAAUCAAUUUAAAUUGAUCUAAAUAUGUUAAAUUAAACAUUUUUGUUAGUGAAAAUCCACAAAUUUGUCUACUUUUUUUUUUUUUUGCAUAUGUAAUUUUAUGAUUCAUUAAAUUAAUUUUGUAAUUAAACCAUAAAACUAAAAUAUUUAAUGUAAACGUAAUAUAUAUAAAAAUUAAUCAAUAAUCUGUUAAUCCGCCUACCGAUUUUUGUAACAUUGGUUAUAAAUAACGAAUAAACAAAGAGAGUUUGUUACUGACUCUGCUUUUGUUUAUCUCCUCUCAGGCCAACCGAAAAGACACCUUCUUACUACUGGUUGGAGCGUAUUUGUGAGUGCUAAAAGGCUUGUCGCUGGUGACUCCGUUCUUUUCAUCUGGUUAGAACCCACUUCUUCAAAUAUCCAUAGUUGUGAAUGGUGGAGCUCAUGUCAUUUUUGUUUUUAUCAUCAGGAACGAUAAGAAUCAGUUACUUCUUGGUAUAAGGCGAGCACACCGGCCACAAACUGUCAUGCCUUCAUCUGUUUUAUCAAGUGACAGUAUGCAUUUAGGCCUUCUUGCCGCAGCAGCUCAUGCAGCCUCCACAAACAGUCGCUUCACCAUCUUCUAUAACCCAAGGGCGAGUCCAUCAGAGUUUGUAAUACCCUUGGCUAAGUACGUGAAAGCGGUUUAUCACACUCGUGUGUCUGUUGGCAUGAGGUUUAGGAUGCUGUUUGAAACCGAAGAAUCAAGUGUUCGUCGGUACAUGGGUACAAUAACUGGCAUUUGUGAUCUAGAUCCUGCUCGGUGGGCUAAUUCUCAUUGGCGGUCCGUUAAGGUUCAUUUCUCUAACCAAAUGUUUGCUUUCUUGUAUACAUAUAUAUAUCAUCAUCUUGAUCAUGGUGCAGGUCGGAUGGGACGAGUCCACUGCAGGAGAUAGGCAACCGAGGGUGUCCUUGUGGGAGAUUGAGCCUUUAACGACAUUCCCUAUGUAUCCAUCUCCUUUUCCUCUCAGGCUUAAACGUCCCUGGCCUUCAGGUCUCCCAUCUUUUCAUGGUAAUUGUUAAUUUCAGAACUUGAUUCAUCCCUUGAAAGUUUGUAUAUAUAUUCUAAUCUUUUAUUUAUAUAUAUACUAGGUAAGUAACCGUGCGAUAUCGCAGGGGACUCAUUUUAUAAAAAUAAAUAUACCAUUUUAUAACUUAGAUUUUUAUCCAAAAACUUCAUAAUUUUACUUUCGAGAAUGUUCUCAUUUCAAAACGUUGAAUGUAUGUGUUUAUAUUCAUUUAUAGAUAAUACUAAAAAUGUAUAUUCUAAUCUUGUCUCCUCUUCUUUUGUUUAUGUAGGUCUUAAAGAAGAUGAUAUGGGUAUGGGUAUGGGUAUGAGUUCACCGCUUAUGUGGGACCGAGGACUUCAGUCUAUGAACUUUCAAGGUAUGGGAGUGAACCCGUGGAUGCAGCCGAGGCUUGAUGCUUCAGGCUUGCUUGGUAUGCAGAAUGAUGCUUACCAAGCAAUGGCUGCAGCUGCACUUCAAGACAUGAGAGGCAUUGAUCCUGCUAAAGCCGCUGCUUCUCUUCUUCAGUUCCAAAGUCCCUCAGGUUUCUCUAUGCAACCUCCUUCCUUAGUGCAGCCGCAGAUGCUGCAGCAGCAACUUUCUCAGCAGCAGCAGCAAGUGGUGGAUAAUCAUAAUCUGUCUGCUUCCAGUGCUGCUAUGUCUCAGUCAAACACGUCUCUACUCCAGUCAAUGACACCUCUUUGUCAUCAACAAAGCUUCUCAGACACCAACGGAGGAAACAAUCCCAUCACUCAACUCCACACUCUCCUCAGUAACUUCCCUCAAGACGAGUCUUCUCAACUGCUCAACCUCACUAGAACAAACUCUGCAAUGACUUCUUCAGGUUGGCCAUCAAAGCGUCCUGCAAUUGAUUCAUCCUUCCAGCACUCUACAGCCGUUAACAACAACCAAUCAGUAAUGGAGCAGUUGGGACAGUCACACACAAGCAACGUUUCUCCAAAUGCUGUCUCGUUGCCUCCAUUCCCCAGUGGUCAAGAAGAGAACCACUCAGACCCUCACAGCCAUCUCCUCUUUGGAGUCAACAUAGAUUCAUCUUCCCUUCUGAUCCCAAACGGAAUGUCAAACCUUAGAAGCAUUGGCAUUGAAGGUGGCGACUCCACCACUCUACCCUUCACAUCAUCAACUUUCAACAACGAGUUCUCUGGUACAAUGACUACACCUUCUAGUUGUAUAGAGGAACCAGGUUUUCUACAGCCCUCAGAGAACCAACAGUCUAAUACCUUUGUGAAGGUAAAUUAAGUGUGUUUCUUGUGUUGCACGUAACUAGUGAUGACCUAAUGGAAAUGUUUUCGCAGGUGUACAAGUCAGGUUCUUUUGGAAGAUCGUUAGAUAUAACGAAGUUCAGCAGCUACAACGAGCUGCGAAGCGAGCUUGCUCGCAUGUUUGGCCUCGAAGGCCAAUUAGAAGAUCCUGUGAGAUCAGGCUGGCAGCUUGUAUUUGUCGACCGAGAGAACGAUGUUCUUCUCCUCGGCGAUGACCCUUGGCCGUAAGUUAAACUUCCCUCACUUGUCUCACAUGGCAUUGUUCCACUGAUCUAACUUUGUGCUUACACCUUCAUCGGGCACAGGGAGUUUGUGAGCAGCGUGUGGUGCAUUAAGAUACUCUCACCACAAGAAGUGCAGCAAAUGGGGAAACGAGGCCUUGAGCUUCUUAACUCCGCUCCAUCUUCCGAUAACGUCGAUAAGGUCCCGAGCAAUGGGAACUGUGAUGACUUUGGGAACCGGUCAGACCCGAGGAGUCUCGGUAAUGGUAUAGCAUCCGUUGGGGGUUCGUUCAACUACUAGAGAAGUAGAAAGUAAAACCCUUUUUCUUGGUGUUCAAGUUAUUAAGUAUUGAUCUUCUUAGUUUAAUUAGUAGCUUUUAAUCUCUCUUUAUUACUUGAGAAGAGAGCUUUGUGUUGAACUUUGUGGAAACAGGAAAAAAAAACUAUAUCUGUCGUAAUACUGUAAUUAUAAGAUCUUUUGGUCUUUUACUGAACUUUUGUUUUUACUGAACUUUUGUUAUGUCAUUUUCGUUGCUCACUACUUCUCCAAUCAACUUGAUGGUUUUGGUCUUUUGGAGCUAUUAAGACUUUUGUCUGAAAGUCACUGGUCCACAUAGAAAUGAGAAAGUGAUUUUUGUGUCCCAGUUCAUUUAUUGGUUUGUGUGAAACACCGAAAUAUUCGGACCCGCUAUUCAGGGCUUUACACUAAAACUAGAUCUCGUUUUGCGUCAGCAGUAACCUUUUUUCUUUUCUUGACACGUAUUGAUCCGUAGUUCGUACUCGUAAUACACUUUUAUUGGUACAUCAAUUAAGAUAUGCCCUAACGUUUAUAGUAUAUGGUAUUGGAGUUUACUGACCAAUCAUCAUCGGGGAUAAGCUAGAGGAUGUUUCUUCCAAGAACAUGUAGCUUCUCCUCUCAUGGCGGAAACCUUAGCGAUUCGAGCAGCUCUCGGACAUGUGGUAUCUUUUAUCCUCAACCACAUCUAGCUUUUGUACAAGCCUUUACCACGAAUUGACGAUCUAUGGAGCUUUUUGGAAUUCUAACAAACAUUCUUUUUUAGUUUUUUUUUCAAGCAUUUUUCAUUUCUAGAAUUUUCAAUGAGCCUGUCUUUGUAACAAAAUUUUCCAAGUGGACAUGGCUUCAUGCUAUAAAGCCCUCUAAAAUUUUAAUAUAAUUCAGUUGCUAAAAAAAUAGUAUAUGGUAUUGAAAACAAAAAAGCAAAAAAACAAACGUAAGACCAAUGUAGGUUUUGUUUUCACCAAACUAUAAGGAAUAUGAAACGAAAUUUGUAGAAUGGUUACAACAUAGAAACGUGAACGUGAUAUCCAGAAAUAUCUGGCAACAUAGAAGAAUUUAUGAUUAGGGUUUGUGUGUGUUUUUUUUUAAACUAUUAGGGUUUGUGUGUUGAUUGGCUAUUUAAGAGAAUAUAGUGAUCGAUUAAUAAAAAAGACAAGUCAAAUAAAUAACAAAUCUGAUAAAGAGAUAUUUGUAAGUAUAUGGUUUGAUUUGUGGUGUAUGAAUGUGAUUCACAUAUAUCUUUAGUGGUGGGACUAUGAAUUCUAAGUAAGAAAAUUGGGAAUUGUUUAAAAUAAUGUUGGGUGCAUGUGAUAGGAAAAUUUAUAGAUGACACAAGUUGGGGCACUUUCAUGAGCCCUAGUUAAACAGUGCAUGGUGACCCAUCAUUUUGAAAGUUCUCAUCUUUUUUUCUUUUUCUUUUUUACCUAUUAAAAUUAGUUUUUUUUUUUUGGUUUUAAAAACAAAAAAAACAUGCAUCAAUCCAUAACUGAUUGUACUUAUUUUAUCAUAUCAACAUAAAUUUGGAAGAAACCAAAGCCGGAAUUCGAUCUUCAAUACAAACUUUUCAAACUCUAAAGGUAUGCAAAAAAUUUCUUUUAAGUUUGCUGCUGAAGACAUUAAUUUCAUAUAGUAGAUAAAUUAGAAAUAAUAAAUGAUACAAGUAAAAAAAAAUCAAAUUUAUUUCAACAGGAGGUUCAGAGAAUCUGUAUCAAUUAGUUGUAUACAUGAUUUUUUUGAACUUUAGUUAUAUACAUGAUUGCUCUGAAAUUUUGUGAAAUAUAGACAAUUUAGUUAAAAGUAAUGUUAUUAAAAAAUUUUUACUUAAAACUGGGAAUUUUAAGUUAAUAUUUUACUUGUCUUUUUAUCAAAACCAAUCCUGAUUGCAUAUAUCUUCUAUUUAUUUUGUUCACUAAGGGGAUGAAUGGUUUUUCCGCUACUACCUGCAAACGCAGUUUUUGCGGUUGGUAACGGUUGUUGGCGUUUUACAACAAUCGCUUAAACCGAUUCAAACCGCUCUAAACCUUAUAAAUUUAAAAGCUGGUUCCAGCUAACGUUUACGGUUGCGGAAGGAUAAAAAAAAACUUUUUUUUCUAAAACAAUAUAAAUACAAAAAUAAAAAUAUUCAAUAAAAAAUUUAAAUUAGAAUUAGAUUUUUUUUUUGACAACAGAUUAGAAUUAGAUAAAUACUAAAAUAUAUCUAUUAUACUUUCAUUAAUAUUAUAAAACUUUAAAAUAAAAAUAUUUUCUAUAAUUUUUAAAAAUUUAAAACUAUACCUUUCUGAAUAUAAUUUUUAUAUGUAUUAUAAUAUUAUUGUUUCUGAUAUUUUAUAAUUAUAUAAAUAUAAAUAUUAUUAAUUUAUUAUUUAACCGUUGCUACAUUUGGUAGUUAACCAGUCAUAGGUAUUCCGCAAAUGCACCAAUUUCUAAUCGCAGAACCAGUCGUACAAAUCUCUUAGAACCGCUAGAAACUGCAACCACCCACAUCCUCUAACUCCCACAACCGCAACCACCCGCAUCCGCUAACUCCCGCAACUGCAAUCACUGCGUUUGAACCAUUCGGGUACUAAGUGAACUAGAAUUAGAUCAUGGUUUGAUUUUAUGUUAAAUGUAUGAGAUAAAGAAGAUUUUGGACCAAAAAAAAAAGAUUUCAGAAAUUGAUAAAUCAAAGUUGAUAAAAGAGCGGUACUACCGUAGUCAAAUUGAAGUAUCAUGAUUCAUGAUACAAUAUUACAAAUGAAUAUAACCAAAAUAAGCUUUUAGCGAUAAGGGUUUUGAGUGGAUAUGUAAGUUGUUACUGUGCGACUAGUUUUUCUCAUUUAUCUUCAUUUGAAACGACGAACAGAAAACGUCAAAUGAGAUAUUAUUGAUGGUCGUCGAAAUACUUUUCUGAGGCAAAGUAAAAAAGGAACUUAUAUAAAGGAAAGAACCAAUCAACCUUCGUUGUUUUUUAUGCCAUGGAGACCUACUAAUUAGUUAAUAUUAUUAUUUUUUUAAUGAAUGUAAAAUUUUAUUCAAUCAAACUUUUUUUUACAUCAAAUGUUUCCAUUGUUGAUUAGAGAAUAUAAUCCAUGAAUUAAACGAAAUAAUCAAUUCUUUUGAACUUCAAAUCUGAGAGGAAUCUUGCAUUCUUGAUCCAAACCACACACAACCCCUCCCCAAGAUUUUCAAUCGCCUUUUCCUUUAACUGGUAACAGUUUCAGGCGAAUAGUUUUGUCCACACAUUUGAUCAGAACCUUCACAUCCCUUGGCUGCUCUCCAUGGCGUCGAGCAUUCCAUUCUCUCCAUAAACUGUGUACCAUAACUUGGAAAGUGUAACGAAGUUUUAACUAAUUAAUUAAUAUUAACGAAUCCGGUUAUCAAGAAUAAUUAGAUGUAAGAAAUGAACUGAUCUAAGUUUACCAAUCUUUUACAUUUAUUUGAUGCUUUAGGGUAACCAAGUUGAAGUCACAAGUUUUAAAUCCUGAUUUUCAUUUAUUUAUAUGAAUAUUUACCAUUCAUCAAAGAAAACACACUCGAGCCCCAAUUAUGAUGAUUGAUCAUUAGGCUAACUGGACCAAAAUUACUCAUGAACUUUCUAACCAUUGGACCCAUAGCUCAAAGCCCAAAUAUAUCAGUGUAGAGGGCCACUAGUGACAGUUGUUUGGUGAGCAAGUAAACAUUAUGUGAACAUGUAACCAUAACGCCAAAACUUUUACUUCCAGUGAUUUAUACGGCCUACAAGUGGUUUCUGUUUAUAUCGGUUCAGGUUUAAAUUGUUCCUUUAGGGCCUUAGGCAAUAGCAACCCCUAACGUAAGACACAAUCUUUGCCAUUCUCUUUUGAACCUAUGCAACAAAAGAUGCAUUCCAUUUAUAUAUUACACAAAGGGAUUUGACUUUGAGAAGCAAAUCCUGAUUAACUCAAAAGACAAAAAGUCAUUCCAAUGCCUCAUGAGAACCAACCACAACAUAUCUUGUAACCUGACGCCGGUAUUCGACCAGUUUCCCUGAUAUAUUUGGCUUCAGCCACUGCCUUCUCGGCAUCACGGGCCUUUCUAGCUUCCGCGGAAGCCCGUUUCUCUUCAGACCUUUGCUUAGCCAUUGCUAUUUUCUUCACUAUCCUUGCUUCAGCUUCAGCCUUCAUCUGCUCAACUUUAGCCUACCCACAAAUGCUUUAUCAGUGACUUUCAUGUAAGUGAUCAAGCAAAAGUAUCCGAAAAACGCCUCACGUACAUACCUCAAUACGUUGCAUUUCUGCUUCGAGUUUGGCUUUCUCCUGACUUUCCCAAGCUUGGAUUCUGAUCUCCUCACGCUUAUACCUAAAGAAAAUUGAGUGUUAAAAAAGAAAUGAAAACAAGUUUUUUAGGUGUUCUACUUCUACUUUAUGUUUCUUCACUGACAAGUUUAAUAUUUGGUUCAUUAGGCUAAGAGAAUACCAGACCUUGCAUUAUGUUUUGAUUUUUCUGCUUCUUCCCAAGCACUCGCUCGUUUAUCAAACUCAAUCCUAUGUGUCUCCUCUGCGUCUACCUUGUUUUUAUUGCUCUCCUCUUCUUCUUUACUUGCCCAAGCCGCAAUGUUCAUCUUCCCUAACCGAACCCCGAGGGUUACUAUCUCUCUUCUCGUCUUCGCUUUCAUUUCCUCCUCAGAUAGUUCUCUUUUUGUGUUUGCUGACGGGUCUUGUGACUCUUCUUGUUGGCCUCCUCUAGGAGUAGAAGGCAGAGAAGAAGUUGGGCUGCGAAGAGGAGUUGUUGCACCAACUGGUGUGACUGAUCUUGAAGGUUCUUGACUCGGUAUUGGCGUCAUAUCAGUUCCCAUAUCUCUCAUACAUACAGAGCGUAUCACAGGACCAGCUUCACACAAAAAAAAAUCAAGCUGAUUCAAUAUUCAAAACUCUACUAAAAAACAAGGGCAAAUCUUCAAACUAGUACAUUUAAAGGUUUAUCCUAAAAAUAGCAUCCAUUGAUAAAAUUUCCUAAAAAUAACACUCGGUCAUUUGAAUGCUAAAUUACUCUUAACUCCUAAACUCUAGUCUCAUCUCCACCCAUAAAUACAAAACCAUAAACCCUAAUCACAAAACCUUAAACUCAAAUAGAAAAUAUAUAUUUGCUAUUUUUUAUUUUUUAGAGAUGCUAUUUUUUUACUUUUAAAUGAUGCUAUUUUUCUAAAUCCGCUUAUAUGAUAAAUUUGUCACAAAAUAUGAUUUAAUGAUAUGUGAGGGCAUUUUUCAAAAAAAAAAUAAUAAUAAUUAAUCACCAUUUUUACCUGGUGUUUCGUCACGUGAUGACUCCUUUGUUGUGUCCAAAAGAUCAUUGCUUUGUGUUGAUUGUUCGAUCAACAAGUUUCCUCCAUACCCUUGAGUUAGAAUUGGAUGUGGCACCGUGGGAACAUACCUAGGGAACUUCUCGAACCCAUCAGUUUGUAUCCUAGAUUUGUUAUACUCACAACCUGUAUUAUCGGUAAUAACUCUAACAGGCAUCCGGUUCCCUUGACCGUUCUUCCUCAUCACCAUGUUCUGUCUGCUCAUUAUCCACUUCUCAGCAUCAUUCCACUUGGAUGGCAUCUGUCUCGAAGGGUAUGCUCUUGAGACAUGAUUCUGAUUGGAACGCUCUCCACGAACACCACCGUGAAACUCGAAGCUUGAAGAGCUGGCGUUACUGUCGUAAUCAAGACUUUCAUCUUCUUGUGGCCUCAGAGCCAUACUCAAGUCAGUCUUUUUCAGUUGCUGAGGUUUCGGUUGAUUGGUUUCUCUCGUAAGACCUUCAGACCCAUGUCUCGAGGCUUGAGUGUCGCUUAGGUCCAAAACUGGCAGUUUAGCUACUCGUAUGUCCGUUGUUGAAGCCGCCACUAACAAGAACAGAGCAAAAGAGACAAACUUUAGCCAAGAGCAAAUCAAUGACAAACUCUAGCCAAGUUAAAUCGAUUUAAUUGUAACAUGGAGCAGAGAGAUAAAUCAAGAACAGAGCAAAAAGAGAAAGCUUAAGCCAAGAACAGAGCAAAGACAGAGACUUUGACCGAGAACAGAGCAAAUACAGAGACUUUAGCCAAGAACAGAGCAAACACAGAGACUUUAGCCAAGAACAGAGCAAAGACAGAGACUUCAGCCGAGAACAGAGCAAAGACGGAGACUUCAGCCGAGAACAGAGCAAAUAUAGAGACUUUAGCCAAGAACAGAGCAAAUACAGAGACUUUAGCCAAGAACAGAGCAAAUACAGAGACUUUAGUCAAGAACAGAGCAAAUAGACUUUAGCCAAGUGCAGAGCUAAGAGUAGACAGAGACUUUAGCCAAGAACAGAGCAAAAACAGAGAAGUUAGCGAUUCUAAGACAUAUUGAGAGACUAAAGACGAGAGACAAAACCAUUAUCAUCGUCGUAUGAAUCAGAAUUAGAAGCUAGCAAGCUGUUCUUGGAUAAUUCAGUGCCGUCCGAAACCUGAAGACGAACAGGAGAUGUUCUUGAAGAGUUAUUGUUAGAUCCUUCUCUCUUUUUGUUAUUGUGCGAACCCAUUAGCUUCAUUCUCAGCUUAGUCGGCGAGAGUAUGCUCUUCUGCAAGAUAUAAACCAAAACUUGUUUGCGUUUUUCAUGGCUUCAAUAGUUUAAAGGACGAACAAAUAAACCUUUUUCAGAGAAAGCAAAACUGUUUGAUUGAAGGGAGGAGAAAAAAGGAUGAAAAUUAACAGUAAACACAGAUUUAAUAAAGAAAAAGUUCAUAUCUUCCUCCCAAAAAUUCUUCAACAGAGGAAACUCACUGUAACGUAAUGGAUGUUGUACUUGAAAGAGAGAGAGAGAGAGAUGAGUUAAUUACCUGCUUCACCUUCUCAAUCCUCUCGUACUCCAUGGCCAAUGCCAAGUCUUCUCUAUCUGUUGAUGUAUAUAUAUUUCUACAGAUUAUAUAUAUGAAUGAGGUUGAAGUAAGACAAGACCAGACCAGCUUUGUCUCGCUAAUCCUCUCUCUCCUCUCGAGAAGAAGAUGAGAGACAAAUGGAUGUUUUGUAGCUGCUUUAGACCAUGAUUAUCGGCAAUCCUUAAUGGGUUUCUUAGUGCUUUAAUGACAUUUAAUUAAAUCAAAAUAAAGGAAAAGAUACAUUAUCGAUCCUUAAUGGGUGACUUUUGUGACCGAUUAUUAGAGAGUUUUUCAACCCACGUGUCACCAUUUUAGGCAAAAUAUAUUUUUUUGUUCUAUUUUCUUUUCACCAAAAUCAUUUUUUCUUCUUCUUCAUCUCUGUUUCCCCUUCGUGUUCUCCGUCACGACUGAGAAAGGAUCGAAACCGAUCCUUUACCACCAACGAUUCUCCACCACCGAUCCUCCGUCUUCGCUCUCGUCUUCUCCUCUUCUCCGUGACAGAGGAAGCAUGGAAACCCACAGAUAAGUGAUGUUUCAGUUUCUCUUCUUCGCAAGCAAAACCAAAGCAGUUCGGUUCUGUUUUUGCUCUUGACGUAAUCUACUGAUUUUGCAUUAAUACUGAAUCAAUCUCUCUCGUUUUAUCAUCUCGUUUCCAAGGUAAGAAGAAAAGAAAAGUUUUUUGUUAGUUUUGCAUUCUGACUUGGAUCAACGAUCUUUUAGCUUUUACUCUUUAUGUGUUUACUGGUUAGAUAUGUGUAUACUUUGUUUUAAUGAUCGUUUUCAAUUCAACAGGACGCCAAGGAACAUCUUUCUGUAUUGGCUUCGUCUCUACCAGACAUAAUGGUAACAAACUAACUCUUUUGUAGUCAUGUUCUUUAAGUUCAUCUCGAGAGGGAAGUGUGAGUCUUUUAAGUGAUGUUUUAGUCUUCUUGUGUUGAUAAUUUUAACAGGGUUGAGGUCGACAGUCAAUCCUCUCUAUGUUUAAUUUCAUGUUCAUGUAUGUUUCAAGUUUAUGUUAUAUUAUGUGAUCUGUUCUGUUAGCUGUUCUGUUUUAUUAAAAAGUUAUGUGAUCUUUCUGUUUUAUUAAAAAGUUGUUAGCUGUUUGUGUUUGCUGUUUCUGUUAGCUGCUCUGUUUAAUGUAUGUUUCAAGUUUACUAUGUGAGCUUUCUGUUUUAUUAAAAAGUUAUAUGUGAAAUGUUAAGUGAAAUUUAUAUUUGUUUCUGUGCAGUUACGAGACAAAGAAGUCACAAGACUUGGUCUCGGUUAUGCGAGCAAGAGAGGUCACGAGAUGGUGUCGUUACUCAAGAGAAGUCAUGAGAGUUGAUGUCGGAUUAGCUAGAGAGGUCACAGGAGUUGUUGUUGGAUUUGCAAGAGAGGUCAUGAGAUGGUGGUGUAUAUGCGUGCCUGAGAUGGUUUUGUCACGAUAUGGUUUUGUAUGUGUUGUACGUUUUGACAUGAGAUGGUUUUGUAUAAAGAAGACAAAGAGUGUUUGUGUUUUUUGUGUCACGAGAUGGUGUUUGUCAAACUCAUUGUAUCAAGUCAUCAAAACUCAUAUCUCUCUUGCUCUAUAUAAGUUAUCAAAACUCAUAUCAAGUCAUCAAAACUCAUAUCAAGUCAUCAAAAUUCAUAUCUCUCUUUUUCUAAUCUCCUUGAUCACCACAAACCCUUUCUACAAAACGCAAAACACAAACCGUACCCCUUCUACAAACCCUUUUUACAAAACACAAACCCUUUCUACAAAACACAAACCCUUUUUAAAACAGUCUCGAUUAAGAAUAUAAAAUCUAUGGCUUCUUCUUCUCGUAACACUUUUGAGGGAGUAGAUGAUGAAACUUUUGAUAAUUAUUUUGAUCAAUAUUUUGAAACAAUGGAGAAUUUGGCCAUUAAUUAUGGUGAUCAAGAAGUCGAAAGAAAUAAAAGAAAAAACCGAGUUCAUAUCGAAAGAAAGCGUGAAGAAGACGAGGGAAACAACUACUGAGCUCUGAUGUUUUUCCAAAUUAUUCUCGAUUAUUGUACUAGUCUUUAUUUUUAUGUUUUUUUCAAAAAAAAAAUCUAUGUUUUAAAUGUUAUUUUUUAAUAUGUUUGAAUUAAUAAAUAAAUUUUAUCUUUUAAAAAAAUUAAAAAAAAAUUUCUUAAGAACCCCUAAUUAAGAAACUUCCAUUGGACCGCUCCAAAUGGGAGUUUCUUAACUAUGAUUCUUAACUCCACUUAAGUACAAUUAAAAUAUUAAAUAAUUACUAAGAAACACACUUAAGGAUCAAGGGAUAAACAUGCUCUUAUCUUUAUUAGAGUUUUUGGGAAUUUUUAGAUAAUGAUUGAACAAAGAGGGAUUUUCUUUUUGUAUUUUUUGUCCGUUGUCAAGAAAGUGCAUAUGCAUUAAUUGAAUAGUAAUUCAAUGACUAGCGCCUAAAAUAUUUAAUAGACUACGUAGAUUACUAAUAUACUAAUUUUAUAAUGCACUAUACUAAACAGUAUAUUUAUAAAUAAUAAAAUAAAUAAAAAUAUUUUCAUGAAAUUUUAAAAAGUGAUAUAUUAGUUUUGAUUUAUAAAUAAUUAUUUAUUAUUUUAUUAUUAUACUUUUUAUUUCAAAAUAGUUGAUAUGCACAAAAAUUAAAAUAUAUUUUUUUUAUAUUGAAACAUUAUUAAAUGGUUUUCAUUAUUGAAACAUUAAAACUCUUCAAAACGUCAUUUAUUUUAUAAGGGAAGAAGUCAUUUUUAUAUGGUUUAGAAGAUUAUUACAAUGGUUUAAGGUGUUUUAGUUUUUUUUUUUUUGAUCAAUUGGUGUCUUAGUAUUUAGAAUCGUUUAAGUGGUUGUAUAGAACUCUUUUAAAAAUACUGAUUUUUAUAUAUAUCUGGAAUCGAUCUUGCUUUUUUUGUAUUUGCGUAAUGAAUAUUUUUUAUUUCCAUAUAGAACUAAUAAACUCAGAAAAACUUCAAUUUAUUUGUAUUGAGCAAUACUGAAAAAUAGAAUAAAAACAAAUAUAUGGUGGAGUCAUAAAGUAAAAAUGAUGUAUAGAGUUGGCAUUGUACAUAACAACAGUAUUUCAUCUGAGUAAAAAAAUCAUUGCAAUGAUUAUGAUUUUUGAGUGAAGUUCCUGUGGCAAUGAUUUUGCUUUUAGAGAUGUUAAAAGAAAAAUGUUUUGAUUUUUAGAUACAAAAUUAACAAAAUAUAAUAUACCUGAAAUACUACAUGCCAAAAAGAAAAUUUAAGAUACUAGUUUAAUUUGUUUACCUGAUAUCUGAAAAGUCUAUAAGUACAUUUGUGAAAAUCGAUUUUUUAUUUACGUCUUUCGAAUCUCGACACUCGCCAUAAUGAAUUUAAUUAGUUUGAUAAUUUUUCAUCCAAAAAAGGUUCAUAAAAAAACAAAAUAUAAUGAAAGGUAAAUGACAUUCUUUUUGUUAACUGGUAAACAGUAUAUAGACUACAUCUCAUGUAUUUUAUCGACCUAGUAAUUAUGAUAGUGGCAAAAAAAUAGAGAAACUUUAUUUUGUUUUGUUUAAAGAAGAAACCGAAGAAGUGAAGGUGUGUAGAUUAGCAAUGCAAAUGUAAAUCAGUACUGAAACGUAAGCAAUCGAACUGACACUUUCUCCACUUUAGGGCAUUACGUUUCUCUGUCACUUUGACCGUUGACUAGCUCUCUUCUUCUUCGUUCUCUUAAAUUUGUAUUUAAUAGUAUUACUGUACAUAUUUUCAUCAUGGAAAAUCUUCAUUUAUGGAUAAAAGUUCCAAUUAUACAUGUAACCAGAAUCAAAAUUUUCCGUUGACUACGUCUCUCAUACUACAUUUAACUUAGAUUCAAAAUUCAAUUGUAUCUAAAAGUUUUACCACGAAAACAAAAUUAUAUAACAUGUUUUAGCAACGUAAAUUCGAGGAGGAUCUGUACCCUACAGAGCAUGCCAAUGCCACAACUCAUUAUAUAUUAAUUUCGUUUUGGCAUGGCAGGUCCGGAGCAUAUGCAAAGAAAUUGACCGUUUAGGGCACGCCAAUUUCAAAUGAAAAUUUUAGUUGUAUAUAAAGUACAAAAUAACAAGGUCACAAAAUUUAAAUUGAGUAUAAAGCAUUAAAAAAUUUUGAAAAUGUUGGACCGGCCCUGCGUUUCACGUGAACAAUCUAUUAAAGGCUUGACCUAUGUGGAAUGGAGUAUAAACAAUCUGUGAACUUUAAUUAGAACUUUAGGUACAUUAUAGUUUUUAUCGGCUUAUAAAAUUCAUAACAUGCGAAUGAUAUAAACAAUUGGCGAGGGUGCACGUAUUGUGAGGCUCAAGCUCAGCUAGAUUCCCAUAGACUAACCUUGUUUUCCUCAAAAGAUAUCUUUUUUAAUUAGUAUUUUCUCAAUGACAUGCUUUUACACAGAAAAUAUAUUAGUGUACAUUUUUCUCACAGCGGAAAGCAAAACAUAUGAGUUUGUAAGAUAAACAAAAUUAACUUAUGUUUUCUUGUUUUGUUUAACGUGUGAUAUUACAUGCCUAUGGGAUGAUCCAUACUAAUACUCAAAUGGAAGUAAAGUCCACGAACAAACCAUCUCUUCGGAUAUAUAAAUAAACUUUAAUCAAUAGAUUUAUAUCUACGUAACCACACGAUGAAGUGUAGUAGAAUAUCUUCAAACUCAGUUAAUAAAAGUUUUUUUUUUUUUUUGAACAUUUUCUUCAGUUAAUAAAAGUUCGUCUACCACUAAACCACAAUGGUGUGAUUAAGAUUAAUUUAAGUUUUUUUUUAGGUCUAUAAUAUUAGUAAGUACGAGACUAAGAUGUAACACAUUUAAUCAUUUACUCAUGUGACUGUGCUAUAGAUUUAGUGUCAUUACAAAUGCAAAAGAACAUUACACUAAUUUAUAAUAUAAUCGUAACUUUAUAAUAUGUUUUUGUGAUAGUUAUUUGGUUCUUGGUUUUAAUAAUAUGUUUCAGCGUUGGGUCUUUUUUUGUCCUCAGUUUUAGUUGGUUUAGGAGUCGGACCAUCCCGGUCUAGAUAGGACCGAUUUUGUGGUUUAGUUUAUUUCUUUUUAUAUAAUUUUUUCAGUGGUCUCUUAUAAAAAAAAAUAGAAAUUUAAAUAUGAAAACUUUUAAAGGAAAAUAAAUAUAUAUAUAUAUGGUUCUUGGCUCUAGUUGAUGACAAACUUGAGCCAUAUGGUUGAUUUUUGUCGUUUGUCUAUGUAUGAAUUUCAGAGAAAAUGAUACUGGUUGGACUGUGGAGAUUUUUUUGCCUAAUUUACACGCAUCCAACAUUCUUUUCUACAUUCAUAAAUAGAAGAUUAUUUUCUUCUCACAAACAGUGACAUGAACAUUUAGAUAUAUUGUUCCAUACAUAUCAUCAACGUUGAUGUGAUCGUGAUGUACAUACUAGUCGCUAAUUUAUUUGAUUUUCUGAAUUGAAUAAAUAACGAAAAGCUUGUAGCCAUUUUUUUGGUCAACAGCGAAAAUAUUUGUACUCACUAAAAGAAAGUUCAAACAAACAUAUAUAAACGUAAAUGUCGAUACUUUCAUAAUGGCCUUGUUGAACUUGUGCGCCAAUGUGGUCGGUGUACGAGAUAAGCCGUCAAAGAAGCCACUAGUUAAAUUUCCUCGCACACUUUAUGACAUUUUUUCCAUUUCACAUUGCUAAUAUUAUUUAAUCAAAUAAUUUAGAACGUUUAUCUAAUUUGCAAAGGUUCAAACCCAUGAGUUUGACUACCAGAGUUGAAAACAGAUGUGGAGACACAAACCAUUCCCCACCAGUGGGUCCAUGAAGUUACUACCCAAAAAGAUAUUGCUUAAUUAGGUAGUUGGUGGAACCUAGAUUAGCUUUCUGUUGUGAGGAUUAGAUGUAGGCCAAAGCUUGUAAGCACGAAGGAAACUCAUUGAAGGUUGUGUGAUAUAUCAUUUUGUUUGCUUUCUAAAGUCAAAAAUGAAAAGAUUAUGAAGACUAAAUGAUUUUGGUCUCCAUACCUAUAGAUCAGACACUUUUCUGUGUUUCUAUGAAGUGGAAUCGUCGUACUACCUUGAGUUUCUCUUAUAAUUUAAUGUAGUAAUCAGGAAUUUCAUAUCUUUAUAAAGAGUCCAAUAUGGAGUGUGGAGAAAGGGUUUGAAUCUUAAGAAGCUGAUACAUGUUUUCCAUAUUCAAACUAGUUUGACAUGUCUUAACGGUCCCGUGAUCUCGUACGCUUAAUAUGACUUUGUCCCUGAGAGUGACCUGUGAAAUAUUCGUGCCUUAUUCCUUGAUCUUCGGACAUGAACUUUCAAUCAUUUUUUUUUUUUGGUAACACUUUCAAUCAUGUUUCAUACAGUCAAAUAAAUAACCAGUUUUGGACUUCCACAGAAGUUAAGUAGCUGUGCUAAUCUUUUCUGCAGUUUUCUAUUUAGAGAUAUGAUUGAUGAAUCAAAACAUUUCAAGCAUAAAGUAAUUUUAAGAUGAACUGUUUUCUUUUUUGACCAAAAAAAAAAAAAAAAAAAAAAAAGAUGAACUGUUUUCUUUCUUUAGUUAUUAUUUUAACAGGUAUAUCUGAAACAAAAUCAUCAAAAGAUAAUAAUCAAGGUUUGAAUCCUAAACUAUAACUUAACGAAUACACAAAAAAAAAUCCCAACUUAAGAUAACAAAACAAAAAUCGUUUAGUGAUAAUCUUGAUAUGAAGCUUUCUCUGUAUCGUAAGACAAGAAGACCCACACAAGCAUCCUCAUCUUCUAACUUAGAUGGUCAGCCUUGAGAGAUUUAAUGAACACAGAGGUGAAUCAAAUGCAAAAAAAAACUUAAUUCUCUAAAUGAGAAGGCCGAGUAAUGUUUUUUUACCUCUUCAUAGAUCAAUAGGGACUCUCAAGCCAUCAUGCGCAAGUUUUACUGAAAUCCCUUCCCUAACAAAACCAAAAAAAAAUUGCAACAAAUACAAUAAGAUAAAUCCUCUCUUCUGUGUAUGGUUUCUUCAGAUAGAUGAUGGUGUAAUUGAGAGUUCUCUACCUUUUAGACCAUUCCUCAAGAAACUCGUUGUCUUUGUGGUGAUCAAACUCGUGAGUCAUUCCGAUUAAAAGAGCCCUUUUCGGACCCAGUCUUUUGAUUGUCUCUAGUGUCUACAUAAAACAAAAGUAAGCAUACAUAGACAUAUGAAAAGAAAAAGAAAAAAAAACACCUUCAAAUUAAGCUAACCUGCGGGAAACACAAAUGGGUGUUGUGGGAUCCUGUCUGCAGGCAAAAUAAAAGAAAGAUGGAGAAAGAGUGUGGAAACAUCAGCAUACAGUAUUCAUAAAAUGUUUGAUCAUUAAGCCUAAGGAUGAUCUGUGUCACCUUAUAUAGUGUAUCCAAGAUAAGGAGAUCCAACUGUCCGCCCCCAGAUUUCGAUAUAACUGUAUAAUCCAAAACCAACAGAGUCUGAGAUAUCUUGUUUCAGAAUAUCAAAACACACACGCGCUAAGCAAUUUGUUACACCUACCAUACUCAGUGCUUGGAAGAAAGCGUGAGACAUCAGAUAUAUACGCCACUCUGGAUUUUUCUCCAAAAAGGAAACCAAGACAAACAUAGUCUUCUCCAUGCAUCACCUACAACAUAAAUAAGAUUUUUGAGUCUCUUCUCCACACAGAUUAGCAAGAAGACAUGAUUCACUACUUCUACAGAAGCUUUGAAAAAACUUACUGGAAGUGGCGUGAAUGAUAAUCCUGAAGCAACAAAAGGCUUCUCACAAUCUUCCUCUAUCACUCUCCAAUCCAGCUGUGCCACUCGCCUAACUUCUUGUCCUUCUUUAAGUUUCUUCUGAACCAAAUACGGGAACUUCACAGCAAGGCUGUUUUCACAAAAGAAGCAUGCGAUAGUUGAAACUAGAGCUUCAAAGUCUCGACAAGAUCAUAAAGAUACUGUUUUUACUACCUGUCCAUAGCAUAUUGGCUAACAAAAAUAGGAGUAGGAUCUAUAUCAUUGGUGGGACUAAACGGCUGCACGGAACGUAUAUCAUCCAGGCCAAGUACCGCAUCAGCAUGCUCAUGUGUCAAAAUGAUCUGCAGUACAUAGCAAACAUUACUUUUACGAAAACCUCAAAAGUUACGAUCAAAGACUUAGACUUUGGUUAAAGAUUAACUUACAGAAUCAACUUGAGGAAUGUUGUGAAGAGUGAACCAACGAAGGACUUGUUCCCUGAACGUCUUGCCAACGUCGAUUUGAAUGUAGUUAUGAUUGCCAUCACUUGAGCAAUAAUCAAUGAGCAGUGAAGUGUUUCCCCUGCCAACAAAGAAGAACGAGAUCUCUAGAAGUCAGAAGAGUAUCUCAAAGUCUCUAAAGGAAACAGCUAGGCAAUAGCUGCUAUAACGAUGGAUCGAAGCGCCCACACACAAUCUUAAAGCCUUCAUCAUAUGAUUCAACUCGUUCAUGGAACAAAGUAUAAUACAAUAGAGCUUACGACUAACUGAAUGUGCUACACAGAUCAAAGGAACAUCGGAGCUCGGAUUAAAGAUGACAAAUCCGAAUCUCGAAUCUAACGAAGAUCGCAUUGUAAAUCAACGGAGUGUAUGUACCUGUAGUUAGGGUUUCUCUCGGGAGGGAUCGAAAGAGACUGAGAGCAGACGUGGCAGGGAGAAUCGGACUUCUGGAUCAAGCACAUUGCGUUAGGGACCGCGCUCGAGCAUCCCGUUCCCAGGAAUAUCAGAGCCGAUCCAUCGCCAUCGGAGCCGUUCUCUGCCGGAAUCGAACCGUCUUCCAUCAUCGGAGAUAUACGAGUGUCGCCGUACGUAUAAAUCUGGAAUAUUCCGGCCAAGGAGGAACCUCGAGUAAGUAAAAACUGUUUAACAGAACGAAGCGAGGAGGAAAAAAAAAAUACAUAUAAUAGCUUUUUAUAAUUAAAUAAGUAAAUAGACAAACAAACUGAUUAUUUUAAAAAAAACACAAAUUAGUUGAAAAGGUGAAAAAAAGAGAGAGCUCAGGAUGCGGCAAUAUCAUCUCAAUAUAGAUGUGUGCGAAGGACCCAACCAACGCUAAGCGUCUAAGCGAAUGUCUUCAUAGCUCUCUGAAUGCACCAGCCGGGAAUCGAACCCGGGUCUGUACCGUGGCAGGGUACUAUUCUACCACUAGACCACUGGUGCUUCGUUGAACAUACUUAUUUAACAUAUAUUACGUUCAAACAAGUUAAAGACUCGAGUAGUGAUAAGUAUUAUUAUAACAAACGGAAACACAAAGAUUGGACAAAAUCAAGUUUCUUCUUGACUUGUAUCUUACUUUAUAGCAAGACUUGAAACUUCACAGCUCAUACAAUGCUCAGCAUGCCUCACUGUGUAUUGACCACUUUUGAUUAUUCUUAAUAAUUUCAUUAUGGAAUUUGGUGUUUUGUUGUUUGCUGCCUUCACGAUUAGAUUGCAGUAAAAGGUGCAAUUAGGUACGAAUUAUUGGUGCAAUUGAGAAAGGCGUGACUGUAACACCAAAAGUUUAGGAUACUCACUUUCUCUGAAGGUAUAUGCAAGUUAUAAUAUCAAUUAUGAGAAGAAAAAGUAAUUCUGCUGGGACAUACAGGAUUCAAUGGCUAGAAAUAGAAUCUAUGAGGCUUAUCCUUGAUGGGGUAUUGUAUCUUAGUCGUCGCUAUAUCAUUAAAGGUAUCCAUUAUUUUUCGGUGUUCAGGUAUAGUGAAGCUGAUAGCUCGCUUGUUGUUGCAUUGGAGCUCUCUGUUAUUGUUACUUUCACGAAUCUCUUGUGAAAUAUGAGUUUUGGUGAUGUGAUUUGCUGUUUUGAUGGUAAUGCUUAAAUGGUAUGUCCCGGUUUAUGACAACGAUUAUAACUGUUGUUGUCUUUAUAUGGAAGACUUUUCUACUGGAGUCUACGUUGUGUUUAUGAUACUGGACUUAGCAGUAAACCAUGCUGGAGCUUUAGCUGGUAAGAGGUUACUUGUGGAUGCCGACAAUGCGAGAACUGUUCAAUCUCUUUUGUUACUGUGCAAUGUACGGUUAUAAGUACUAAAAGAUGCUAAGUUCUUUGGCUUCUUAUGUAAGUUCUUUUGCAAACGGGUUAAGUAAAAAUGAUUAACCUCUAUGGCUAAGCAAUAGAAUCCUUCUGUUGGUUUUUUUUAAUUAGAAUCUUCCUUUUUCACAAUGCAAAUGUGUGUUUUGCAUGAUUCAGGAUAUUCUGGGUUGGUUUCAAUGGUUAUAGCCAUUCAUUCUUUGUGCUUGAAACAUAAUUUGUCUUGGCAGGUUUUUUGUUUGGUACAAUUCAUAGAUAUAUUCAUUUUUAUAAGCAUGAACUUGUUGGUACAGUGUUUGAGGCUUCAAGCAAAAAGUUUUUGAUGGAAUAUAAUGUUUAUGCAACUGUGAAGACGUGACAGUAACACCAAAAGUUUCUUUUACAUUUAAGAUGUGCUUACUUUCCGUGAAUGUAUGCAAAUUAUAAUAUCACUUAUGAAAAGAAAAAGGAAAUCUUUUGGGACAAAGAGUGAAAGAGGAUUCAGUGGCUAGAAUAGAUAGAUUAUAUGAGAAUGUGAGGCUUAAACUUGAUGGGGUGCAUAUCUUACACAUUGCAACAUCAUUAAAGGUAUUUCCAUUACCUGGGUAUAGUGAAGUUGAUAGCUUUCUUGUUUUGUUUUUUUUUUGCUAAAUUGAUAGCUUUCUUAUUGCAAUAGCUCUCCGUUUAUUGCAUAUUUGUAAUCUUGUUUAUUAUGGUUUUCUGUACUGGCGCGUAAUUAAUUUAUUGUGAUAUUGAAUGUACUGUACUUAUCUCGUGAUAAUGCAUGCAUCUUUGGCAGAUUCUGAUAAUAAGCCAAAGCUGGAAACUGUUCCUGGAAAAGUAAAAGUAAAGAAGACACCUUCCUCAGCUACUGCUUUUGAUGUAGGACUUUACACUAUUCUGCAAACAAAAGAUCAUGUCUGCUCUUCUUGUCCAGUUUGACGGUUUUCAACUGUUGCCUUCUGUUGGAACUUAGUAACUUACUGAGCUAUUCCCAAUUCGGCAUGUUGCUGUUUGUUUUUCCAUGUUAAGGUUGAGAGAACCCUUAUGAAAGAUCGUUUCUUGCUUUGCCAUCCUCUGUUACCAUAUAAACCCAUACACAAUAAUGCUUAAAGGAAAGUGUUGCUUUCAAGAAAUUUCUUGUGAAAUAGUCUUUUUGGAAAAUAUGUUUGGUGAUGUGAUUUGUUGUUUUGUUUGUAACGCUUAAAUGGUAUGGUCCCUACUCCCUAGUUUUAAUUUGUUGUUGUCUUUUAGUGGAAUUUUCUACCUUGGAUUUAUGAUAUUUACAUCAACACUUACCAGUAAAUGCUACUGGAGCUUUAGGGGUUACUUGUGGAUGCCAAUAGAGCGAGAACUGUUCAAUAUCUUAACAUUACUGUACAGUGUUUUCUGUGGUCAGUUGGCUGAUACAAUUACACUUUACAGCAAAAAUAGUUUGUAGAAACUCGAAGGCUCUUUAUGGCCAUCAUCUAGUAAGUUCUUUGGCAUCUUAUGUAUCGAGAACAUACCCUCAAAAGAGUUGGCAGAGGGUUACAAAGGAUUAACCUUUAUGGCUAAACAAUAGAAUCCUGCAGUUAAAAUUUUGUUCGAUCGUUUUUAAAUGCCAUGUGUGUUUAUCAUAUGUGAUCUAGGUUAAAAUUUAACUGUACAUUGUUUUGUCUGCGUAUGGUUACAAUCGCUUACCUCGUCGGCUUAUUACUUUGUCCUGGGAUGUAUCAAAAGAAAUUCCAUUGGUCAUGGCCAUCCAUUCUUUGUGCUUGACCUAGACUGUGUGUCUUUGAUGAUUUUGUGCUUGGUAUUAUUCAAAGGAACUUAAUGCUUUUAGUUUGCUGAAUCAUCUCCCAUGUUCUGUUACUAUUGUGUUUGUCUUCCAGUUUUCAGUAAGAUCAUUGCCUCUGCACUGUCACAUUCUUGUGGAAAUUUAUCAAAUCUAUUCAUUUCAAAUAUAUACUGCAUGGCUCUACUAGUAAUAUGUAUUUCAUGUCUUCCAGGUAACUUUACAUGUAUAUGAUGAGUCUCAUUAGUAUGCAUUGAACUCAUUUUUAUAAGUUAUCACCAUUUAAGAAUUUUUUUUAAGGGAAAUGGUAGACCACUCAGAUUUUCAACCUUUAUUAAAGGUGAUUUGAUAUUUAAACUGAUAUUUGAUAAUUUAGAGGUAACACUUUGAAACAUAGCAUCACAGCUCACACACAUGCUUGAAACAGCUAAAGAUUAAUUGAUUUUUUUAGAUCAUUGGACAUUCUUUAGUUUAUCUCUUUCAUUUUGUUUUUAAUUGAUAUAAAAUGAUCUAAGCUCGAAUCUUAAGGGAGCAAAUCUUAUAGCAAUGAAUAUUUUUUGUAACAUAUUUUAUUAUAUUGUAUUGAAAUAUUGUUAAAAUAACUAAAGUUGUCCCCUUUCAAGACCACCUGAUCUGCAAAUUUACCUGUAAUGUUCCUAUACCAUGGUCUGAAUCUGAUACGUGUUCUAAACUAAAUCAAGGCUUGUUCUAAUUUCUUUUUGUUCUUUACCUAAUUAUUAUUUCCAAAAAUAUAUAAUAAUCACCACAUAAUAUUUACCUAGUUAUUAUUUCCCAAAAUGCAAAAAAAAAAAAAAAUUGCUUACAAAUAAAGUAAAAUAAGAAGUGGGUACCACUUAUAUAAAAUCUAACAAUACUAAAAGUAGAAUAAGUUCAAAGGAGAGGCUGUCCACGUCUGCAAAAAAAUCAACCAAUCAUAACAGGUUAAUUUGCCAUGUCAUACGUUUCAGUCCAAAAACGGGUUUUUAAUUUGGGCUGUGUUUGCAUUUAUUAAAUAGCCCAAUACAAGCCCAUCUCACCUUAGAUGUCUGAAGCGUAAAGUUUUGUUCUACCUCGACCAUUUCUCUUUGCUUUCACGAUCAAAUUCUCAGCACUCGCCGUUACCAAAACCAACUCUUCAUCAAAAUAUUAUGCUGUUUAAUUCUUCUUUAAUGGUUUCGUUCCACCUCCCCCUCUUUCUCCUUCUAUACAAAGCACUCUAUAUCAUCUUCAUUCCAACCCUAAUCGAAACUCUGUAGAAACAACUAUCCACCGCCUUGAAAUCACUAGAAAGUCUGCCUUCUCCACCGGAAAAACUCAUAUAGCUGUUUCUCUCUCCAAUUGAAAAUGACAGGCUCAGAGAGUGACGAUUAGGACCAUCUCCGAGAAGGAGGAGUGAAGAAUCUAUUCCUCCGUGAGGGCAGACAGUACGAGAAGCAAUGUUAAAGGCGACAAAAAAAAAGAUUUUGAUCCAACUUCUUUUGGUAUGUCGUUUACUGUUUCAUUUGAUCAAAUUUCAAUUAAGUUUCAAGUUUUGUGUUAGAUGUGUGAUUUCGGGUUUUCAAACUAUCUCCAAAUAAGAUGAAAUCAACCCUUCUACACAAAAGUUAAGCGGCUACACUAUGGUUUAUAAAGUUUUCUGAUUUUGGCAUUGGCCUUUUUAAUUAUGUCGUCAGUUUACAAGUUGUCUACUAUUUUUUAUCUCUCAGUUUUCAAGAUAGUUUAUUUAGAUGGAUAUGGACCUCCAUCUAGACGUUUCCAACCAAACACGCGAGGAAAGGUGAGUGACGAAGAGCUUACUUACUUAGAGAAACAUUUAUCAAGCUUUACAAUUUCAUUUCAUCCUUGAUAAGUUGCAUACCUAUUUUUCAGCUAUAUUCCUCACCACUUUGUGUUUCUUCUCUAUAGCUAAGCUUCAGGAGAGUUGUGCAUAAGCAUCUUGAAGAAUUCAUGAGAGAGUGAGGUAAGUUGCUUAGACGAGUUCGUUUCACAAAAAUCAAACAGUUCGGGAGUAGGUUUACAGAUUGAGAAGAGAUAAGAUCAUGAAAUGGUUCUCAUGAUUUGUACAAGUUGCAAUAUUUGUGUUCAAAUUUUCUGCCUUUUUCUUUCACCUAUCUUUGUUCUCUUUACUUUGGUAUUAACUCAGCUAUGAUUUCUUCUGCAUUUGGCUUGAGGUUUUCUUCCUCCAGCUCCUAACAUUCUUUUCCUUUUUUCUUAAUCUGUAAAGGGAGGAACAAUGGACGCUUAAGGUGUUUCACACCCGUCCCAAACCACUUGACUUCACAACGCACAGUCCCAUUUUUUUGUACGAUCAGUACAAUCUGACUACUGGAUGCUUAAGGUGUUUCAGAGGCUGCCGGUAUAUACUUUCACAUAAUACUUUUGUAUUUUUUUUCUGAGCUAUAAACCACACAUGUCUCUAGAGAGUUACUUAGUCUUUAGAAAUGCUAAAGUCUCGAAGGCAAACAGCUUACAAAGGGACCUAUUCUUUUUUUUUUCCUUUCUUUCAGAGGAGACCUUAAGUGAAUAAGAUGACAUCUAUCAAAGAUAUCAAAUUUCUUGACAUUAAAACGUAAGAAAUGUCUCUGUUCUGACUAUACAACAAACAUGGAAUCAUUCUUUCGCAUUGGUUCAGAAUUUGAUUGUUAUAGUAUUACUUAUAUGUUUUAUUUUUUCACUCUUUCUUUACCAGGAGCAUUUAGAUCAGAUAAGAUCCAAUGUUACAUAUGGAAGCUUAGAAAUGUUUCCAUGAGCAGAUCGAGGUAAUGAUUUCACCUACAUAGCUGCUAAAAUUAAAAUUUGUCUGCUUUCUAACCAAAGAGAGUAUUAGUCCUAUAAUUUGAUGUUGUUUAAUUUAUAUGACCCAGAUACAAUGGUCCUUGCAAUUACUGUUUGAAAAACAGGGCAGUGCCUACAGAUGAUGUUUGAGAAACAACUAAAGUUACAAGAGACCAGGACCCCUUCCUCAAUCUCAUCACCAAAGCAAUGCAAUGGCACAUUUGCCGCAUCCAAAUUUGGUUUCAAAACACAAACUGUGAACCAAACUGAAUCUGCUUUGGUAUCAAAGAAAGCAAGUCCAUUCAACUUUUUUUUUUUUCAAUUCGAGUACAAUUAAUGAAAUAUUUUAUCUUGGAAAAAUAAAGAUACAUAUAUAUAUAUAUAUAAGAGAAUACAACAAAAGAGCCAAUGCAUUAGAUGUGUGUAUACUUAUAAGUGAUAUAGAUCUCAAAAGUUAAGAAUGUGUUGUACAACAAAAGCUGAAGCUGUUGCUCUGCACGUCCUACUGGGCGGAGAUUCUGAUGAUUCAUCUCGAGUCAUGCUUGGUGAAGAAAAGGGUUUCAAUAUUGAUCUGUUUAGAGGUCAAUGAAUAAACUCCGCCAAAGUUGCGCUAGCUAUGCGGUUCAAGGAUUUUGGACUGUGUUCAACGGUUAUGGACUAAGAGAUAGUAAAUGGUCGCCAUUCAUGAAGGAAUCUUGGGAUAAGAACUUGGGAAUAUCAGCUGAUCUGAUUGUUGCUCAGGCUGUCCAUCACUACAUAUUUCUGAAAAUACUGACAGAAAUGCCUCUCUGCUCAAUAGAAGUUCUCUGGAUGACAAAAAUGUUGCUUAUUCCUGUGUGAGAUUGCUGUUUUUUUUUCUCUAAUGCUACAUGUUCAUAUUUGUAUAGCAGCUAUUUUCUUAAUGUAACAUUGAACGAAUGAUGCUGAGACUUGCUUGGUUACUUGCCAUUAACAUGUUGAAGAUAUCCCUUAACAAAAUCACAAAAGAGAGAGAGAUAUGGGUUCCAAUGGUGGGAUACAAAGUAAUGGAUGCAUAUGAAUAGCUUUUGGACCGGGUGGAUAUACAAUCAACCAAAUGAAUGCAUUAUGGUGGAUUACGGUUGCUACUGAGUACUGACACUAGAAUCUUACAGCAACUACUCAUGACAUGAAAAGUAUAAAACAAAGCAAACACAAACACAUCAACCCAAAAUAUAGGAGUAUAAAAGAAAAAACAUGACUUCAAAUAUAACACAUGCAUAUAUUGUAUCCUCUUUGCAGGAUCAAUGUCCACGAAAGAGAUGUGGUAGCAAAGAAAAGAAACAAGAGAGAUAUUGUUGAGUUUGAAAACAACGAAAUUAUGCAUGAGUGUACAAGAAAUUUGAUCUUUAUCAUACGGAUUUCGGAGAAACUUAAAACAACGAAUUUACCUUUCAAUUCUGAAGAGACUUAACGGUUUUAUAACCAAAAAAUAAUACAUACAUCCAAGAGCUUCUAACAACAUCAGUUAUCAUGCCAUCAUUUUUAGCGGCAUCAAGUCAUAUAGAUUCUAAGUAAGAACUUGAUUGUUAGUAAAAAAAUUCAAUAACUAAAUUAAAAACAAAGGUUGAUCAUUUGUUCAACAAUUUUUUUCAUGAGAAUCCAUAAUAUAUAAGAUAAAAUAAUAUUUGGAUUUAUAUGUCCACAAUAUAUAUGCAUAUAUAUAUAUAUAUAUUAGAUACAAAUAUAUUUGUCCAGAACCCGGGCGUAGCCCGGAAAAAAACCUAGUGAUGAUUUAAUGAUCUGUCCAUUCGAGGACAUCAGAUGAUUAAAAAGAAAUUAACUAUCGUUUUUAUAAUUAACUGGUAUUAAUGAUAUAAGCAUGUGUUGGAAAGUAAGAAGAGUGUGGCUUUUUGGUAGGAAAGAAAGUUUAUUGACAUCAAAUUAUAGCGUGCAUUGUCCCCUCCAAAUGGUAUAUACGUAUAUGUCAUUCGUGCACCCACUUCUCUUCAAUAUCAUAAUAAUCAUAUUUUUAAUAAAUACUCUUUUCUCUAACAUAUUUGGAAUGUCUAUAGGAAUAGAGGAUUAUCAAUUUAAAAUGCUUACAUUUAAAAGUUUUCGGUGUAAUUACUAUCUCACUUAUUUAAAAUAAAUAUGUCUAGAAUGAUAAUUUCUAGACCCAAAGACUUUGGGAUCAAUUCACACCAAGGUUAUAAAAAAAUUGAUAAUUUCAAAUGCUUCCAUAUAAAAGCUCUCGGUUUAAUUACCUUCACUUGUUUACAUAAAUAUGAUGAUUACCUAAAUUAUAAGCAUGAUAUUUUAUUGGAAAACUUUUAUUGUUUCUAAAACAACAUAUAACUAUAUACAUUUUUCAGUUGUACAUCUAUAUGAACAUAAUUUUUUUUGUCAAAUAUUAAAAACAUAAUAAAAUUGAAUUAUAUAUUAUUUUUGGAUAUAAUUAUAUUUCUUUAUUAAAAGUUAACAAUUAUUUAAUAAUCAUAAUUAAUAGCUCACUAUUUAUUUUUAUUAACUAAUAAAAGCAUAUAUAUAUAUAUAUAAGGAAUUGCUUGAUAUGAUCAGUAUUAAGAAUAUAUGCUCUUCGAAAACAUAGAAAACAUAAAAUAUAUUUUUAAAUAAAUAAAACAUCUAUAUUUUGAAUGAAUGGAAUAUAUUUAUAUUUAUUAAUCUAUAAACAUUCAACGCAAAUUAUCGAGAAACAUCUCGAUCUACGUGAAUAAUUUGGCAAUGAACAGACGAAACACAUUAUACUGGAAUCAGUAGGUAGGGUGACCGUGACGUAGGGUCCAAGUUAAUAUUUUAUUAUGUAAAUUAUUGAAAUAACAGUUUAAGCUUAACAAAUGAAAUUUGUUUUUGGUUUUACACUCCACUAGGACCACUAUCACCCAAAAAAUAACUGAAAAUUUUAAAUUAUGAAAUUAUACAGCUAAACAAAAGGGAAACCAUUAAAUCAUGUCUUUCGGGGUAGGGACUCCAACUCUCCAAGUGGCAAUGGCUUAUACUCCAUUCCAUUAAUUAAUGACCACAAAAAAUCAGAAUCAAAAUUUUAUUUUACAUACAUGAUUUACAUAUUUGCUUCUAUUCAUAAUAUGUUAACAUAAUAUUACUUGUACAACAGUAUAAGUACAAAACAUUUAUCUAUAUUAUUAUUUGUGAAAUGGUUUUUCGCAUCCGAGCUCUUGUUUUAAAAGUUAAAGUCGUUGCUACCCUUAACAAAAUUAUUAUACUUAUUUAUUAUUUUGUUGAUCAUAAUUAUAGUAAAAAAAUUGAAAAAAAAAUACAUGAGACAAUAAUGUUUUGUUUGAUAUAACUAAGGGUGUUUGAUAUUAUCCAACAAUAAUCAUCACCUACUUUUAUUUUAUAAACAAAAAUAAAGAACAAAAAGAUAAGUUCAUAUAUAUAUUUAUCAACUUAACAAAAAUAGUAUUAUUAUCUCAAUUUCCUAUUUUCAAUUUUUUCUAAAUUAUCAUCUACCUUUAUUUAUUUAUUUUGAAUUUUUGAAAUUUUUGUUUGUAGUUUUAUAUAUAUUGAUGGUUUAAGUAAUUCACAGAGAUAAUAACAGUUAAAAAGAUGAAGGUUAACUUUUUACUUUACUUAUUGCAUGUUUGAUAUGUGACUCACAGUUUUACAUAUUUUAAUAAUUUUUGAAAAGACAAAAAUGUAACAGGAAAAGUAAGAAAAUGUUAUAAAAAGAAAAAUGAUUAAAAACAUAAAAUAAAUAAUUAUGAUAACAAUCUUUGUUUAAAUAUAUAUAUAUAUAUAUAAGUAUCUGUAAAAUUAUUAUGUCUGCAUGCGCCGACGAAACAAUUAAUAUAUAUAUGUUAGUAAUUUUAAACAAAUAAUAUCUCAAAUUGUUACUAAGAAAGAAAGGAUAAGAGGAAUAAUAAUUUAAUAAGACCUUUUGAAAUAUAACCAAACUAAAACGUUUUAUUUGCUUUACCUAUUUACAUAUAUAUAUAUAUAUAUAUAUAUAUAUAUAUAUAUAUAUAUAUAUAUAUAUAUAUAUGAAGUGUCUUGAGUAUAUCCUUUAAAAAUAUUAAAAAAACAUUAUUUUAACACACAAUCGGCUUUUUUCUUGAUAAAAUUAUCCAGUAAUCUAAAUGUAAGUUUUUAAUAAAAAUAAAAGUAGUUUUUUUUGUGGGCACGAGCAUGGGCGGAUCCAAAAAUAUUUUUAAUCGGGGACACUGUAUUUGAAACAACAACAAUAAAAUUUGGUGGGGGCAUUUUUUAUAGUUUUUUUGGAGUGAAUUGGCUCAAAACUCAAAAAGAAUGAUGAAAUUAGCAAAAUAUCAAUGAUAAGAUAUAUUUUGUAUCUAUCAACGAAGGCACUAUGGUGUGAAAUUUAGAGUAUUGAUUUAAUUAGCGGAAAAGUUGUGUAUAUAGGAUACAAUUUCACUUUUUUCACUGAACUUAUAAUAUCUGAUAAUUUAACUUAAACUACUAAAGAAAAGAGUAAAAAUCAGUAGGGUGCAUGUGAUCCGGUAUCGAUGUACACGUCUUUUUCUGGGCACGAAAAAUCUGUUAGAUUAAAAAUCUCCAAUAUAGUAUUUAUUUUUUCUUUUAAAAUAAAAUAAUUUUAUAAUAGAGAUAAGUUUUAUUUCAACUUUAUUCUAAGUGUUUUAAAAAAAUAUUCUAAAUGAAAAAUAGAGUUAACCAUACCAAAAAAACAAUCUUAUGUUUGAAUGAAUUAAAUUCUUGAAAGACAAAGAGAAAACAUUAUAUCUAUCAUACGUUUAUAGAAUGAAAUUUUACUAAUAUUUUAACCUGUGGAUUUUCGAGUUCGUAGAUUAACUUGUAAAAAAAAAACACAUAGAGGGUUUUUUUUUUUGCAGAAAACCCAUGAAUCAAGUAUGUGUAUAUACAAUUUUAUCCUACAUUUAAUAUGUCAGACUACAUUAAGGGUGUGACUGGUGAACAAUAGAAUGAAGAGGAACACUAUGUUCCUUAGACCAUCUCCAAUGGCUUAUUCUAUUUUAAAGUAAAAAAUAGAGUAACUCUAUAAUAGAGUUUAAAUUUGCUCAAAUGGUACUCUAUUUUAGAGUAAAAAAUAGAGUGAUGAACAAAAAAAAAAAAUUACUCUAUAUUUGGAGUAAACCUAUUUUUCACUCAAUUAGAGUGAGAAAUAGAGUAUCAUUGGAGCAUUUUUUACUCUAAACUCUAUUUUAGAGUGAAAAAUAGAAUGAGAUUGGAGAUGCUCUUAAUAUUCCUUAAACAUUUUACCAUUCAUGAGGAAUAAGUUUCCUUUUAAUUCCUUUAUUUGUAUAUAAUUAUACCAUUCACGUAGGAAUAAGUUUAACCUUCUAGUGUAACUAAAAUCUUCUCAGACAGAAAAUAAAAAAUUUCUCAGACAGGGAAAAAAAGAGUUGAAAACGAAUCAAAUCCAAAAUGAAAAUAUUUUUUCCCGUUGCCUACUAUAUAUACGUUUACGUUUGUGUACACAACACACACAUAUUCUCUCUUCACUUCCACAGUCUCUUAAGAAGUUCGACUGACCGGAGAAAGAAGACGUCACCGGCGAAAUGGACGAAUCGUGGCGUAAGAAGAUGGGUUUAAACGUUGAUCCAUUCUUCUCCGUCGCUCGACGAUCCAUGGACGCUCGAAUCGACGCGGAAGACUUCGCCGACGUCUUCGGCGGUCCGCCGCGUAGCUUCCUCGCCCGAAAAUUCUCCGGCGACUUCUCCCGUUCCGACUGUUUCUACGACGAGGUUUUCCUGCCCCCGGGAAUUUCCUCCGGCGGCACGCUUCCGUCUUCUAAAUCUCACGGCAGAAACUUAACGGCGUUUAGGAUCCCCUCCGGCGCAGAUGGAUUUUACGACGGCGUCUUCGGCGGUCGCGGUGGGGCGGCUAAGAAGCAAAGCCCGACGGCGAAGUCGAACUCCUCGUCGGUGCUCACGUCCGAGGAGGUCAGUCCUCACUAUCCGCCACCGGCGGCGACGUCCGGCGAUGACGCGGGGUUUUCUUCUUUUACUUCUAGACUCAGGUAGAUAAAAUUACUAUUCUACCCUCCACUUCUGUUUAGUUUCUGAGGAUAGCUCCGUAAUUUCGACAUGCUCUGUUUUUUCUUUGUUAGACCGUUAAACGUCCCGUCGAGAAAGCGGGAAUCUAAGAAACAGAGUUUCCCGGCGUUUCCAACAUCCGGAGAUUCGUUCUCCGGCCACGAAAGAUCAGACUUUUACUACAGAAAACCACACUUCAGCGGAUCGAGAAGAUCCUCGCCGGAGACCAUGAGCUUUGAUCCUAGCUCCUUCAGGAGAAUUGAUGAUUUCGGACCGAGCUCUCCGGCGUCUUCCCCUGUUUCUUCUUUCGUCUACGAAGAAGAAAACACUGAGAGGAAAGGAGACUGUAACGUCGACGAGGUAGAAGAAGAAGAGAUGAGCUCUUACGUGAUUGAAAUAAACUCAGAUCGUUUUGAUCGAGGAAACUCGGAUUCGAACGACAUGGAUGAAGCCAUAGCUUGGGCUAAGGAGAGAUCCCAACGGCCAGAAGCAAAGCAAACCCAAGAAGAAGACUUAAUGGAUUCAAGAAGUGAAGAAGCCAAAUCAGAAGAAGAGGUUCGUUAGUUGUAAUUAAAAAAAAAAAAAAAUCCGACAAAACCAGUAACUUAAUGUUCUCAGUUAAGUAAUGAUUGCAGAUGGAGAUGGAGAUGAAAGAUGAAGAGAUAAGAAUCUGGUUAACCGGAAAAGAGACCAACAUUAGACUCCUCCUCUCAACUCUACAUCAUGUAAGUCAGAGUUUUAAUUGGUUAAUUUGUCUCAGACCAAGUAAACCGGUCACUGAUUCUAACCAAACCGGGAAUUUUUCAUUCAGGUUCUAUGGUCAGAUAGCAACUGGCACGAGAUUCCUUUGGAAAAUCUUCGAGAUGGAUCACAAGUUAAGAAAGCUUACCAAAAAGCUCGGCUUUGUUUACAUCCAGAUAAACUUCAACAGAGAGGAGGAACUUCACCGGUUCAGAAGUCGGUCGCGAGCAGAGUGUUCUCCAUUCUUCAGGUAACUUAAACCGAGCAAGAACCGAGAUUGGUUCAACUUGUAAGCUUUGGUUCUUGUUAUGGUCACUAACUCUUAGCUGACAUUUUGGAAUUGUAGGAAGCAUGGGCUGUGUACGUAACAAAUGAAGGACUCUCAAGCUAAACCGGAAUUCAUAAAUCAUUUUCUGGUUUCUAUUAAACCGGAAAUGUUGGUUUAAAAUGUAAGAAGAAUAAGAAGAGGAAAAGCAGAGUUUGUAUCUUUUAUGAUUGUAAAAGUCAUGAACAUUCCCAUGUGUUGCAUAUGUGGCUUCCACCGUCAGUGUUCUUAUAUAUACAGAAAAUAACAAAAUGCUUGAAAACUACAUUUUUUGUCAACGUUUGAAAACUACAUUAAAGAUCAAAUUAAUGCACGAAACGAAUAGAACCUGGAUAAGGAAAAAAAAGGUUGUAAUUGUUAGUUGUUUUAAUAAUAGAUACAGUCAUACAGAGCAAACGCCUCCUUUUUUUUUGGUAAUAAUAGAUACAGAGCAAACACCUCCAUGUUCAUUGAAAUAAAACUAAAAACUCAUAAAAUCACGAAAACUAUUUUAUGACGAGUGUAUACUAAACUUUUGUUUUCAGUAUACAAAUAUGUAUACAUCCAUAAAAUUCUUUAUAUUUUUAGCUUUUAUUUCAUAUCGGAGAAGAGUGUAAUUAUAAUUUGUAAAGAUAUAACUUACAUUUAUUUUUGCACAAAAGCUAUAAAACAUUAGUUAGGUUGCCAUCUAAUCUUAGGACAACUCUCCCAGCCUAUUGUCAUCACUCUCCCAAGUCCCAACCUCCUAGCCUAUUGUGAGACUCUCGACACUAUAUAGCUUAAGAUAUCCUUUUGAAGCAGUCAUAUUAGAUUUUUUUUUUUUGAUAUUUUAUACUAUUGAGUUUUAUUUUUUUUUACAAAGAGUUUAUCUAGUGUUGGAGUUUAUUAUAAAUAAACGGUUUAGAGGAAUCAGUGAGAAAUAAUUAUAUAAGUUUUACGUAAUUUCUAAAUAAUAUUUGACAUUAAAUUGUUUAUCAUACUAACAGUUAGCUAUAUUAUUAUAAAAUAUAAAAUGAUAAAUUAUUUAUUGCAUUUUAUAAUUUAUUCACGUGUGUUGUAAAUUAGAGAAGACGAUACAUAACAUUUUAAAUCAAAUUAUAUACAUAUAUAUAUAAGGAAUUGCUAGAUAUGAUCAGUAUUUAGAACAUAUGCUCUUCAAAAACAUAAAACAUAAAACAUAUAUAUAUAUAUAUAUAUAUCUUUCAAAUAGACAUUUUUAAGUUUUUGUCACAAAAAUAGAUCACAAAAACUAAAGUGACCAAAAUAGCAUUUUUAAUUUUGAAAAUUUUAAUAUUUUUUUUAGUUUUUAAAAUUUGAAAUCUUAUUCCCAAAAUCCCACUCCUCAAUUCUAAACCCUAAACCCCACUCCCACCCCUCAACUCUAAACCCUAAUGUCUAGAUUAAUUAACCCCAAGUGUAUAUUUACUUUUUUUUUAAUAAAACAUUUAAGUCUAUUUUGGUUAAUUUUAUUUUUAAAGUCUAUAUUUGUGACAAAAACUGUUUUAGGUAUAUCAUAAGAAAGUUUAUAUUAGUUAAUAAAAAUAAAUAGUAAGCUAUUAAUUUUGUUUAUUGAAUUAUUAUUAAAUUUUAAUAAUGGCAUAUACUUAUGUACAAAAUAAUAUAUAUAAUUCAAUUUUAUUAUGUUUUAAUAUUUGGCAAAACACAAAAUACAUAUUUAAGAAACAAAGAGAGUAUAAUGUAGUUAUGUUCAUUUAGAUGUACAUCUGAGAAAUGUAUAUAGUCCUAUGUUGUUUUAGAAACAAUAAUGUUUUCCAAUAAAAUAUUAUGCUUUUAUUUUAGAUCAUUAUAUUUAUGUAAACAAGUGAAGGUAGUAAUUAAACCGAGAACUUUUAAAUGUAUGCAUUUUAAAUUGAUAUAAUUUUAGACAUAUUUAUUUUAAACAAGUGAAUACAGUAAUAAACCAAUUUUUUUUUAAAUAUAAGCAUCUUAAAUUGAUAGUCCUCACUUGACAUUCCAAAUAUGUUAGAGAAAGGAUUAUUUAUUAAAAAUGGGAUUAUUAUGAUAUUGAAGAGAAGUGGGUGCAGGAAUGAAAAAUAUACCAAUUGGAGGGGACAAUGCAUGCUAUAAUUUGAUGUCAAUAAACUUUCUUCCCUACCAAAAAGACGGUCUCUGUCAGAGACUGUGUUAUAUAAGUGUUUAGUUGAGUUUUAACUUUAACACCGCAAUAAGGGAAUCAAAAUAUCUGACCUAACAAAACCUCAUCUUCCCCACACCUGCAAAGAAUCAACCUAAUGGUUUGGCUUGGAGACUAGCAUCUCAUUGCUUGCAAUGCAUAACAAACAGCAUAUAACAAGGUUCCAAUGAUAACAGGAUAAUAAGAGAGAAUGCAAAGAGUAAAUACAUGCGAACACACAGAGAUAAACUAGUUUUCUCAACUUCAAAAGAGUAUUUCAAAAGGAUUUGGCAACACAGAUAAAGUCAUAACAUUAAAACAGAAAACAAAAUACGGUAGAGAUAGAGAGAAAAGGGUGACCAUAGCGAGUAGUCUUCUUGGCUGGCUGCUUACAGCUUGUCUUCAAAAUCAGACAAGGGAGUCAUCUGUUCCUUCAUACCCUUCCUCUUCCUGAUGUCAGUCACAAGCGUUGAAGCCUGCGAUCCUGCCUCCAAUGGGUCAGACGACAUCAUCUCCCAAUGAUCAAACACACACUGAGGGAAGGCCUGUCCUGAGGUUGCUGCUCUAAGCUGACUUGAGAAUCCAAAUGACUCGACAACUGGCAGGUACGCCUUGAUGUUGUAAAGCGGUGUUCCUGGCCUCUGCAUCUCCUCAAAGACGUGUCCACGCUUCUGAUUCAGCACGCUGUAGAUUCCUCCAAGAGCUCCCUCUGGUGCUUGGAUCUCAACCAUGUAAACCGGUUCCAAAAGCCUGGGCUUGGCAGUGAUCUGAGAGGCGUAGAUAACCCUCCUCGCUGUCGGGAUAACCUGACCACCACCUCUGUGGAUAGCAUCAGAGUGGAGCACCACAUCGCAAACCUCAAAACAGAUUCCUCUCAUGUUCUCAUCACAAAGAGGACCUUCCUUGGAAGCCCACUGGAACCCAGCAACAACAGAAUCCUUGAUCUCAUUCAGGUAUUGCACUCCCUUACACAUGUCAACAACCAUGUUGGGCCCUGUGGUUUCAGGUCCAAACGCCCAUAUCUUCUUUGCGAGAUCCUUGUCCCAGCCAAACUCCUCAGCCAAGAUCUUGGAACGUAUCUUGGGAUCAUCUCUUGGACCAAUACGGCCUUCAUCAAUCGCCUCCGCAAGACCAUCCUCCAAGGGCCUAGCCUCCAUGUACAGACGGUUGUGCUUGUUCGGGGACUUGCUCAUCACAGUACGCACAGAUCGCUCCAAAACAGUCUCACGGAAUGAGACGACAGGGUCUGACUUGACAAUCUCAGCACCACCCAUGAAAUCAUCCUGAAGAUCCUUCAAGCAAAUCUCAAGAUGCAGUUCUCCAGCACCAGCAACAAUGUGCUCGCCUGACUCCUCCAUUGUGCACACAACCAUAGGGUCAGACUUGGCCAGCCUCUUAAGUCCCUCAACAAGCUUGGGAAGAUCAGAAGCGACCUUGCACUGAACAGCAACACGUACAACAGGGGACACAGAGAACUUCAUCGCACGGAUAGGAUGAGCAUCAACUUCUUUCUCAUUCGUCAGCGUAGCAUUCUUAGUGAUGAACUGAUCAAGACCAACCAUAGCAACGGUGUUACCACAGGGAACAUCCUCAACAGUCUCUUGCCUCUUGCCCAUCCAGAUGACAGUCCUCUGAACACUCUUGACAUAAAGAUCUUUCUUCUCACCAGGAACAAAGUUGGGACCCAUGAUCCUGACCUUCAUACCGGUAGACACCUUUCCAGAGAAGACACGCCCAAAAGCAAAGAAUCUUCCCUUGUCUGAAGCGGGAAUCAUCUUAGAAACAUAGAGCAUGAGCGGACCAUUAGGAUCACAGUUUCUGAUGGCAGUGGCAUACUGAUCAUCGAGAGGACCUUCAUACAGGUUCUCAACACGGUACCUCUGGGCAGUGUGGGGAGAUGGAAGGUGAAAGAUCAUCAUCUCAAGCAAUGCAGUACUCGCAGGGAGCCAAGUCUGCAUAACACGCUUCAUCAAAGGUUUACCCAUAAGGUCCUUCUCAUCAGACUUCAUCUGGACACCAAGCUUCUGCAACAUAGGCCACAACUUAUCCUUCUGGUCGUUCAUGCAAGUGGCGAUGAUCUGCUUGAUGGGUUCAUAACAGAACUGCACAAACCCACGCUUGCAGGUAGCGGACCCAGUGUUCUUGCUGCUCCAUUUCCUGGUGGCGGGGUCAAAGAAGUUCUCACCCCACAGCCUCUCCAUCAUCUUAGUCUCGUCAACACCGAACUUGGAAGCAUACAUCUUGGCAAAGUUGGUAAGGGUGAAAGCCCAUCCGUGGAGACCAGCAGAGAAGGCGACAGUUCCCUUCUCAGGGUAAACCUGAACAUCACCAAGGAGAGGAUCCUCGUACGUUGCCAUGAUGACAUUAGCAUUCUCAAUAACCCUCUGGAAAGUCUGGUAAGCCUCCUCACCAUCAACCUGAAGCUCAAGGAAACACCUGUCCAUCUUGUUCACAGUCAGAACGGGCCUAAUCCUCUCCCCAAGAGCCUGACGUAGCACAGUCUCGGUCUGAACACACACACCCUCGAUACAAUCGACCACCACAAGCGCACCAUCGGUAAUACGGAGCGCAGCAGUGACCUCAGAGGAGAAGUCAACGUGGCCAGGAGAGUCGAUGAGAUUGAUAAGGUACUCGUUUCCAUCUCUGGCACCAGUGAAGCUCUUCAAGGAAGCAUCAGUCAUCUCGUAGUAGAGAGAGAUACCCGUGGACUUGAUAGUGAUACCACGUUCAGCCUCAUCAGCACGGGUAUCAGUCAUACGGACAUCACCAGCAACUUCUUGAGCAAUGAUACCAGCAGCAGCAACCAAGGAGUCAGUGAGUGUGGAUUUACCUGUCAAUCACAAGAUAUAUAAAAGCAUAAGAGACAAUAGAACAGAGUAGUAGGAAACUAAUUAAGUCUGAAAAUUAAAAAAAGACAGUACCAUGGUCGACAUGGGCAAUAACGGACAUGUUACGGAUGUUGUGUUUGUAAUCCAUAAUCCUCCGAAGCUCAUCGGAUGUGAACUUCACCUACAAGUUCAUUAAAAUAAACAAAUAUUUAAGCUUAGAAUCAACAAAAAUAACAACAACAACAAGGCAAAGUAAAAGAUAGUAUAAAAAAGUUAUAAGGCUUUACCAUUUUGACUAACUCUUAUUCUUCACCUACAAUAUCUCUGCAACCACAGAAACAAUAAUAAGAAUUAAUCAACUGAAAUGAAACGAUUUAAAAAAAAAAAUUAACACCAAAAUAAAAUCUCAUAAUCUUCUGAACUUGAAGCUUUUCAACACAGAAAAAUAGAAGAACAGCUCACAAUCAAAUGGUAUUUAUACAUUUCUACGAACAGAUCUAAAGAGACGAGACAGAACGAUAACCAAAAAUGAAAUUAACAACUAAGAGUCAAGGGGGAUUGGUUAAUCUAAACAUCGAAAGCUAAAACUAUGGAGAUUCAAUACGAAAACUAAGCAUCAACAAUCGGAGAUCGUAACAAGGAGGAGACGGACUAACAUUGGAGGGGAAGGAGAGAGAGAGACGAGCUUGAGAGAGCAGAGAUUGAGUGGAGGCGUUCGAUAUAUUCCCUUAUCUCUUCUAGGGUUUUCUCUCUGUUCUUUCGUGGGCCUCUUCGGCCCGAUACAAUAUUGGCCCAAUAGUGGCUAAUAUUUAAUAUUUUGGCCCAAUAUAGUUCGUGUAAGAUUUUGCUUUGAAGUUUUAUGGAAUUUGUUUUAGUUAUAAUGAGCAGUAUUACAAGUGAACAUAAUUUUGUACUAUUAUUUAAACUAAGACUUUAUGAUAGAUUUAUUAUAAAUAAACGGUUUGGAGGAAUCAAUGACGAAAUAUUAACUAUGUUUCCGGUAAUAUUCUAAACAAUAUUUGACAUAACAAUAUUAUUUUCUUUUAUUAUUAUUAUCUUUUAGACAUUAUAAUAUCGAUAUGUUGUGUAUCUGAUUCUGUAUAUGGAAUUUUAAAACCAUCCGAAUAUGUAAAGGCUUUUAAAUUACGGUUUAUCAUAUUCAAGCUUUACGCUAUUCACAACAUUCCAGUGGAAUCAAACAAACAAAAGAUUAACAAUUUAUCUUAUUAUUAAAAAAAAAUCUCCCAAAUGUAGUUUCCAAUUUACUGCUUUGCUCCACGCAUUGACGCUUCAUUUGUUCAACAACUUCAAAACCAGACUGGCAAACCCCAAAGCAACUUAUACAGAACAAUAUAAUCUCCAUUAACUUGGAGAACCGUGACAUCAUUAUUACAUACAAAAGGUUGAUCAUCAUCAGUCACUAGGAAGACUUAAACAUCAGUCGUGACUGCGAAUUAACCCUUGCGGCCUGAUUUCUCUCCUACAAGCUUCGUCUGGAUUGAAAUCAAAAGAAAAAUGGUGUAAUCAGAAAAAAUUAAAUACAAUUAUUCACAGGACGUGGGUGAAUAAGAUGCAACAGAAAAUCCAAAACCUUGUAGUUAUUUUUUCUUGACAUCAAAUCCCAUAGGUGCUGAUGCGGCCUCUAUUUUUGUGACUAUCUCAUUAGCCGGACAUUUUGAAGUAAACUGAGUUUUCCGUUUGACAAGCCCCUGAAAUUAAGCACUGAUUAUCGAAGGGAAAUAAAAAUUGUGAAAUUGGUAUUAUGAUGAACUACUUAUACCACUACUUAAAUUUUGCCUUACUUAGCAGUUUAAAGUACUUUUUGUGGAUUACGAUCCACAUUAAUCAAAUCUUAUCAUUUCAAGCAUUUUAAAUAUAUCAUAUAAUCUAAAAAAUUAUUUUAUUCUGAUUAUUUUUGAAUAAUCACAAAUAAUAAAUAGUAAAAAUUUGAUGUUAUUGGAAGAAUAUCAAGAACCACUGGAACCUUAGCAAUUAAUCUAAAUUUGUAAUGUUGGUAUACAUUCAAAACAUGGUUGAUUGUUUCUUUUGCUGCACACCUUACAUAUUAUGUAUAACACUUAUUCUCAUUAGAUUUGAUAUAACUGUAUUACAAUCCAACAUUAUUUGUCCAAUAAUCUGUCAUCAUUUUGGUGGCACUUGAAUUUCCAAAGAGUGUGGCUGCAAAUAUAUGCUUGUUUUAAUAACCCAAGCGAUUUUACAAUGUAAUGUCAUAUUUAGAAAUUUUUGUUUUUUAUGAGAAAAAAUGUGCUUCUUGCUACGAUAAUACAGUUUUGUUUUGGCUAAUCCGAAUCUUUAUUUAACUGAUCAACUACACUAUGGAGAAGCAGAUUAAUGAUAAUAAGUUUGAAAAGGGGUUGGUCGAACCAGUUUUGUCAUUCAUUAUCUUCGACGGUGAUUGGUAUCUCUCUCAAUAACGCUAUCUUACAUUUUCUCUUUGCACCAAAACAGGAUGCGUCUUUGAUUAGAACCGCAUUCAUCAUACAAUUUCAAGAUUAUACGAUGACAUUUGAAAAACAUAAAACGACCAAGAGUUAAUUAUUCUGAGCCUAUAGUUGCAAGAUAGGAUAUAUUAUGAUGAAUGCUCUUCGACAUAUAGAUGAGAUAAGCAAUGCCAUAAAGAAAAAGAGAUUUUCUGGCUUAUAAAAUACAAAAAUACAAAAACAACUCGAGGGAUCCUUUAAAAAAAAGAAAGACGGUCUCUGUGUUAUAAGUUUUUAGUAGAGUUUUAACUUCAACACCGCAAUAAGGGAAUCAAAAUAUCUGACCUAACAAAACCUCAUCUUCCCUACACCUGCAGAGCAUCAACCUAUGGUUAUGCCUUGGACACUAGCAUCUUAUUGCUUGCAAUGCAUAACAGCAUAUAACAACGUUCCAGUGAUAACAGGAUAACAAGAGUGCAAAGAGUGAACACAUAAGAAGUUUUCUCAACUUCAAGAGUGCAAAGAGUAAACACAUAAGGAUGUGGCAACACAGAUAAAGUCAUAACACCAAAACAGAGUAAACAAAAAUACGGUAGAUAUAACAACGUUCCAAUGAAAACAGGAUAACAAGAGUGCAAAAAAGAGUAAACACAAAGAUAAACCAGUUUUCAACUAAAAAAGUAAAACAUUCAAGAGGAUUGUGGCCACAGAUAAAGUGAUAUCAUAACACCAAAACAGAGCUAACAGUAAACAAAAUACGGUAGAGAUGGAGAGAAAAAGGUGACCAUAGUGAGUCUUGUUGGCUGCUGCUUAUAGCUUGUCUUCGAAGUCAGACAAGGGAGUCAUCUGUUCCUUCAUACCCUUCCUCUUCCUGAUGUCAGUCACAAGCGUUGAAGCCUGCGAUCCUGCCUCCAAUGGGUCAGACGACAUCAUCUCCCAAUGAUCAAACACACACUGAGGGAAGGCCUGUCCUGAGGUUGCUGCUCUAAGCUGACUUGAGAAUCCAAAUGACUCAACAACUGGCAGGUACGCCUUGAUGUUGUACAGCGGUGUUCCUGGCCUCUGCAUCUCCUCAAAGACGUGUCCACGCUUCUGAUUCAGCACGCUGUAGAUUCCACCAAGAGCUCCCUCUGGUGCUUGGAUCUCCACCAUGUAAACCGGUUCCAACAAUCUGG